UACUAUUACAUAGUUCAUGAAUUGCAUAUACAAAAAUAUCAUUUUUCUUAUUAUGUGGAAUAAGCAAAAUGUUGUAGCCACAACAUUAGGUAAAAUACAUAUAGAAAUCAAACAUGUGGCAUUUUAUAAAACGAAGUUGGAGAAUUAGCGAGAACCAUAUAUCUAGUUAAUGUUCGGGAUGAAAAUGAAAGCUCAAUGACUUUUGUCCAGCAGAUGCAUGGAUUAAAAAACUGCAUUAUCAUUUUGCUUUCCAAGCUCACAGUGCAGAACUGGUGCUAAGUAUUAGCAUGCUGCUUUAUAGACAUCACUAUAACUAAAACUUGUACAUACAGAGCAGGUAGUAUGGAAUAUUCUCUAAUUUCUGAAGGACAACAAAAUUUCAUCUAAGACAUAUUGUGUAGGCCAAAUUUCCUUUUAAGAAAUGAAGUUUAAAGAAAAUGUACAAUUGCAUAAAACAUUGAAAGGAUAGUCCCGCGACCAAAUUAAAAGCAACCUCGAAAGAGGAAUGCUUGAAAACGAACACAUGAAGAUUGAUCCUGGAAGACAUAAUAAUUACCAAACUAUUUCAGGAAAGAACCUAAUAAUGAGUUUAACGAUGAUUCAUUUCUCUUUUUCUUGUGCAAUAACUGAAAACUAAAGAUUAAGUCACCUGUAAAUCUAUAAUUUAUGCCCAUGACCCUUACAUGUACAAUGUUUUGCUUGCGCAUGAUAAUUCAUUUAAUAAUACCGGCCAGUCUUUCUUUUAUCUGCAUUGUUCAUCACGUAAAAACUCUUUUGCACAUAAGAUCAUUUUCUUUUUCAUCACGUUACUUCAAGACACAAGAAAUUGAACAGCCAACUUCCUCCAUUCACCCUCUAAUUUAUACUCUUUGAAAUAAGAAACAAACAAAAUUUAGGUCAGUAGUAAGAUCAAGUAAAUUUUGUGCAAUGCAGAUUCAAUAUCAUUUCUAUCUAAUCUUAUCCACUCAAGAUAUCCACGAAAAUCUAAAUUUUCACAAAACCAAAUGGUUGACUAACCAUGCAAUCAGGAAUUUGUGCUAUAGUAAGGUUCUCCAUCCACCAAAUCACAAACAUACCACAUAUAUACCCAUUACACUGUCUCGAAAUCCUUUGUUUGUGAAGGGAAUGAAAACUCUGAAAUCUAAAGUCGCUCCCAUAUAACAUCCGAAUUUGUCCUUCAAUAUCUCAUCAAGUGCUUUCAACUACAGUGAUUAAAAAAACAAUGCAAUCAGUAUGUACUCUAAAUGACGAAAUGGAAACAUAAAAGGUAGAAGAUAGUUGAAAAAAAGUUUAUAGUUGAAACAAAGUUUUUGAAUAAUCAAGUUUAUUGAAUAAUUAUGAAUUGACAAAGAUAGAGUUUUGGCCCCUUUGUAAUAAUUCUAAAUGUUGCGAAUUUACCAAAAUAGAUAAAUCUAAAAUAUUAUUUUAUAAUAAAAUUCUCCUAAUCUAAAUAAGAAAAGAAAAACAAAUGGUGUCUAAGUCUGAAUUCUAGGAAAAAAGAAGAAGAUAAAAGUCCUAAAAGAAACAGAAAAUGUAGGAAAAUAUUUUAAAACUAAAAAUGAUCAGGAAAGAAACAGUAUUUUCGACUUGACCAUGGGGCAGAAUGAUGAAGCUAUUUUAUUUUUGAUUCAUUCUCAUCGCAAGCUUCAAAACGGUAUAUUAUACGCCAAAAGCGAACACCUGUAGCCUAAGUUAUGCCCUCUGAAAAACACCCCAUGCAUAAUUUACAACCAUCCUACAUCACCAAAGUAAGACUUUAACUUAAAUAAAUACAAGAAAAUGUUGGAAGAUAAACAAAAUCAAAACACAUAAAAACCCAAAUUUCUUGAUCCACUUACCAUUGUGUUUGCUUCUCCAACUAAUGCAUAUUUUUUAUGGCACUUGGUAAUGAGUCCCAAAUCUCAGCACAUAUAGUAGGAAUAUCAACAACAAGAACAUACCAGUGCCAUGAAUUAUGAUUUACGGUAAUGACAAUCUAUUUAUAAUAAAUUCAAAUAAUUAUAUCAACAACUUAAUUGUUUGUUAAAGUAUCAAUUUGUAUAUGCAAAUGUGAUGGAUUUAACGAUUUUAUUAUUCAUAAAAUUUCUAUAAACAUAUUGUCUACUUUCUAAUUCUGUUAAUUCACUACUGCUACUUUUAUUUCAUCAAACAUCUAGGCAUGCCUUUGCACAUUGUGCCAAGUCUUGCAUGUAGCACUUACUCAAGUGCUUCCACCUCCCUAGCCAUGCUAUAUCACUUCCUUGAAUUAGAAUCAUUUACUGCUUCUAAUAACAAUUAAUGUCAUUGUUGCAUAUGCCUACAUUUCCUUCCAACAAUAUGAAGAUUUUUUAUGCAUUCACAAUCACUAUAACUAAUCGCAGAGUAGGUGGGCAGAAACUAGGUAAAUGGAUUGUCUGAACCUUUUUUGCUUUCGCCGUUUGACGAAGUCUCAGCCACAAGUGAUAUUCUCUACAAAAAGAAAAAUGCUUUACAAUAUUACUCAAGAGUACAAAGCACUUAAAAUUCUUUUACAUUAGACUAUAUAAGACUGUCAACACAUUGGCCUAACUCAUCUCACCAUGGAUCAUCUUUUAGGACAUAAAGACAAUAAAUCCCUCCCACGUAGCCAAUUCAUCUUUGGUUGAACAAUAAUUCCACUACAAAACAUUUUAAUGACUGCAAAACUAUAAUAUUACACUUCACAAAUUACUCUUAGAAGAAAAAUAGUUUACCAACAAUCACAACAAAUGAUUGUCAUUCUAUAUCAUUUCACUUUAAAUGACUUAUUCAUAUCCAGUCAACAUUUCGUUACCUAUUACUAGAUAAUUAUUAUGAAAACUAUACCACCCUUUAUCAUACCUUCCAUUAAGGUGUUCAUUAAUUAUAUAUCCAAUCAACUUCCACUCAUCUUCUAUAGCAGGAAACGUCAGAACAUGGGGACCUACUCUGAAAUGGCCAUAAUGACACCAAGGCCUUUUUUGUUCUGUUACUUCUCUAUUGGCCAUCUCAACAAGCAACUCCACAACCUCCGUUAAAGGAUUAUUCACCGAAGAUGAAACAACUGCAUUGUCUUUGCUCAUCACAUCCUGCAUCAUGCAUCGAAACAUCCAAAUAAUAAAAAAAACAUAAAUGACAUAUUCAACUAUAUAAUAAUUUAUAUUAUGUCAACAUAACCAUAUAUUACAGUACCUCUUUUUUGUGAUAGCACUGUGGAUUGACCGCAAAAGAUGCUUGUAAUUGUAAUCCUAAAUGGCACAAAACAUCCUCAUUAUUUUUCUUCACUGUAGGAUUUCUUGCGUUCCAUUUUCGUCUCUUGCAUUUUCAUCCAAAACUAUCUGACUUUUCCUUCGCCCCAAUUGUCAAUGUUCAAUGGCAAUUGUUCAACUUUUAGGCCAUUGGAUUCAACUAUUUCAUUGACUUCUUCAUUUUCACUUUCCAUGCCUCUAAGUUCACCUAAUCCACCUCUCACGACCUUUAAGUUUCGAACAAGGUUUUGGUCAUAUACGUUACAACAGUCAGUUCGGAACAUAUCCUAUGACCUUUAGUCCACGCUUUGUGCAUUUCAAAUACUGUCUCCACUCUCUAUUUAAAAGUUUAUUAUUUCCUCCUUUCUCCAAAUAUCUUUUACGACCACCAUUAGAACAACCUUUGAUUUGUUUCUCAUGUAGUGUAACCUACACCAAAAAUUUAUAAUAAACAAUCAUCAUAAAUCAUUUCAACCAUUAUUAUUCUAAACAAUACUAUUCCUUUACACAAACCUUUUCUGCACCAAUGCCUCUUUGCUUGUGCAUCUACUUAAUGAAUCUUGUUAUCUUAGCCCCAUUCCACUUUAUUAGAAGACAAGGCAAGAGGUUUAUUUCAAUAUUCCAAUUAGCAACAUAAUUGAUGCACAAUAUCGGCAUAAACUUAUAAUAAUCAAAACUAAUAUACUAAUAAAGAUUAAAUCUCAUACAAAUUAACCAUAAUUAUGCCAACACCCUAGUAUAAGUUUUUAUAGGAGAACAUCUUUAAUAUAGCAAAAACACCCUUACCAUAUGUAUCAUACAAAUUUCAAACCAAUGGUAUGUGGACAAAGUCUUAAACCUUAUCUUCUUCAGUAAAUAGAUAAAUAUCAUUCCAAGCACAUGAACCAUUCAAUAAUGAAUUAUCCAGCAACCUAACCCCAACAAUCGAUACCCAAGACUUUACCUAAAGGUAUAGCAAACAACUAUUUAUAUAUGCCGGCUUCUCCUGCUUUUAUCUUAUGCCUUACAUUAGCUUACCAAAGCAAAGGGUCGCCUAAUUUCUUGCACUGAUAGUUUCUACAUUCUUGACAGAUAUUAGUGAGGAGGAACUUAUAUGAAUGCCACUAUUCAGACGUAACAAUGAACACAGUACAAAGAGAGUGAACUUUGCUUUGAAUUCAUCAUCGCACGUGUUGAUUUGCGUAGGAUAUCCUCCAACUUCUUGCAUGUCUCCCUUUGCCUCGACAUUCAAUCCUCUAUCUACAAUACCCAUUAUAUACCCAAAACUCAGCGGUCUAGGCUCCAACUCCUUACCAUGAACAAUUAAGACCGACCGUGUCGUAUCAACCCUAUCUACUAACCACUUACAUCGUUUCUGUUGAAGCCAAGUACACUUCAUCUCAAUUAAUUUACCAAAUCCAAUAGAGCACACGCCUAUUCCUUUUUCGGCCAUCAACUUAGAUGCAACUAAUGCAAAUCAAGCUGGCGCACUUUCUCUCUCUUCAACAGUCCUUUCAAAAUAUACUUGCAUUUUUGUUUUGCUUCAAGCGGCAUAUUUUUAAACGUACUUCCUAUUUUCUUCCUCACCUGCAUAUUUACAAAGAAAUAAAUCAAUCAAUCAAUCAAUCAACCAGUAAACAAACUUUCUCAAAUAACUAAUUUCAAUUUCACCUAUAUCAGUUAACUUUUCUAAACAUUGCACUAAACCAAUCCUUUUAGACUCCAACUCAUCUCUUUCAUGAUACAAGCACUACCAUCGUUUAAUUUAUCUUUUGUACUUCUUCUCCACUAUAUUCACGAAAAACAACAUGCUGUCAAAUGCCAUUAACAUAAGGACUUUACCAUCCAAUUUAUUUUUUUACCAGGCUUAUUUGUUCUGUUAUGCUUUUCUACAAAUGUAGUUGGAUCAAAACACGAAAAGAAAAAUAUCUUACCAUAAAUGUUAUCAGUUGUAACUUGAUAAUAUGCAUGCGAAUCAGUAAUUGAGCCAACAUGACUUAAGAAUGAUGCAUAUUUAUGGCUGUAAUGAUAAUAUUAUUAUUUAAUGGAAUCAUCUUAAUGAAAAAAAUGUUGCAAAUUUGAAUGAGUAUACAGAACAAAUUGAAUAAAAGUGUGCAAUAAAAGAGUGUUCGCAGUACAUUCCUGGUUAAAUAUGCCCCCACCGAUUGUUUUCUUAAUUCUUCAUGUUUUCCUUUUUAAAUAAUUUUCAGGACAUCACUAAAUCACCAUACAUUUGAUACCUUACGGUAUAUUAUAUGCUACUAAAUUAAAACAAAAGUAACAACAAAUAAGAUACUUACUAUUGUUUUGGCCCAUAGUUAUUACUUACUAUUGUUUCUCUACUUGCCAUCCCCCCCCCCCCCCCCCCCAAUCUUCCCCUUCAUCACCUUCCACACAUAGUCUUACGUUUUCUAUCUGUUGAGCUCACCAUUUUGGAGACCUCUGUAUCACAUGUAACUACUUCUAUUUUCUUUCUCAUUUCUUCCUAAAUGCUUCUCAUUUCCCCUAUCCAACAAACUACAUGUUAAUAAAAGAACAUUAAAUUCAGUGAUAGUCAAAUACUCAAACCAAAUGGAGUAACUAAAGAAAGUUGACAAUAGAUGCCUAAAUACUAUUAUAAAUCUUGGAAUCACAAAUGUCCACAACUUAAACUAUGACAACUGUAUGUUGUCUAUACCAUCUAAAAUUGCAAAACUAGCUUUGUUGAAGCUUUUUUUCACUUCAAAUGCUUAUUCUAUAUAAAUGCAUACUUUCAGAAAGGAUUUUGCUAAAUAACUCAUUCAAGAACCAAAACUUUACCCAAUGUAAGAGUAGUUCCGUUUACAAGCCCAAUCACAGUAUCUCUCCGUAAAACCCAAAAAAUAUAUAUAUAUACAGACAGGUGUCGAUUGUAAUUAGCUAUACUACAAGUAAAAAAGUGUCCUAUAUAACAUAUCAGGAAUACAAAUAACUAUAGGAAUUAACAAUCCAAGCUAGAAUAUUAAGACCUUACCCACUGCAAUCAGUAUAAAAGUUGAGGCUGUUGUUUGAUAAUUGUUGAAAAAAUUUUUGAAACGAAAAUGAAAAAUAGAAUUUAUACUUCUAAAUAUAAAAAAUGCUAUGGUUAAUGUUUUUAAAAUUCAGUAUUUUCGAGGAAAAACCCAAUGAAAAUGCAUGAGUAUGCAAUUUUUCCCUCCCAAAUCUUGUAGUUUAAAAACAUAUAAAACAACACGUUUUACUUUCACAAUAGUUGUUACAAAAAUAAAUUUAUGAAUUUUGUACUUUCCUGCACAUAAUAGCUUCAAUUUUGCUAACAAAAAAAACAUAAAAAUAAUUGUUACUUAAAAAAAAACACAGCAAUUGGGCGUAGAACUAGAAUCGAAACCCUAGAAAUUUAUUUUUCUCUUAAGAAUCUGAGCAGCCAAGAACUCAACUUUAAAAUCGGUCAGCAAAGACUAGAGAUUGGAUAGAAAUGGUGACCUCCCAAGCAGUGUUGGUUCGCUGAAACUGAACAACCACUAAUUCGUUGCUACCCAGUUAUAUGAUUCGAUCUUGUCAUUCAAGAAGUGAACAGCUUGCGCCACUUUGAUUUGCAAGUCCAUCAACAUCAAAUAAAGCAUAGGUUGCAGAAAAAUGAAUGGUGGAUUUUGAGUAGGAUGGACGUUGGAUGAGAUGCAGCUUUGGCUUCUCUUGGUGGUGGAUUUUCAAUAGGAUGCUAGUUGGAGGGGAUGCAACUUUGGCUUUUCUUCCUGAAUGUUUUGAGUUUUUUUUAUUUUAAGAUGUGGGGGAUUUAAUUGUGAAACAAGGUUGUUUAGUCUAUUGCAACCGAUUGUAAUAGUCAAUCUUUUGGGUUGACUUUUUGAGUCACCCGUUUGCACCCUUAUCAACCAAUUAUAUUGUCUUUCAGUUUUGUCCAUAUGCCACAUUUUUAUUAGUUAAUUAGUCAAAUCACAAGCUAUAAGUUACGAAAACAAUAACUUAGGGAAGCAACCUCAGCUACCAUGCAGGGCAUAACUUGAGCCGUUGGAUUGAGCUUAUUUAAAUUCAACGUUAAACUUAGCCUUAUAAUUGUUAUAAAGUUAUUAGAUUUGUAAUUUAUUGUACUUGAGAAAAUCGAUUUAUUAAUGAUAUAACGUAAAAAUAUAAUGCACACACAAUAUUUGGUAAAGAAUGAGCAAAAAGUGACUCAAAAGUGAAGGUCUGUGAAACAAGUAAACUAGGUUUAGAGAUUUGGGAAUUUUUAAAAUAAACAAAGAAAUGGUAUUUUCGGAGUGAAUAGGUGAGGUUUAAUAAAAAAAAAUGGUUCUAGAGACUCGCUUUAGCAAGAAAUUGAGUGGAAAAUGAAGAAUUUAGAGAGAGAGGAGAUCGAAACGAAACAGUGUAGAGAGAGAGAGAGAACGUGUGACAAAGAUGAUAAACAAGCCCUACAAUAUAUAAAGUCGGCUAGCUACUUGAACUAAGUAGUUAACUGCUUCAGUUCUAGAAACUAAGUGGUCAGGUGCUUGCUUAAAGCGGCUAGCCGCUAAGUUUUUGGAACUAAAUAGCGGUUAGCUGCUUAAAGAAAGCGAUUAACCGGUUCCAUCUAAAAUUCAGAUCCGUUUUGUUCUCGACCAAAAUCUCGAUCAAUCUCCCAAAACCAUUCUCCGUCGAUCUCCGAAAAAUCUCUCAAACGCCAUCUCUCUCUUCGUCGCAUCGAGACAUCAAUCGAUCGAACAUCCCAAAAANNNNNNNNNNNNNNNNNNNNNNNNNNNNNNNNNNNNNNNNNNNNNNNNNNNNNNNNNNNNNNNNNNNNNNNNNNNNNNNNNNNNNNNNNNNNNNNNNNNNUUAGUUUGGCGCACCCACUGUGCCAGGUGAUAUCACAUAACCAUCAAAGAUAAGAAAUCAUACAAGUUAAGGUGAAUGUAAAUUCCAUAUAAUGAGUGUAUAAACAAAAUAGUAACACACUAACGAAACCUUCAAUUAAAGCACGACUCUUGCAAAGUCAAAUAAAAUUAAUAUUUACAUCCUCCGAUUAAUCAAAUGAAUUGCCACGAGGCCACCAAUUAGAGUGCAUGUUGGGAUAUGGAAGAAAUGUAAAGGUGUCCCAUCUCAGUGAUUGUGACAUUGAUGAAUUAUUCUAAAAACUAGCCAUUGGAUUCUGAGAACACUUGAGAACUACUACCACAUUCAUUUUGGGUUUCAAGUUCAUAUGAUGCUUCACUAGUGUUGAAUGAAAAUUGUUCACUUGAGCGAGCUAACUUAAAACUACCAUGACCAUCAUUGUUACUAACAUUGGCUUCACUACUUUUGCAAGAAAUUAUUCAUGAAUAAAAUGAAAUUUACUUCCCAUAAAAACAAGUUACUCUGAACUUGCAAUAUAAAAUUUGAACAUAAACAUGAAUUGAGGGAGAAAAAAAAAUUUCGGGGUAUUUAGAAAAUAAUUACAUGAAACAUAGAACAAUACACAUGAAACAAGUUACUUAAAAUAUGCAACAAUGAAUAUAAAAUAUAAGUACUUCCGUAAUAGUGAACAUAAAACAUCAAUAUAAAACUCGUAACUUGAAACAUGAAACAUGAACGUAAACAUGAAACGAGGGGACAAAAGAAAAGUUUGGGGGUGCUUGGAAAAUAAUUACAUGAAACAUUGAACAAUAAGUAUGAAACACAUUACUUAAAAUAUGCAACAAUGAACAUAAAAUAUGAGUACUUCUAUAAUAGUGAACAUAAAACAUCAAACAUGAAACUCGAAACUUGCAACAUGAAAUAUGAACGUAGACAUGAAAUCGGGGAAAAAAGAAAAAUUUCGGGGUUUUUAAAAAAUAAUUAUAUGAAACAUUGAACAUUAAACAUGAAACAUGUUACUUAAAAUAUGCAACAAUGUACAUAAAAUAUGAAUACCUCUGUAACAGUUAAUAUAAAGUAUCAAACAUGAAACUUGGAACUUGCAACAUGAAACAUGAACGUAAACAUGAAACGGGGGCAAAAAUAAAAAUUCCGAGGUGUUUGUAAUAUAAUUACAUGAAACAUUGAACAAUAAAUAUGAAACACAUUACUUAAAAUAUGCAACAAUAAACAUAAAAUAUGAGUACUUCUGUAAUAGUGAACAUAAAACAUCAAACAUCAAACUCGGAACUUGCAACACGAAACAUGAACGUAAGCAUGAAAUGGGGGCAAAAAAUAAAAAUUUCGGGGUGUUUGGAAAAUAAUUACAUGAAAUAUUGAACAAUAAACAUGAAACAAAUUACUUGAAAUAUGCAAUAAUGAACAUAAAAUAUGAGUACCUCUGUAACAGUGAACAUAAAACAUCAAACAUGAAACUCAGAACUUGCAACAUGAAACAUGAACAUAAACAUGAAACAGGGGCAAAAAAAAAUUGGGGUAUUUGAAAAAUAAUCACAUGAAACAUUGAACAAUAAAUAUAAAACAAAUUACUUAAAAUAUGCAAUAAUAAAUAUAAAAUGUAAGUACUUUUGUGACAGUGAACAUAAAAUAUCAAAUAUGAACCUCGGAACUUGAAAUAUGAAACAUGAACGUAAACAUGAAACAUGAGAAAAAAGAAAAAUUUCAAGGUAUUUAGAAAAUAAUUACAUGAAAUAUCGAACAUUAAACAUGAAAAUUAAAAUAUUAAACAUGAGACAGAUUUCGUAGAAAAUGAAUUAAACUUUUGUUUUUUUGUUAACACUCAUUUUAUUUUGUUUUUCAAAAUAUUUAUAAUAAUUUUUUUUCUAUUUUUACUUUAUUUGUCUUUUUUUCUUAUUAGUAUUAUUAUUUUUAAAUAUUAUUUUAUUUUAUUUUAUUUACAUUAAAAAUACAUAUUAAUGAAAACCAGUUGUUGUCAAUUAUAAAAGUUAUUUGGCUGCCGACAAUUAACUCCCUCUUUGAUACAGGGACUUUCUGUCCCUAUAUCAUAGCCACUCCCUAGGUAAGCCAUUUUUUAUUGGUAAUUUUGAAAAUAAAUAAAGUUAAUUGAAAAGUAUAGACUAAUGAGAUAAAAUAAGGAGAAAUUAUAUUUAACCUGAAAUUUCAAUAGAAAUUUCAUUAAAUCGUAGCUACCGAAAUUUCCCAAUCUGGGUGAUAGCUCAUCGCCCAAAGAUAGUCGGUGUGCGACGAACCAUCUGUCGAUUUUAGUUUGAUUUUAGCAAAAAAGUUAAUUUUCAUAAUUUCACUAGACGAAAUUUCAGGCCAAAUAUGAGUGUCGUAAAAUACCCAUAUUUCUCUACAAACUUCAUUCAUUCUCAGUAAAUUCUUCCGCUAUCCCAACAAAGGUUGAACUUUACAUAGAAGUCAGUGUGGGCAAUUGAUCGUGCUCAACAAAAAAAAUCAUUUAUUUUCAUAUUUUUAAAAAAAAAUUAGUAAAGAAAUUUUACUAUUCGAUCAAUUUUAUACAUUAUUAAAUUUUAUUAUAGUUUUACUCUCAAUAAAUUAAGUUUCUUAAUACGCCCCGAUCCCAACCCUUGUAACAAAAUCAUGAAACAUUUAAUAUCAGGAUCAAAAUCUUCAUUUUUCAUUUUAUCAAAGACCGAUAGUGCCUCCCUUUGUGUCUUGACUUACUCAAAGCAUAAUUUAAUCUAGAUAAAUUAUUAUUCGUAUACCCUAUAUUUGCUCUGUUAUAAAAAAUACUACAACGCUUUAAGGGUAUAUCAAUCGUCCACCCUAAGUUGACGAAAUGUAUCAGUCGACCACCAAACUGUUAAUUGUCGUUUGAAAAUUAACGGAAUUACAGUGAAUUGACGAUUUUACCCUUGAAAACUAUCACUUGUAUACCCUUAAAUUCUUUUUUUAUCACGUAUAUACCCUUAAAUUAUCACUUGUAUCAUAUGAAAAGACCAGAUUACCCUUCUGACGUUAUCAUAUUUAAACGGCAACUAACGAUUUGGUGGUCAGCUGAUAUAUUUUGUCAACUUAGGGUGGACGAUUGAUACACCCUUAAAGUGUUGUAGUAUUUUUGAUAAUGGAGUAAAUUAAGGGUAUACAAAUGAUAAUUUCCCUUUAAUCUAUUAAAACCCAACAAUUCUCUAGCUUCAAUCCAAACUUUCCCAUAUUUCUUUUUUUUUUUUAAACAAAUUAAUUCUCAUUAAAUCAGGAAAUAAUUCAAAGAUAACAAUCUAUAGACUGUGGAAAGUCUUCUAGCAGUACAAAUGAUGAACAUGUUUGAAGAGCAUAUUUAGCUAGAGCAUCCGCAGCUUGGUUACCAUUCCUUGAAAUAUGCCGAAUCCUGAAGUCCUGCUUUGGUUGCAUAAGUUGCUGCACAUCAGAAAUUAUCCACAAAAGCUUUGUACGAGUAUGUUGCUUUCCUUGGAUCAAUUGAAUAACAAACAACGAGUCCGACUCAAUCAUUCACGGAAACAAACCAGUCUCCUUAGCAAGUUGAAUACCAAAGUUAAUAGCCUCUGCCUCAGCAAUAGCCACAUCCUCACAAUAAUUCCCAAAAUUGGUUUCAGCCAACAUAACCAAUCCCUCAUGAUUUCUAAUACCAGCUCCAUAACUGACCUUUCCAUUUUGAACAUCCACUGCCACAUUGGUAUUUAAUUUAAACCAACCCAACUGUGGAGGCUCCCAAAUCACAACAUCUUGGACAAUACACAUAGUAUUUAUAUUCCUACAAUUUCUCCUUACACAACUAUCCCAAAUUCCUUGGGCUGAAGCCACCACACAAUUUGGAAAGAUGGCUUAGCCCCAUCAUAUAAAAUCCUAUUUCUCGCCCUCCAAAUCCCCCACAUAAUUAAGCCAAAGAGUUGAAUUUCAUUAAAAGCAACUUUAGAAUAAACAAUAUCCCACACAUCCCACAAACAUGCAACUCGGUUAAAAAAUUCCGAAACAGUAAAUGAAGUAAGCUCCCAUACAUCAUGAGCAUGUUGACAAACAAAUAAAGCAUGCAAAAUAGACUCACCAGCCUCACCACAAAUCCUACACCGCGAAUCAGCCACCACCAUUUUCAGUUCUAAAUUUUCCAUAGAUGGAAGCGAUCCUGAAAGUGCACGCCAUAGAAAUAUCUUAACCUUGGAAGGAACAAUUAACUUCCAAAUGGUUGCCCACUGCCUUGAUGAAAUACUAGAAGAUGCAACAUUAUCAAGGUUCUUCCAUGUUCUCGCAACAUGAUACCCAGACUUCACUGUGUACUCUCCACAACGAUCAUAGUGCCAUAUUACCCUGUCAUUACAACUCUGUGAAGGGAGCUUAAUCUUCAUAAUAGAAUGGACAUCCAGUGGCAAUAAAUAUUUCUGUAGCCAAGUCAUGUUCCACGAAUUUCCAUUCUCUAUCAAGUCAAUAACCCUUACUUCAUUACCCAAAAUUUUUGGUGAAAUAGGUCAGAACAACAACGGCCUAGGCAUCCAAUUAUCACCAUAAAUACGAAUAUGUUGCCCUGACCCCACACACCAUCAAAUUCCCCGCUGUAACAGCUCACGCCCCCAAAGAAUACUUCGUCAAAUAAAUGAAGGAUUAUUACCAAUAGUUGCAUCAAGAAACGAACAUCGUCGGAAAUAUCUUGCCUUCAACACCCGUGAAGCAAGUGUCUCCCCAUAAAUAAGCAAACGCCAUCCUCGUUUUGCCAACAUAGCCUGAUUAAAACACCCUAAAUCUUGAAAACCCAAACCACCCUCCCCCUUUGCGCGGCUCACACUAGUCCAUCCCAUAUUUCUUAAAAGCAUAUGUUCUCCACGAAAUCAAACCAUAUGGCCAUGUUUGGAUGCUAGGAUUAAGUAUGAGAUUGGACUAAUUUUGGGAUUAAAUAUUUAUCCAAUGUUUGGCAAGCUUAGUUGGAUUGGAUUAAUUAGGGGGGACUAAAUUUGAAUUUAAUCUUAAAAUCAUGGGAUUAAUAAUCCUAAUUUGCACAUCGGUUUAGUUGGGAUAAGAUUAAAGAAAAAAGUUGUCAAUGUAUGAGAUUUUUAUUUAUAUUUUUUUUAUUUACACCUAGUAUUAAUUAAUUAGUUAUUUUUUAUUAUGAUUUACUUAAAAUUUAUUUUUAUUUAUUAUCUAUGAUCUAAUUAAAUUGAUACUUUUACUUAUACUAACUCUUGAGAUUAAAUUUUCACUACUUGCAUAUUUAAUAAUUUAUCAAUAAAAUUAAAUGUCUAAUUAUUUAUUGCAUUAUUUGAUUGUAUUAAAUUGAAUAAUCACUAAUAUAAUAUUAAAAAUAAUCAUGAAAAUUAAUAAUACCAUUAAUUAAUUGAUUUUAUAUAAUAUUUUUAAAUAUUUGAUAAAAAUUAAUUAAAAAUUUAAUUUGUUUUAUCUAUGUUUAUUUGUUUAUUGUAUUAUGACUACCCAAUAGCUUAUUUACAAUAUAUUUAAUUUUUCCUAGUAAUUGGUUUUAAAUUUAUUUUAAUUAUGAUUAUAAAAUUUCAUGAAUAAUUGAAAUUUAUAUUGAAAUAACAAUUUAAAUGCUAUUUAAUAUUAUUUAAAUACAAAUUAACAUAUUUUAAUCCGAUAUUGUACCAAACAUAAAAAUAUAUAAUACAAUCCAGCUUAAUUCAUUCCAAUAUAAUUCAAUCUAAUCAUGCGUGUCAAACGUAACCUAUGUGCCUUGUAAUAUUUUGUUAAGCAAACCUUUUCAGUUAAAAAAUUAUUUUAUUUUUACUCCUUAAUUUGUGUGUUUCAAAGGAAAAUGCCCAUGUGUCUCUUGAACACCAAAAAAAUUCAAAAUGAUAAAAAUAAUUUCUUUUUUGAUUUUUAAAAAAUGGACUGUUGGAGUAAGAGACAGAGCAAAGAAAGCUAUAACAGUCUUGAGGCGACAAAAUCUUUGAUCAACGACUCCCAUAUCCGCAUUUAUGAUUUAACCACAUUUUUUUUUCUCUACACAAAAUAUUAGAAAUUUUAUAAAAUAUAAAAUUAACAAAAAAAUAAUAACCCUUACAUUACUUGCAUAUAAAGUAAAAGCGUAAAACAAAUUUAGGUGGCGUUUGUUUUUUAUCUGAAAUUUGAAUAGACCUGAAUUAAUCUGAAUUAUGAAUAGAUCUUAAUGUCUGAAUCUAAAUAAUAUGUUUGUUUUUUUGUCUGAAUCUCGAAAAAUAAGUAUUAAGUUGUUUUUUUUUCAACUUAAUGCUGAAAAUAUGUACUUUUACAUUUGUAUCCUUAUUAAAUUUGAAUGUCAAAUAAAUAAUAAAUUAAAUACCACAACAUUUUAACAUAUAUAAGUAAAACUAUAUUCAAGUGAAUAUAUAAUUAUUUUGAAAUUUUAAUAUAUAAAAUACCAUAAAUUUUAAAUUUUAUCAUAUAUAAUAUAAGAAAGAAAAAAUAGGGAUAUUUUUAUGUGGGGUAAAUGUCUAUGGGUGAGUUUUGGGAAGACAUAAAAAAUAAAUUAUAAAGCAGGAAUAUUUUUGACAUUAGCAAGUAAUUGACUUAAUUCAGAUUUCUCCAUUAAGUAAAAAAUCAUAAAAAUUGGUUUAUUUUAUUAAGUCAAAAUUAUCUAAAAAGUCUCAUUAAGUUAUAAAAAUAAACACCUCUAAUUAACUUAAUUAAUUAAAUUAAGUUACUUUAAGUCAUUAAGUUAAAAAAACAAACGCCACCUUAAUCACAAAAUUGGCAAAAAUUGAAAUUUGAAGUUUUGACCGUUACGGUUAGGGCCAAGCUUAGGGUUAGGUUUAAGGUUAGGGUGUAAGGUCUUGGCGCGCCAAGCACUAACGGCUCCCGCAUCGUGGCGCUUUAUUUUCCCUAUCAAUUUAGGAAGCUAAUAUCUAAGGAAACUCGAAUUUAAUUAGGAAACCCACUUCUCUCAGGAUAAUUAUAUAUUUACAUCAUCACUGCCGUGUUCUGUUCUGUGUUCUUCAAUUCGCUAGUUUCCUGUUUUGUUUCUCUGUUCUUCGAAUUUUAGGAAACCCACUUCACUCAGGAAUUAAUAGCAUCCUUUUAUUCGCAUAAUCAUCCUCUGGUCCAAGCACUUGAAAAGCUUUCUGAAGCUGCUGUUCUGUGUUCCUUUUUUUCCUGUUUUAUUUCUCUUUACGUUUGAAUCUUUGAAUUUCUGAAGAAAGAAUUUACAUGGAAGAGAGAAAUAUGAAGUGGCGAUUGAAUGAUGAUGGUGGGUCUUUCGAAAGAAUUUUGAGGGAGGCAGAGGAAGCUGCCAAUGGUGAUGAGUCGUUAAAAAUGAGUUCACUUACGAGGAUCAUUGUUCAACAGCUUGUUGAGAAACAAUUGGCACAAAAGAAGAAAUUUGACAAUCUGGGUUUUGACAUACCGAAAAGAAGAAGAGGUUCUGUUUCGGAAAACUUGCCUAGUAGAAGAAUGCCGUCACUAAUACUUAAAAUAAACAACAAGAAGAUUACUCUGAAGAGGUGCUUCGACCAGACUUAUGACAGAGGCGACAAAGAUGAUGAAAAAGAGAUCAGACAGCCCAGAAAGCAGAGGAAGAAGGGAAACAAGAACGUGAAUCAAGAAGAACGCGUAGUUGCUGAUAUGCCUGAAUCAUUCAAGAAUCGCAUCCAGGAGGAGAAUGGUACUGAUUUAGUGUUGGUGAUGCAGAAAACAAUCACAGGAUGUGAUUUAAGGAGUAAUAAUAAUCGGCUGUCGAUACCACCGACCAAAGUAAGAGAUGAUAACUUUGUCAAUCAAAAGGAGAAGAGCAUUCUUAAUACAAAGGAAGGGAUAGAGGUCUUGAUGAUUCCUCCUUCUCUUAAACACAGUGUUCCUUUGACGUUGAAGAAGUGGAAGAUGGGUGAUAAUUACACUUAUAAUCUGAUAAAGACGUGGCAUGAUUUGGUUGUGGAUGAUAAAGAUAAUGGACUUGAGUUAGGUUCAGAAGUGCAGCUAUGGAGUUUCAGGAAGAACAAUUCCGAUUUGUGUUUUGCUUUGGUUAAGCUUGAAGGAUAACAAGGAAGUGGAAACAGAUCAUUACACUGAUGAUGCAACUGAUGCGAAGACUCUUCAUCAAACGGCUGAAUUGCAACAACUACAUAUGUUUUGACCCGACCCGUUGAUGAUAUUGAGCAAGAAAAAAAAAAUUGUAUAUAUGACAGAUGAAAUAUGUAGUAGCUACUGUAAUUGCAUUGAAAACUUGAAAUGCAUUAUAUCUUUAUAAGGUUUUGUGAUUUUCUUGGCAUGGCUUAUUGUUAUGAUUCCAUUUUUUACAGUAUUUUGAUUUUCAAGCUCUUAAUCAUCAUAGGGUUUAUUACUAUUUUAGCUCCUGUAAUUGGCCUGCUUGGAGUUAUGAGCCUCCAGUAUCUGUUGCAACACUGAGGACUAAUUCUCGUUUCUUUACAGUUUUCUUUACCUUACCGGUGCUUGCAUAGUUUUUCUGAUUACUCUUUGAAGAUAACAGAGAAGUAAAAGCAAAUUCAAAGACUAGAUCUAAUGAGAAAAGUGUCCUUGUGAGGUUGCAUGACAUUAAUCUUAACCCUCUGAUUUCAAGAGAUGACUCUCUUUGGUAUUCUUAAUAAGUAUCCUUCACUUGCAUGCUUGUCGGUCAGCUUUCUCGCUGUCCGGAGAUGUUCAUCUUUGUCAGGGUACGCAAACACAUUGAAUUCCAAUCUUCGUUUGCGAAUAGUUCACUUUGAAAACCUCAGGCUGGUGAAAGGUUUCUGAGUAAAUUUAAGGAGGUUGUUGAUACAGGAGAAUUAUCACUAUUCUGUAGGCUGCUCUCAGGGCUUGGUGCGAAGGGAGUUGCCGGCUGAUUAUGUUUAUGACUUUCCAAUUUGCGGCGUUAAAGUAAUGCCACGUAUACAAAAUUGGCCAUUGUUGUUGACUUGUCGCCUCAUGUGGAUAAAUUUGUGCUUUUUAAAUGGGGUUAUGAAACUCAAUGUGAGAAGGAUCUCUAAUUAUUCCUUAUGUUUUGGUUUUUGCGAACGUGCUUGUUCAAACAAAUCCAAAUCUGUUACAACUUGUUCAAUAUUCAGAUGACUAAAAAUGAAAUUACAUAAACAGCCAAUGUCAGAGUUGAUGUCCAGUUUUUACAUGUUCCAGUUAUCCGGGGAUGAUAUUGAAAAGAAUUGCAUUCACAAGAUUUAUAUUGUGAUUUGAUGAUUAGGUCUCACUAGCUGGCAGAUUUCAACUCUGUUUGAUUUGGUACAGCAGAGUUCAAUUCAUCGUAUCUAUUUGGUUGGUGCUGGAUUUCAUAUUCAUCUUUCAAUAGCCAGCCCGGCGAGCAAGGCUAGCCCUGCAGUAUGGCCAGCAAUAUUUCAGUGAAAGACUAGUACAUCAUAAGCCAUUAACAACAGUAAUAAGCACAAAUAUUAACUCAAUCAGACAAUCCAAAAUGGUAAUUAACUGAUCAAAGACCUUUGAGGAAUUCAUUGUUUCAAAAUUGGAAAAAUUUUGAGUGUACAUAGUUAAAACUGAAGCAGAUUAGGUGAUUGAUUUUAUCAAAACAGGCAUUCUAAUUGAAUGAAAUAUGACCUCAUAUCAGCUUUUGUUUUAGUCAAUGGAUUUUUUUUUUGUCAAGUUACCUAGUCCGUGUGCUUUCCUGAAGAAAUGCAGAGUAUUACUGUUUACACAUACAAAAUUACCUUUCCUUGAAGUCAUUUCCGCUAGCCAGCAAAAGCAUGCGGUUUUGUAUAUACUCUGAUUCAUGACAUGCAUGGUCAACAUACAACUAGAGUUGAAUUCUUACCAGAGGAGAAGAAACCCUUUGGUAGCCUCACUUAAAUGUCAUGGCAAAACAGAUCAAAACACCAGCUAACGUUGAGCUGCUAACAUGGAGAUACAGGCAUAAAAAGAAAAGUACCAAAAGCGCAUGCAAGUCUUAACCAAACAUCAGCCAUGGACAUUUCUUCAACCUCACAAAAUUCCAGUUUGGUUCUUUAUCUACAAUGAAUCAAUGCCUUUAAAUCUUUCUAUUUUCUGUACAUUAACUGUCAUUUAAAAUACACAACAGCGUGUAACUUAGGCAGGACACUCAGUUAUCAAGGCAGAGGCUUUUUCAUGCAUUGAAAUAUUAAUACGACCUAUUAAACUAUGUUGAGAUUAAGACUCGAAUUUUUGUUCAGUAAUGAUCUAAACAGGCUGCUGAAGAUCACCAAUACAACUAACAGAAAGAAACAGGAAUACUAACCUAGUCCCAAUUUAAUCCAAGAUUCAUUCAGAAGAAACCACUUGCACAAAGCAAUUGCCUGUUGAGAAAAGGCACCUACAAAAGGCCAAAUUCUGAGCAGGCCAAUCUGUGAACCGCGAUAAUUUAGCUGAAAAUGGAAUAAACCUCUAGACUUAAUUAAGAACAGGUAAAUCAAAAAGCUCCAAAUAAAUGAAAAUCAUAGAAGAGAAUACCAAGAAAGUUAUUGAACCUUGAAAAGAAACAAUAGAGCAUUUCAAUGUAUUUAAAAGACUACAUCUUCUUCACAGUUUAUCUAUCACAUAUUCUAUCUUAUUCUUGCACAAUUAAUAUCAUCUAACACUAUCAACACUCUACAGCUGAUGAAAUAAUGUUGCAAUUUCUGCUUGCUAUUUUGAGGCCCUCCUUCUCCUUCGACAUCUCUCCAAAGCGAAACACAGCUCAGAAGACUUGUUCCUGAAGCUCCAUAGAUUCACAGUCGUACCUUCUCUCAGUCUAUUGUCUGGAUUACUCAUAACCAAUGAAUGCCAUUUCUCCACGAGAGAAUAACUGAUCUUCCACUUCUUUAACUUCAAUUUAACAUUGGAUUUAAGAGACGGAGGAAUCAUUGAGACCUCUAAUGAGAAAAGUGUCCUUGUGAGGUUGCAUGACAUUAAUCUUAACCCUCUGAUUUCAAGAAAUGACUCUCUUUGGUAUUCUUAAUAAGUAUCCUUCACUUGCAUGCUUGUCGGUCAGCUUUCUCGCUGUCCGGAGAUGUUCAUCUUUGUCAGGGUACACAAACACAUUGAAUUCCAAUCUUCGUUUGUAACUUCUGCCACCCGCUUUCCAACAAGAUCUCGCACAAGUCUCCACGUUUGUAAAAACAAUUUCAAGAUUUCAUCACCUUUCGCUUCUUUUCCGGCCUCUCUCAGGAAUCUUUCAAAAGACUCACUAUUCUCAGCUUGUUCAUUCAACUCUUGCCCCAUUUUAUUAUUAUUAUUUUAUUUAUUUAUUUAUUUUUUUUGGAGAUUGAAAGAAGUAAGAAACGGUGAUCUGGGCUAAUCUUAGCAGCUGUUUGGCAGCAGGGAAAAAGAGUAAGAAUUUUAUUGAUCUCAGCUUAGCAAUAAAAUGAGGAUUACUUAGUGUAUUUUAUACUAAAGUCCAGCUGCGGCCAGUCGUAUAGCUUCACACAAGUUAGCAGUUACAGGGGUUCUGUAACCAACUGCCAGGUUGGCAAUCCAUGUGGCGAAAUGAUCUCAUCCCUUGGAUCUUACUCUACUUUUGCUGAGUUAAAAUGACGGUGUUUGAUGGUUGCACCAAAAUGUUCGACAGAAUGUCUCAAAGAAGAUGUCUUGUGGGGAUCACCUUGGUUUGAAAUCAUACUGUAUGGAUGAUCAGAUGCCCCAAUGAUCUAGUGGCUGAUAUGAAGGCAUCAAGAAGCAUUAGCUCUAGAAUGAGCAAGAGUGUUGCCAGAUAAGCUUGGUGACUCAGCCAGGGAAUUGAAGACAAAAUGUGGAGAGAGUUUGUUCUCCUUUUGUAUUUUUGAUUUGAUGAAACCUGGACCAUUGAUUGUUUGUUACGCAUGUUAGGGUUUCAUAAUUCACCAGCUGUAAUGUAAAUAGCACAUGACAUAUGGGAAUUGUUAUUGUUUUUGUUAUACAUUUAAAGGCACUAAAAGAUACAAUUUUUAGGGGGAGAGUUUGUUACAGGGAUUGGUUACAACCGCCAGGUUGACAAUCCAUGUGACAAAGUGAUCUGGGCCCUUGAUCUGAUUCUGCUUUUCAACAAAAAAAUAACUAGCAGUUGACUUAAAAUAUUCAAAGAUUAAAAAUAGGAAUUAAUCACACUAUAGUUCUUGAAAAUGGCUGUCAUAUUUAUUAAAAAAAAAAAAAAAGGCUCCGUGCCAUUAGAUGUGCGCAAGAGGCAGGGCAAAUGUGGCCAGAAUUAAUCAAAAUCAGGCUUGUAUAAGUUGAUUGGAAAAAGAUAUUGCAGUGUACGUUGAGCACUAGUCUCAGAAUUUUUUGAGUGAGAUAUGGUUCAAAAGUUCCGGCUCAGAGUACUAAUGAUUAAAAAGCCUAACUGGGUCCGUCGCUUUAAUCAAAGCUACGUGAGGCCUGAUUUCAUACUUCAUACAUCUGCAAUGCAUCUAGUUACAACAUGAUGGUUCGGUAAAGGCAACAUGAAUUGCUUUUAUAGCAAGUCAUGUAAAGCACAAACACCGAAGAAAUGAAAAGCCGCUGAAAUUUGUAGUAUUCAACUGGAAAUGAAAAGUGAAGGAAUUUGCAGAAGCAAGCAAGAACAUUAUAUGAAAGUCAGUUCCUAACUACAUGGAAGUACAGUAAAAUGUCAGUUCUAAAAGCAUCAAUGCUAUCAGGGGACUUAAAAGUCAUUAGAAACCUAGCAAGGUCACCAAAGAGAAAACUAUUUGAGAUGCUUGAGCAUUCUCAACAAACUAUAUCUGUUAAAGUCAUCAGAAAUAGCUUUAGACUGGUUGCUGAAUUAAAACAGAAGAAGAACUUGAAUACUGUGCAUCGUUAAAUUCAUUGAAACGAUUACAAUUGACUAAAUAAUGCUGCUGCACUUUGAGUGCAAUACAUACCGUCAAUUUACAGUGUACAUUAAAGAACCAUGAGUAGUAAAAAACAGUAACAGUAUUGCAUUACAUAAAUGACUAAAAGAAUGGCUUAAAAUGUGGAAUUGAAUAUUCGUCAAUGAUCAAGGGAGAUUAUCAUCUUCAGGCUGCCUACGCCAGGGGAAAUAACAAGCACCUAUCCGCCUUGGAUGUACCAAGAACUUCUCCUCUUGCUCUGCCCAUUGAAAUUCCUCACUUUCCACGGAGACCAAAUGUGUAACAGAGAAGUCAAUUACUAUGGUGCAUGUAGCUUUCAUCUCCUCUGCUCUUGAACUGCUUCGUAUAAAAUCCCCAAAAUGACUGAAGAGUAAUGUACAUCACCUAAGAAUUCGACUACAACAUUUUGGGAAGUAAGUCCGAACAUCUCCGCAACCACUGUCAAAAAACAAUUUAUGGACUGUUUUCAGAACUCUCAUAUUGUUUGCUAAUGCCCGUCAUUCUCACUUUCAUUAGUCCAUGUUUCAGAAUAGAAUUUAUGAUCGCUUUUCAUUUCUUUAUCCUUAACAACUAUCAAGUUCUCAUUGUGAUCACUCCACGCACUCUAAUUGUCAUCAUGAAUAAUAAUGCCGGUCUCUUGCCCCAAUAUUGAGUUCAGAUUCUUCCUAUCUUUUCGCUUGAAAUCUUCACGACCAAUGAUCCUGGAACUGAAGUACUUGGAAUCUGGGUCGAGUAGCUUGACAGCCUUCUUAGCGUAACAUCCGGUACCCAUGGUGCAUACAUAUAUCUCAAACAAGCUACUGGUUUGUUCAAGAAAAGUGUGAAAAAAUGGCCUCAACUUCACCAACCCAUCAUCAUCCAUCUGGAAUAAACUGUCAUUGAAGGAAUGAACUCGCUUCUUCAAAUAUUUCUCUCCUGAUGAGAGGCUUGUAACCUUUUGACAGUGGAGCAGCGUAUUGUUGCGGACCGCCCAAUUCGCUAGCCCAAUUGCCCACAAUUUCGGGCUAGAGAGCCAACACAAGGCCAAGAGUGCUAGCUUGGCCCAAUUCUGGAACAUUCUAGGCAACUCUAGCACAUGAGCUUGUAAAUACUCUAGAAUUCUCCAUAUAAUUCCAGCACAUGUAAAUAGCUAGGAAAUGGUAGAAUUCUCUAUAAUCUCUAGAGCUUAGUAAGCCUCCCCUAUAAAUAUGGGAUGGCAUUAGGCAUUUGUAUCCAACAAACACUACAACAAGCAUUGUAAGCAACUCAAGCAUUGUAAUCUCUCUUUGUGCAAUACAAGUUUCUUCUUUGGCUCAAUUGCUCUCUUCUCUAGUUCGAGAAGCUCUAGGCUUACUUUGCAACAUUCGGCAAAGUUGUCUAAGUGCCGCACGGGUUAGCUGCGCAAAAUACUCAUCCCGUGACAAGUGGUAUCAGAGCUAAGGUUUGCACGCACGCAAGUUAACUCACGAAGCAAUGGCCAACCCUUCGAACGUAGCACAAGAGGGUGUUGCUGGAGUGGAUGCUCCACCGGAACCAAGCCGCGGUCGAGAGGGAGAACGCGCCCAAGGCAAGACUCGCGGCAAAUCCAAGGCCCCAUCCGUGGAUGCGUUGGAGCCUCGUGUGACUACUCUCGAAAUUGCAUUGUCCGCCGCUCAAGAUAGCCUCGAAGGAUUGGAGGAAAGAGUGGAUGGUCUUGAGGGGGAAUACGCCGAGUUCACGGUGGCAACCAAAGCUCUCAUCCAAGAGCAAGCGAACACUCUCCGAGGUGAGUUUCGUUCUUUUUAUGAUGAGUUGCUAAAACUUCGUAGUUUUCUUCAGGACGAACUACGCGUUGUCUGUGCGGAAGUGGAUGAAGUCCGCUCGGAUUGGGCAUGGCACAAGCGCACACUCUCCGCUAGUCCAGCUUCCACAAACUCGAGUGAUGGGCGCUGCAUUGACGUUCCAAAGCCCGACACUGACGAUGACACACGCAAUGCCACCAUCGUGGACAAUUUCCUCUUUGGGCUCGAUCAAUACUUUGAUGCCAUGGGUGUUCGAGAUGAGGAAUCGAAAGUGGGCACUGCACCCACCUAUCUUCGAGGCGCUGCACAACUAUGGUGGCGUUGCAAGCAUGGCGAGAUGGGCAAGGGCAUUUACACCAUCGACACUUGGGCCGACUUCAAGCAAGAACUCCGAAAGCAGUUCGCUCCAAGCAAUGCGGAGAAGGAAGCGCGAGCGCGCUUAUGUCGCCUCAAGCAAUCGGGUAGCAUUCGGGACUAUAUCAAUGAGUUCACUACCCUUAUGUUGGAGAUAAGCGACAUGUCCGACAAGGAUUCGCUCUUCUACUUCCAAGAUGGCCUCAAGGAUUAGGCCAAGACCGAGCUUGAUAGGCGUGAUGUUCAAACACUUGACGCCAUCGCCGUUGCGGAAUUGCUCACCGAAUACUCUACCCAAUCCAAGGACAAAAAGGCCAACCAAGGCAAAGGUGGGGGAGAGAGUCGCAAGGACAAGGGCAACAACCGCAAAGAUUGAGGGUAGAAAAAGCCACCUAGCAAUAAGAGCGGGCAAGGAAAAUCGGAGGGCAAGAAGGAGGCGCCAAAGUCGCGAAGCCCAUGCUUCAUAUGCAAUGGUCCUCAUUGGGUACGCGACUGUCCGGAGAAGAGGUCGCUUAAUGCUCUUGCUACCCAACUCAAGAGUAACCCCACAAUGUCCACGAAGGAACCCCAACUCAACAUGGGUUCUCUCCAACGCCUCAGCGCACUCAAUCGCCAACAGCCCACACUCAUCAAGAAAUGGCUCAUGUAUGUAAGCGCAAAAGUAAACGGUCAGUCCAUUCGCGCGCUGCUAGACACGGGAGCGACGCACAACUUUGUGUCCGUAGACGAGGCCAAUCGCUUAGGCCUUAAGGCCACCAAGGAAGGAGGCACAAUGAAAGCGGUAAACUCACCCGCCAAGCCAAUUGUGGGAAUCGCGCAAGGCGUGCACAUUACGCUUGGUACGUGGAGCGGAAAGUUUAACUUCUCCAUCGUGCCCAUGGACGACUUCAAGAUGGUCCUCAGCAUGGAAUUCUUUGACUAAGUCCAUGCUUUCUAGCUGCCCGCUAUAAACUCCCUAAGCAUCCUCGACGGGAGUAAGGCAUGCAUCGUUCCCACAGAACGAGGCAAGUCCGAGGAGAAGACACUCUCCGCCAUGCAAUUCAAAAGGGCUUUCAAGAAGGACCCAAGCUUCUUGGUCUCCAUUCGGGAACUAAAUAAGGAAGGAAAUAGCGGAACGUCGGCAAGCCAAGUCUCUCCGCAAAUUCAAGCCGUCCUCAAUGAGUACAAGGACAUGAUGCCUCCAGAGCUUCCGAAGAAACUCCCACCUCGACGAGAGGUAGAUCAUGUGAUCGAGCUGGAACAAGGCGCGAAGCCACCAGCCUUGGCGCCCUACUGCAUGGCGCCACCCGAAUUAGAGGAGUUGCGGAGACAACUUAAAGACUUGCUGGACGCAGGCUACAUUCGCCCCUCAAAGGCCCCAUUCGGUGCACCGGUCCUCUUCCAAAAGAAAAAGGAUGGAUCGUUGCGGAUGUGCAUCGACUAUAGAGCGCUCAACAAGAUCACCAUUAAGAACAAGUAUCCGAUUCCCUUGAUCGCGGACUUGUUCGACCAACUUGGCAAAGCGCGAUACUUCACCAAACUUGACUUGCGCUCCGGGUACUACCAAGUGCGCAUCGCCAAGGGAGACGAACCGAAGACAGCGUGCACAACAAGGUACGGGUCUUUCGAAUUCCUUGUGAUGCCUUUCGGCCUUACUAAUACACCCGCCACAUUUUGCACACUCAUGAACAAGGUGCUCCAACCAUUCCUUGACCGCUUCGUGGUCGUGUACUUGGAUGACAUAGUGGUGUAUAGCACCACGCUCGAGGAUCAUGUCGAACACUUGCGACAAGUCCUCCAAGUACUCCGAGACAACGAGUUCUUCCUCAAGUUAGAGAAAUGCUCGAUUGCACAAUAAAAAGUGGAGUUCCUUGGUCAUAAGAUUGUGGGUGGGAAGAUUAUGAUGGAGAACGCCAAAGUAAAGGCCAUCCUCGAUUGGGAGCCUCCCUCGAAAGUGCCCGAGCGUCGCUCAUUCCUUAGGCUGGUGAAUUACUACCGCCGCUUCAUCAAGGGCUAUUCGGCCAAGGCAGCACCCUUGACGGAUAUGCUCAAGAAAAAUAGAACGUGGCAUUGGUCCGAAGAAUGCCAACGCGCAUUCGAGGAGUUGAAGAAGGCAAUUUCGAAGGAACCCGUCCUCGCUCUUCCAGACCACACUAAACCCUUCGAAGUCCAAACAGAUGCCUCAGAUUUCGCCAUAGGAGGAGUCCUUAUGCAAGAAGGCCACCCCAUACCAUUCGAGAGUCGAAAGCUAAAUGACACAGAACGCCGCUACACGGUGCAAGAAAAGGAGAUGACAGCCAUCAUCCAUUGUCUAAGAGUGUGGCGACAUUAUUUGCUUGGCUAACACUUCACGAUCAUGACGGACAACGUGGUGACAAGCUACUUCCAAACUCAAAAGAAGUUGAGUUCGAAGCAAGCACGGCGGCAAGAUUUCCUUGCGGAAUUCGACUAUCGGCUAGAGUACAAACCGGGGAAAUCCAAUGUCGUUGUAGAUGCUCUAAGCUGCAAGGCGGAAUUGGCAACACUUAGCAUGAGCCAACCAAAGUUUGACCUUGUCUCAAGCAUCAAGGAAGGCCUUCAACAAGAUCUGCUAGCAAAGGAUUUGCUGGAGAAGGUGCUCGAGGGAAAGACAAAGCGUUUUUGGCAAGAGGAAGGCAUCCUCCUCACCAAGGGAGAUCGGUUGUUCGUGCCAAGGUGGGGAAACUUACGGAAGGAAGUAAUUAAAGAAUGCCACGACUCCAAGUGGGCUGGUCACCUAGGAAUCGAACGCACCACCGCACUAGUACAAGCCUCAUAUUUUUGGCCGCACAUGAAGGACGACAUUGAGGCAUAUGUGCGAACUUGUCUUGUGUGCCAACAAGACAAGGUGGAUCAUCAACUCCCAGCGGGAUUAUUGGAGCCGCUACCACUAGCAACAAGGCCAUGGGAAAGUGUCUUCAUGGACUUCAUCACAUCGCUGCCCAAGUCCAAAGGUUGCGGAAGCAUCAUGGUCGUUGUCGACCGAUACAACAAGUAUGCCACAUUUAUUGCCGCACUAGUCGAUUGCAAAGCGGGCGAGGCAACCCGUCUAUUCAUCAAGCACAUUGUGAAGCUUUGGGGAGUUCCGAAGAGCAUUGUGAGUGACCGAGACCCUCAGUUCACUGGGCGUUUUUGGACGGAGCUCUUUAAGAUGUUGGGGACUGAUCUCAAGUUCUCGACAAGCUUUCACCCACAAACGGAUGGGUAGACCGAGCACAUUAAUGACCUCCUCGAGAUGUACUUGAGGCAUUAUGUGAGCGCUCACCAGCGGGAUUGGGCGAAGCUACUCGACAUCGCUCAAUUUUCUUAUAACUUGCAGCGAAGCGAGGCUACGGGCAAGAGUCCGUUCGAGAUCAUCAUGGGAUUCCAGCCAAUGACUCCCAACGCCAUAGAGUCGACUUACGGAGGGAAAAGCCCCGCGGCACACAAGCUCGCCCGUGAAUGGCAUAAGGAAGCGGACAUCACACGAGCCUACCUCGACAAAGCCGCGAGGAAAAUGAAGAAAUGGGCAGAUACAAGGAGACAGCAUGUUGAGUACAAGGAAGGUGAUCAAGUCAUGAUCAAGCUCCUACCCCAACAGUUCAAGACUUUGCGGAAAGUUCACAAGGGGUUAGUGAGGCGCUACGAGGGACCCUUCCGAGUUGUUUGACGUGUGGGCAACGUCUCGUAUCAACUCCAACUUCCGCCAAGACUCAAGAUUCAUCCGGUCUUCCAUGUGAGCCUUCUCAAGCCAUAUCACGAAGACAUGGGAGAACCAAGUCGUGGAGAAUCGAGGCGCGCGCCAACUGCCGUUGUCACCGCGUUCGACAAAGAUGUGGACUACAUCAUUGCGGAUUGCACGAUUUCGAGGAGGGGCGUGCCAGCACAUAGCGAAUACUUGGUGAAGUGGAAAAACCUCACCGAAAGUGAAGCCACUUGGGAACGUGAAGAAGAUUUGUGGCAAUUCACUGAGCACAUCCAGAGGUUCAAACACGAGAGCGCGACGAGGACGCCGUGAGCUUCGGUGGGGGAGGAUGUUGCGGACCGCCCAAUUCGCUAGCCCAAUUGCCCUCAAUUUCGGGCUAGAGAGCCAACACAAGGCCAAGAGUGCUAGCUUGGCCCAAUUUCGGAACAUUCUAGGCAACUCUAGCACAUGAGCUUGUAAAUACUCUAGAAUUCUCCAUAGAAUUCCUGCACAUGUAAAUAGCUAGGAAAUGGUAGAAUUCUCUAGAAUCUCUAGAGCUUGGCAAGCCUCCCCUAUAAAUAUGGGAUGGCAUUAGGCAUUUAAUUAACGAUGUGGUACAAAGGAUUGUGUAGUAAAAAAAAAAAAAAGGCUUGGGACGAAUUAUUAUUCGAGCAUACAAUUAUGGAAGUCAGUUCCAAUCUUUUAGUGGAGUAGAUUUGGAAUUAAAUAAUUGGGCUAGUUUAAAUACAGGCCUAAUUAUUGUAGCCACUAUUGUAUGUUCCCAAAUGAUCCCCGGGUUAGCUCAUUUAAUUGACUGCACCACUACUGGACUAAUAAGUAAGAUAACUAGCUAUUUGUGUCAAAAGCCUAAAUAUAUCAUUUAGUGGGAGGCUCCAUUUAAUUAGCUUUUGUGUAAGGGGCCUUAUGUUAUUUUACAAGGUGGGUCCCUUAUUUAAAAAGCAAAUAACGUGGGUUUUGUUUUUUGAAUUAUUUGGAGCCUAGGGUUUUCACUAAAGGGUGAUAUAAAAGGCUUAUUUUCUCUAAAGAAAAUAGUGAAGCCACUUUAUACAGAUCAAAGAAUAAGAUUUUUCUCUCUAUUGUUGAGAGAAAAAAUUUCUCGUGCUAGUUGCUUUGGUAGUGAUAAAGGCGCCCACACGUCAAGGGCAGAUCGAACCUGAGUCAUAACCUGGAAGAUCAUUGGUGACAGUUCGUGAUCUAACAAGCGUGGUGGUGACGGAUCGUGAUCUAACAGGAGUGGUGGUGGCAGAUCGUGAUCUAACAGGAGUGGUGGUGGCAGAUCGUGAUCUAGGAGCCUAAAUCACUUCAGCGGAAAAAGCCAACUCGGAUUUUCAAGGUACGAUUUCUAGAAUACGAAUUCUUAUAUAUUAUAUGAGAGCAAUCUUCAAAAUGUUUUAUAAAAAUUUUAAAAACCUAAUUUUUCCCCAACAAUUGGUAUCAGAGCCAUCUCAUAUUAAUAUAUAAGAAUUUCGUAUGAAAUUAAUCUUGAAAUUUAUGUAUUAGAGUGGCACAUUUAUUCAGAUAUAUAUUAUUUGUUUAAUAUAUGAAUAAAGCAUGUUUAUGGUUUGUCUUAAUUCAUGGUUAGAUUUUCCGUUGUAAUUUUUCUUUGGAUCUGUAACAAGAGGGGUGGUCUUUUAUCACCAUGUUUCCAUCUUGAUUUAGUUUAUCGCAAUAAAAAUUUUGUUAGCCAAAAUUAGCAUUGGAUAAUUGUAAAUCACUGGAAUAUUACGGAAACUUGCUGGAAACUGCAGCAACGAACCAGCGCACGCAGCAGUCGAGCGGCCAGUAGCACACGCUGCUGCGCGAGCAGCGCGCGGCCAGCAGCCACGCUGCAAGCAGCGAGAGUUGCACACGCAGCAGCUGCAGCGCGCGCUGCACAUGCAGCAACUGCAGCGCGCGAGCAGCAGCUGCAACGGCCAAGCAGCAGCGUGAACGUGGGCUGGAGGCGCGGAGCGUUUUGGUUGGAGUCUUUCCGGCGUUGAUGACGGCUGUUCGGUGUGGAAACAGUAAACAACGGCUGGGCUUUUGUGCUGGUGGCGGCUGGGGAAGAAGAGGAAAAGAAAAAUGUGAUUUUAGGGUUCCAUGGUUUUUAUCAUGGAGGUCCCUAUAGUUUCAUAUUUUUCAGUUGGGCAAAAAUGUUUUUAAUUUUUUGCGUUUAAAUCCAAACAUAGUUUUGGGUUUAAUGAAUCCUAGUUUUAGGCCCAAUUUCAAUUGGGCUUAAUGGAUUAAAAUGCAUAGACAAAAUUAAAUACAUUAAAUUUAUUUUUGGUCCAAAAAUUUUAUUUUAAUAAAAAAUUUUUUAUUUAUUUAUUUAAAAUUAAAAUUGGACCAAUUAUAAAUUUAAAAGCCCAAUUUCCCCUAGUCCAUUAACAAAGACAAGUUUAUCGAAGAUGGACAUUGACAAGAAGCCUAAUGAAGAUUAGGCUUAGGGUUAAUGUAUUUUUCAUUAUAGGAAAAGCCAUGAAUUAAGAUUAUUUAAUUGUUUUUCUAUAUGUUAUGUUUUGGAUGAUCACAUGGCAUGAUAACAUGUCAUAUAGAAUAGGUUGUGCCACUCUAUGCAUAAUGAUACAUGUCAUUCAUUAAUUAUGAAUUUAUUAUAUUGUUUGAAAUUUGUCUAUGCUUAAUAAUAUUGGAUAUCAUCUAGAUAAUAUUAUAGGAAGCAUGCAAUUAACAAUAUGUAUGUUUUAAAAAGGAAAAAUCAAUUUUAAAAUAUUGAGUGGGAGAGGGAAAAUUCAAGAUAAUUUUUCCCACGGGCUCCAUUGUUAGUUCAAUAAUAAAAUUAUAUAUAUACCUCGACUUCAUGAUACGGUGAUGCUCCCUACGGAGGGUAUAUCUAUUAGAUAUUUUAUUUGAUGAACUUCUUCAAAGAUAAAAUUGAAAUAUUUUUCAAUCAAUUGUUCGCCCCAACGGUGACUAUUGAUAUGAAAAAUACUUAGAUUGAAACAAUGGUUAUACACUCAACUAAAAUUUGUUAUUAACCUUCUCAACGAAGCUCUGUUAACAAAUUAAGGCCCAAAGGGAUAACGAUAAUUAUUUAUCAUGUCUCUACAUGAAAGUAAAUAAUCUAAUGCAUAAUUGGGUCUAGUAAGUGUAGACAUGACUUCCCCAACGGAUAGCUUGUCAAAGCGGUACUAGAUUAUCGUUACAAUAAAUUAAAAUGCAUUUAUGAUUUUUUGUAUUUUUGUCAUUUAUUGUGAAUAUUGUUUCAAAGUAUUUAUGCAUGUUUAUUUUGUUUUGUUUUUCAGAAAAUGUCUUCCAUCAACCCCUUAUUAAUUAUCCUUGUUAAAAAUGAACUCACUGGCGAAAAUUAUUUAGAUUGGAAACGCAAUCUAUUUAAUAUUCUCACUACUAAGGGAAGCAAAUAUGUGUUGACCCAGCCUUGCCCUCCUGAACCAUCGUUAUACAAUUAUAGAAAUCAGAGGGAGCCUUAUGAGAAAUGGUGCGAAGCUAACAAAAUGGCUAAGCGCUAUAUAUUGGCUUCGAUUUUGUGGAACUGCAUAAGAAACAUCGGAGCAUGGAAACAGCCACUGAAAUUAUGGCUAGUCUUCAUCAGAUGUUUGGGCAAAAUACCCAUUUUGCUAGACGUAUUACGGAUACUAAGAUGGAAGAGGGUACAAAAGUUCGUGAUCAUGUCCUCAAAAUGAUGGACUAUUUGAAUGAGGUAGAGAAUCAUGGUGUUCAAAUCAAUGAUAAAUCAAAGAUUAACAUGGUGAUUGAAUCUUUACCUGAUACAUUCAAAGAGUUUAAGGUCAGCUAUAUCUUAAACAAUAAAGAUAUGACCUUAAUUGAAUUAAUGCACGAACUACAUGCUAUAGAAGAAUUUUAUAAUAGCAGAAAACUUCCUGAAAAAUGAUUCUCUUCAAGGCUUAAGUCGAAAGACAAGAAUGAGCAAGUAGGAGUUGAGAUCGGCAAACUAUCCAUUAAAAGAAGUGGCAAGCCAAAAGGCAAGUGUUACAAAUGUGGACAGAAGGGUCACUGGAAGAAAGAUUGUCCUAAGAUUAUUAAAAUCAGGUAUAGGAAAUCUUUAAGCUUCCUAAUUAGUUCAGAUUUCUAUUGAUUCAUACAAUAAUGAAUUCUGAGAUAACUAAUCUUAUUUGUAAUUCAUUUAUUUGGUUUUCAGGAAACCAAGGGAUUAAGUGAAGAAAGCUUCAAACAGCAGUUGAGGACGUGCUAGUUUAUAUCAAUUGAAAGACUAGAUCAAUUUUACAAGACUUUAGUUUUGAUAUUUGUCUUUAUUUUUCCAAAUAUUAGAGGAAUUUAAUUUCGGUGGCUUGUUUUAAUAAACAGGAGUACACUGUUAUUUAUGGAUCCUCUUUUUAUUACUUAUUUUGGUUAUUUAUAAAGACAAUUUAUAUCAUAGAAGUACAUUGAUCUAUUCAAAGUAAGAUAUAAUGAUAAAAAGUAUAUGCAUUUAUCUAAGAAAAGAAAUGUUUCUUCUAACCAAAAAUCACCUCUGAUAUUUAUGCUUAAGUCAUAUAAACUAUAAUAAGAUUUUAAGAAAAUGAUUAAUGAUAGACUUGUUGGCCUAUUAAGAUUGAUCAUUGUAACUCUAUAAAUCUUAUUUAGAAAAGUAAUAUGACAAGGAUGCUCUUUUUGAGCUAAAAGCAUAACAUUGUAUUUGAUGAUUUAGCGCAUACAAAUGUAUACGGACAAAUCAGUUUACAUGUUAUAAGAGGUUAUGAGUAUUCUAUCAAUCUUGUUGAUGAAUAUUCAUUUUAUUUAUGUUUGUCUAAGUGCGUCAUGAUUCCAUUGCUUUUGAAAUUCAAAAGAGUACGUGGAUAAGACAGAAGCAAUUAGACAGGAACAUAAAAGAACUUCAAUAUGAUCGAAACAAAGAAUAUCUCUAUGGAGAAUUCAAGCACUAUUUGGUUGUCAAUGAACACUAUGAUACAAAUAGUGUAAUUAAAUGGAGAAACAAGAUUCUUUUGGAUAAGACAAGAUAUAUACUAAGUGGUUUAUCAUUUACCUUUUUGAUUCCAGAUACUAGUAUUUGAAACUACAAAGUUUAUUGAACUUAGUUUCAUCUAUCUCGGUGUCUAUUACUCCAAGAUAUUAUGAAAAAGUCACAAACAUAGUUUGAGACACAUUCGUAUUUGGAGUUUACUAGAAUCAGAGAUAGAGAAGAUGGAUUCGUGUUCAGAAGCUUGCAUGUUUUAGGUAUCUUAAAGGAAUAAGGGAAAGUCUGAAUUAUAGUCCUCAAGAUAGGAAUGUAUUUAUAGAAAUAUUCUUUACUUUCUUUGAGGAAGACUAUAUAAUGACUUAUAACCAAAGAGUAAGGUAAAACUAGAGAAAUAAAAGAGAUCGGGUUGAUGCUCAGCUUUCAACACCUGUUAUAGAACAGGAAGAACAGCAACAACCAGCUGAUCAGUACAGGAUUAUCUGUGAACAACCAUCACUUUUAGAACCUCGUCGUAGUGGGAGGGUAACUAGGUUACCUGCGAGAUACAUGCUUUUGGGAGAAACCUAUACGGCUAUCUCAGAUGAACAUGUACAAGAUCCCACUAGUUACAACGAAGCUCUAAUAGAUAGAGAUGUUGAAUUUUGAAAAAGGCCAUGAAUCAAGAAAUGGAAUCUAUGUAUUCCAAUAAAGUCUGGGAACUUGUAGAGGCGCCAAAUGGGGUAAAACUUAUAGGGUGCAAGUGGAUCUACAAGAGAAAAAGAGGAGUAGACGGAAAGAUGGAAACAUUUAAAGCAAGAUUAGUAGCCGAAUGGUUUACUCAUAAAGAAGGAAUCAAUUAUAAGGAACCUUUUCUCCGGUUGCUGUGCUUAAAUCCAUCAGGAUUCUGCUCUCCAUUGCUGCAGUGCUAGAUUAUGAAAUUUGGCAAAUGGAUGUCAAGACUGCCUUUCUUAACGGGCAUCUUGAAGAAAACAUCUACAUGCAGCAACCAGAUGGAUUUAUACAAAAAGGCCAAGAACACAUGGUAUGUAAGUUGUAGAGAUCCAUUUAUGGAUUGAAGCAAGCAUCCCGGUCAUGGAACAUCAGAUUUGAUCAAGCGAUAAAAUCGUUUGGAUUCAUUCAGAACAUUGAUGAACCAUGUGCGUACAAGAAAAUUCAAGAAAAAUUUGUAACCUUCCUAAUUCUUUAUGUAGACGAUAUUCUUCUAAUUGGAAACGAUAUAGGAGUGUUGACUACAAUAAAGAGUUGGUUAGCAAAACAAUUUGAUAUGAAAGACCUGGGAGAGGCAAGUUAUAUUCUUGGUAUCAAGUUACUACGAGACCGAAAGAAUAAAACUUUAGCCUUGUCACCUAAAACAUCUCUAAGGAUCAAUCAGACAUGGAAUUACAUUCUCUAAGGAUCAAUCACCUAAAACAUCUGAAGAGAUAGAGAGAAUGAGACGAGUUCCCUAUGCAACAGCUGCGGGAAGUCUCAUGUAUGCCAUGCUUUGCACUAGGCUAGACAUCUGUUUUGCGAUAGGGAUGGUUAGUCUAAUCCUGGACCUAAACACUGGACUGCGGUCAAGCAUAUAAUGAAGUAUCUGAAAAGAACUUAAAAUUAUAUGCUUGUGUAUUCUGGUGAUAAACUUAUUUUAGUGGGUUAUACUAAUUCUAAUUUUUUGUCAGAUAAGGAUUUUAGAAAAUCAACUUCUGACUAUGUCUUUACAUUGGGAAGUGGAGCUAUUAGUUGGAUGAGUGUGAAACAAUCUUGUAUCACAGACUCAAUAAAUAAAGCUGAAUAUGUGGCUACAUCUGAAGCAGCAAAAGAAGCUAUAUGGCUCUGCAAGUUCCUACGAAAUCUUGAGGUGGUACCUGUUGUAACUGCACCCCUUAAACUAUUUUGUGAUAAUGGUGGUGCGGUAGCUCAAUCUAAGGAACCAAGGAACCACAAGAAACAAAACAUAUUGAAAGGAAGUAUCAUCUUAUAAGGGAAUAGUGUAGAAAGGUUAUAUGAAAGUACCCCAAAUGGCAUUAGAUGCUAAAUGGCAGAUCUUAUUACAAUGGCCAUUAGUGGGAAACCUUUAUAACCUGCACUUAGAGCCCUAGAGCAUGUGAAAUACGCCAGAUAUGCUUUGAGAGCUAGUGGGAGAUUGUUGGGAAAAUAUGCUCUUUAAAAGCAUAUGUGUUUAUUUAAUUGUAAUAAACAAUUUUUCUGAUUAAUAAAAUAAAUGAGGUAUUUUAUUCAAAUAUCUUAAUUGCAUUAAUAUUUGUAUUAAAGUCCAUUUAAUCAUAUUAUAUGUAUUUAUGUGAUCACCAUGUGGAUUCACAGAAGACAUAAAUACAAGUUAUCUUAUGAUUAAAUAAAUUUAGUUCGCAGUUGAUAAAUAAAGUUGGGCACUUUAUUUAGGUAUAGACUGUAAUAAAUAAUUGAAUGAUUUGUCUUAAUCAUGUAUGAAUUUAUUGAUGUAGUGCGACUACAUUGAACAGGAUCACAUAUGAGAUUUAAUUAACUUUGUAAUAACUGUCAGACUUAUUAAAUCUCAUAGGCGUUGAUUUUACUGUAAUCUUAAUCUUGAGUUAAUUAUGAUUUCAUGAUUGUGAUUGUUAUUUCAUUUGAGUUACCAAUGGGCACGACACAUCCUUGUGGUCAAGAUUACCCGGUAUCUUGGUGGGAGCAAUUAUGAGUAUUGGAGUUAUGGAUUAACAAUAUAGAAUUUGUACAACACAUCUCUUGAUAGGUUUUCGGUACUUGAUCAUAGAAUUCUCUGGCCAGAGUGUGUCAACAUAUUUAGUAUGUUGAAAAUGAUCAUUAGAGAAAACCAGUAAGGAUCAAGGAAUAAGAUGUUAUUAAAUUGAUUGGACAGUUGAGAUAUCAAUUAAAUUAACGAUGUGGUACAAAAGAUUGUGCAGUAAAGAAAUCAAUGUGGCUUGGGACGAAUUAUUAUUCGAGCAUACAAUUAUGGAAGUCAGUUCCAAUCUUUUAGUGGAGUAGAUUUGGAAUUAAAUAAUUGGGCUAGUUUAAUUACAGGCCUAAUUAUUGUAGCCAUUAUUGUAUGUUCCCAAAUGAUCCCCGGGUUAGCUCAUUUAAUUGACUGCACCACUACUGGACUAAUAAGUAAGAUAACUAGUUAUUUGUGUCAAAAGCCUAAAUAUAUCAUUUAGUGAGGGGCUCCAUUUAAUUAGCUUUUGUGUAAGGGGCCUUAUGUUAUUUUACAAGGUGGGUCCCUUAUUGAAAAAGCAAAUAACGUGGGUUUUGUUUUUUGAAUUAUUUGGAGCUUAGGGUUUUCACUAAAGGGUGAUAUAAAAGGCUUAUUUUCUCUAAAGAAAAUAGUGAAGCCACUUUAUACAGAUCAGAGAAUAAGAUUUUUCUCUCUAUUGUUGAGAGAAAAAUUUUCUCGUGCUAGUUGCUUUGGUAUUGAUAAAGGCGCCCACACGUCAAGUGCAGAUCGAACCUGAGUCAUAACCUGGAAGAUCAUUGGUGACAGUUCGUGAUCUAACAAGCGUGGUGGUGACGGAUCGUGAUCUAACAGGAGUGGUGGUGGCAGAUCGUGAUCUAGGAGCCUAAAUCACUUCAGCAGAAAAAGCCAACUCGGAUUUUCAAGGUACGAUUUAUAGAAUACGAAUUCUUAUAUAUUAUAUGAGAGCGAUCUUCAAAAGGUUUUAUAAAAAUUUUAAAACCCUAUUUUUCCCCAACAUAAUCCUGCCAGUAUAUAAUCAAAAGAUAAACUGAAUGAAUCAACCACGGCUUGGUUGCAAAAAAUGCACCUUCUGUCCCGAGCAGUGGAGUGUGUGCAUGACAAAAGCUGCUCAAAAGAACAAGAAUCUACACCACCGACAAACUCCCCACAUCUUCUCAUGUUAACAAACUUUGUUUUCCUAACACACUUGUGUUUGUAACUGUAUGCAUCCAUUUGGUGUGCUUUGAAAGAUUGUAUGAUUAAAAGAAAACAGAAUGAGUGUUUUCGAUUGAUUGUUUGAACAGGCUUUAGAGAAUUGCAAAACCCUUUUUCUCUUGAAGCUUAAAAUGAAUAAAUGUUUCAAGAAAUUAGUUUUAAAUGGGUUCAAUCAGAAAGAAUGAUGAACAAGAAAGUACAGUUGCAGAAUUCGAAAGAGAUUUUGUUGAAAAAGAGUUACAGUCAUAAAUGUAAUCGAAAUACGAUUGCAGAAAUUGUUUUUUAUUGGGUUUCAAUGAUAAUGUAAUUGUAAUUCUUUUCCUGAGUGAAGUGGGAAUUGACGAAAAACGCGGUCAAAAUCAUUCAUGGAGAGACAUAGAUAGGGUAGUUGUUAGAACUCGCCACUCGGAGACUUUGGAGCCAAGAGAGUUAUCUCUAACCCUAAGUUAACGGCCUUUUUUUCUUUCUCUGCAAGUAAAAGUUUUUCUUGUAAUUAGUUGAAUUGUUUAAGAAAAUUCACUAUUAUAAAAUAUAGUUAGUGUGUGUAUAUAUGUAUUUAUAUAUUUCUAUUAUUGACAAAACAAAUUAGAAUUUGAAGUUUUGACCGUUUGGGUUAGGAUUAGGGUUCCCGUGUUUUGAUCAUUUAACCGCCUUUUUUUUCUUUUAUCAAUUUUGGAAACUUAUUUCUUAGAUUACAAAAUUCAGGAAACCCGCUUCUAUAUUCGCAUAAUUUUCUAAUCCUGGCACUUUAAAGUUUUCUGAAAUUCCUGCUCUGUUUUAUUCGUUUCUCCGUACUUUGAAUCUUUAGUUGUCAGCUGCUAACUUUCUUUGAAUAUGAGAAGAAAGAAGAUGGAAGAGGAGAGAAACAUGAAAUGGGAAUUGAAUGAUGAUGGUGGUUCUUUUGACAGAAUUUUGAGAGAGGCGGAAGAGGCUGCCAAUGUUGAUGAGUCCUUCAAAAUGAGUUCACUUGUGAGGAUGAUUGUUCAAAGGCAUAUUGUAAAACAAGUGGCUCCAAAGGAAUUUGACAAUCUGGGGUUUUACCUACCCAAAAGAAGAAGAGAUUCUGUUUCUCAAAGCUUGCCAAGAAGAAGAAUGCCGUCGCUAACACUUAAAAUUAACAAUAAAAAGAUUACUCUGAACAGGUGCUUUGAUCAGACUUAUAUCAGAGCCGAUGAAGAUGAUGAACAAGAGAUCAGAAAGCCCAAAAAGUGGAGAAGACGGGAAUCAGGAAGAAUGCAUAUUUGCUGAUUAAUCAUUCAAGACUUGGAGAAUGGUACUGAUUUAGCGUUGGUGACGCUUUGAAACUCAAUGUAUCAAGUUAAUUGUAUCCAGUUAUCCCCUUUAGAAUCAAUCUCAGUUAAUGUAGCAACAAUUCACUUUAACUAACAUGUUGAGCAAGUUCCUGUUACUUAUGUGGGAUAGAUUUUCUUGAUUUUGUAGCAUUUGACCUAUGCUGAUGACUAAAUUCAUCACUGCAAUAUCAUGAAAGCAUUUUGUCAUCAGUUGAUUUUUACCUGUCUUUGAAUUGAUUUUGUAGACUAACUGUGUUAAUUUGCAUAAACGUAGAGCAUUCCUCAAAUGUUUAUGAGAAAGUUUGGACAUAAACUUAUUGAUGUUGCUACAUUCAUAAUUCCUAAUGGUCACCAUUGAUGUGUUCGUAUGAAAAAAGAAAAAAAAAUUCAAUCUUUAUAGGAUAUUUUAUAGUUUUCAAGUAUGAGAAGAGUUCAAGUUUUUAGGUUCUUAUUUUUUGAUUUGGCCAUAAUUUGAUUGUUUAGAUAUUUAAUUCUAAAGUAUGUUCAUAAACUCUUUCACUUAGUGGUCAUUAUAGUCAUGCAAAGAUUCGUUGAAGUAAAUACUCUUGAUGCUAAUGGGUUCAUAUGGUCAAAAUUUUAGUCGUUCAGUCAUUUCAUAAGGAUCUCUUUAAUACAAAUAGGCCGACUAUGUCAUUAUUUAUAGAAAGUAAAAAAUCAGGGACCUCAAAGAUAACCUCCCCAUAGGCAUAACCUUCAAAUUUAUUUGCGGAAGUAAGAUAAACUUGUAAUCUCAAAUUAAUAAUAUUUUUAUAAAGUAAAGAAAGAUCAAGAUGAGUCACCCACAGAAGUAAAGAUUUUGAAUUUUUUAUCUCUCCUUAACAUAUACCAUAUGGAUAUAUAACUACAUGUUCAUGCAAAUAUAUGUUUUGUCAUUUUGGUUCUUUUUUUUUUUUAAAAAAAAGGUAAAGUUUGUAUAUGAACAAUUAUAGCUUAAGAUUCAAAGAUUCUUCCAUUGUUGUUAAAAUAGUCAAUUUUUACAUGGGUGGGAUUAUUUAUACUCUAAAUUUUAUUUUGAAUGCUGCAUUACUUUGUGAACUCAUAUACUAAUUUAAAAAUUAAGGUUUACACUAUACAUUCUUUAAAAUUCUAAAAACAAUUAUUACUUAAACUAUUUAAAUUUAUUUACUUAAAACAUCAAUAAAAUUAUUUAACACAUACUUAAAAUAAUAUAUAACGAAGUAAAGUUGUAAAUAAAUUAUUUAACAUAAUUUUUAUUUUUAUUUUUUACUUAUUCAUAUUCAAUAUUGAAUUUUCAUUAAAAAAAACUUACAUUGACAACAUAAUAAUAAAGAUAUUCUAUAAAUAUCUAAAAACAAUGAAAAGAAGACGAGAAGAGGGAGGAGGAGGAGGGAAAAAAUGGUUGUUUUACAUACAAUAAUUUUUUAUUUAUUUUAAAAAAAUAAAAAGUAUCACACACAUACUUUAAAGUCAAAACUUUUCCUAAAUAUUAGUUUUAAUUCGUUAUUGUUUAUCCAAGUAUUGAUGAAGAUGUUGGAAAUAAAUAUUUAAGGAUUUAAGAUAUGACAAUUAUAUAUUGAAUAAUAAGUGUGUUGUAGGGGUGUUCAAAGAAAUUAUAUAAGUUAUAUAAUAACUUAUCCUUAAUUAUAAUUCACAUGAUGAUUAUUUUUAUAAUAAAUUUUUUAUUAAAAUUAAAGUAUUAAAUUUUAAAUUGAAAAUAGUCUCAUCUAUUUUACAUGUGGAAAAUAUGAUGAUCAUUGACUAUUUUUAAUGCAGGGCAAAUGCUGUGAUUAUAGCAUUAAUGCCUACACGAUUGACUCAUUCAUUUGUUAAUUUGUAAAAUCUAUUAAUAGGGGAGCCCCUAUGUUACAAUUAAUGUAACAUACAUACUCAACAACAACCACACAAAUGAUGGACCCACACAAUUUGUGUGGUUGUUGUUGAGUGUGUAUGUUACAUUAAUUGUGACAUAGCAUUUGCCUAUUAAUAGGGAAAAAGCCACCAACAUCCUCAAGGUUUAUUCUGCAAACUCCCUUACUUUCAUAAAUGGUUACAUACACCCUUUUUUACUAUUAUACCCUUUGAUUAUAGCAACCAAAAUAAAUAUAAAUAUAAAUAUAAAUAUAAGAUAACAAUAAUAAAUAUAUAUCAUAUGAUACAAAUAAAUAUUACAAUAAGUAUAAUUAGUAAAAAAACUUAUAUAAUAAAAAUUAUUUUUAAUAUUAAGCUAUUAUAUUCUAUCCCGACCAAUUCUAUUAAUACUCUAAUUUAUUAAUCUAAAAAUUGACUUUAAGAUUCAUAUUAAUAUAGAAAUAAUUAAAAAACUGAAAAUAAAAUAAUAUAAUUUUUAUCAAUUACUAUGAAUGUUAGGUAUAAUUAUUUUAAUAUUAUUAAUUUGUCAAAUAGAUUAAUUAUUAUUAAAAGAAUAUGAUAGAUUAAUAAUGUUAAAAUAAAUUUUGUAAUAUUGAAAAUAAAUUUUAAUAUUAUUUUUAUUUUUAUUAUAUAAAUUGUUUAAAGUCAAUUAUUGGGUUUUUGCAAUCAAGGCUAUAAUAGUAAAAAAGGAAUGUGCAUGAUCAAUUAUGAAAUUAAAGAGAUUUGUGUGAUCAGUAAAUUUUGGGGGUGUGGGUGGUUUUUCUUUGUAUUUAUAGUUUAAUAAUUGGACCAGAUUAUUUGAACUCACUUAACUACUCUUCAAACCCCUUUUUUCAAUUAAAUUCUAUAUCACUAAAUACCCAUCAAGCAAUUGGCAAUUAAGGCCAAACAAUACAUCAAAUAAAAUAAAUUUACUCUCUAAUCCAUUUUAUUUGAAACCUUGACUCUUUAUUUGAUUAUCAUUAACAUAAUUUUCCGAUAAACAAAUUGUAUUUAAUAUUGAAAUUCGAUUGGUAUCUUUCAAUUAGUGAAAAAGAUUUUAUCUAACAAGCUUAAUUAGGGCAAAAACACUUAACACCAUCCUAAUUCGACUGUUGUGAAUUGACAUUUAAAUACUCUUUGCUGUAAAUUUAUAAUUAUUUUGUUGAAGCCCAAUAACGCCAGUGUGUUAGUGUCUCUUGAUACCGUCCUUUGGGAUUGUGAAAUUGCCAAGUUUAUGAAAGUUCAAAUAAAAAAAAAGGAUGAGUUAAUAGAUUUUGUGGGUGUCGAAAGAAAUUGAUACUGAAUUAUUUAAAGAUAAAAAAUCAAAUUAGGGUAAUUUUUGGUAUUAUGGAAGGUGCAGAGAGUAAAAUUUUGACUUUUAAAUUUAAUUAAUAAGUGUAGAGAGUAAUUGUCCCACAUUAAUAGGUCCAACUACUUUGCGUCAGGGGUUUGGUACCCCAGUCUUUUGUCCUAUAGCGAAUAAGCCUUUAGAUUGGUAGCAAAUACACUUGACGGUUGAGAUUUAAUAGUUUGAAAAUGGGUAACCGGGUAGAAGAACAAUACCAGUAAAAUAAAAAAGAAAUGGUAAUGAAUGUCUUUCUCCUCACGGCUGAAGUGUGCAGUGAUAUUCAUACUGUUUUUAGAAGCUUGAAUUAGUGGGUCAGUUAGUUUUCUUAGGUUGGGGUUUGGAAAAAAAAACUAUUGAAUUAGAGGGUGAGUGGGUAGAAAGCAGAUUACGGGUACUGUGGCGCAAACUGGGGAUUUAAUUGAUGAAUAAGUUACGUCGUUAGGUUAGAAGUUGUCGUCAUUUGCUGUCAUGUAGGUUAAAAUACAACCAUUUGAGUGGUGCUGGAGUAAAGUGAGUAGAGAUAAACUGUAGCGAAUUCUGUGGAGAGUUAUAUUUGGAGGUCAUAUUUGCUCACAAUUUCGUAGCAAUCAGUUGUCUGCGGGAGCCUUAAUACGACAUCGAGGUAUGUAUUGACUGUGAAUAUUUAUAUGUGGCUCUUAAUUUGAGUCCAUGUGUAUAAAUAGUAGACGGUAAUUGAUUGGGUACGCAUGAACAAGUAAAAAUAGGCACAGAAUGUUAGGUUUGGUUGUAAAAUAGAAAUUGGGAGGAAGAAGUAGAAAUUGGGAAUAUGUUAUGUUAUGAAAUUGAUAUGUUAGUAAUUAUGCAACUGAUAGAAGGAAACCUUCAUCAGGUGAUUUAGAUUUUGAUAGAGAAAUAUAUAUGAAUCAAUAGACAUCAAAUUAAUAAUUAGUGUAUAGGCAUGAAAAGGCAGGAUUUUUUGAACAUAGUGGGUGAAAUGUUGUAGUGCUGUCAAGUUUCAUAUUUCCUCCAUCUCCUAUCCUUGUGACUGGUUUGUUUGAAUAUGUGUUAUUAUUGAAUAAGGUAAUUUUUGGUACCUUUGGUGGCAAAAAUCAUGACAGUGAUGUCUAGGUCAACCAUUUUGUAUAAAAGAACCUACUGUUACUUUGAGGUUUUGUUGAUGGUUUAUGAGCAUAGUGAGUGAAAUGUUGUAGUGUUGUGCACAGUUGGGCCUAUAUGGAUGUGGGAGUAGUGAGAUAUUGGCUAAUAUUUAAUUGAUCUAAUUCUGUAUAGCAGCUACCCUUUGGAGUAUGAAGAUCUAAUUGAAAGCAUUAAACUGAAGUUUCACAGAGGGGAAGGGAAUAUCCUUUCGCAUGAUUUAAGUCAGAGGAAAGUUUUAGUUGAAAACCUUCAGGAGCAACCUAGUUUGAGUUCAAUUCUUUAUUCAUAUCUUUAAGUAAGAGUGGAACUACAAUUUUUUAUUGGAACUAUUUUAGAGUUUCCUUUUAGUAAAGAGUAAACAAUUUGUGAUUACUCUGCGUUAUAUUUGAAAUAGGAUGGGGAAACCAUUGAUUUUGUACAUCAUUUCUCGUCCUCUUCUCAAUCCAAUUGUGUUGAAGGUCUAUGCUUCUUUUUCUUCUUCAUUUUCUUUCUGUUUUGGAUAUUUGUUGGGUCAUACAAACGUGGAUGGACUUGUAUUCAAAUCGGAUGAGAAUUGAAGGAAGAGGUUUGAUUUUCUUAUGUGGAUGAUAGUUCAAAUGUGCCUCUAGGUGCAUGGCUUGAUAAGACUUGUGGAUUUUUGAGGGUUUAGAUAAGCAUCUAGUAUCAAGUGUGGAUCUUAUAGGUCUGUUUUAGUGGUAUGUAGUUUAUCUUGCUCUACAUUUUCAGGGAUCUUUAGUGUUUAUUGGUAAGUUAUAGUUUAGAUAUUAACUCUUAUUGUCAUUUUUUAAUGCUCCCAUGUAUAUUUUCCUAGACUGGAGAUUCGGCUCCCCAUUUUUUUUGGUUCUUUGCAAUGAGCUUACUAUUUAUCCUAAAACUUCUCGCCUGCAAUCAUUAUUAACCUGAAGUGGAAUACCUUUUUGUAGCUAUAUACUUGCUAGCUAUGUUUGCAAUUUUCUUGGUUCUAGAAUACUUUUAGAAUAAUCCUUCGUUUGUAAUCAUUUGAUUUUUAAUGAUUUAAGCUCCAAACAUUCUAUCAUAUUGAUGUAAGGAACAAUGAUUUGCAUUUUUCAAUUUCGAAUGGGUGUGUACUGGGCCUGUUGGCUUCACUUUUCUGCCAUUUGUUAACAAAUGGUGAAUCAUAGGGAUAUUCAACCUCUUCAAUCCUGAACAUAGGUUUGACACUCUUCUUGCUAAAAUAAUAAAAUCCAGCCUUUAUAUGAAACUUCACUUUUCUGCCAUUUGUUAACAAAUGGUGAAUCAUAGGGAUAUUCAACCUCUUCAAUCCUGAACACAUGUUUGACAUUCUUCUUGCUAAAAUAAAAAAAUCCAGCCUUUAUAUGAAACCUCUAGUCAUUCAAUGCCCCAUAUACUGUUUAGAUGGAAGAUUGUAUUUUGUGCUGAAAAUAGUUUGUUAUGUGUACUUCAAUAACUGAGAAAAACAUGUCCUCCUGCUUAUCAUUUUUGCAUUGGUAAAUAGUAUGAUUCUGAAAUGUGAAAACUGUUAGAGCUAACAUUAACCAGCAUUUGAACUGCAGUAUUCUUGUGCUUGAUUUAUUAGAUCAAGGCAUACAGAAACUAACACAAGAUUUGGAUCGUGUUCUUCUUAUUUAUUUUGUCAGAGUGCACAUCAAUUUAGUAAGAGCUUGAAGCUAGCUGAGAGAGGCAGGGCAUUGUUAACCUCAUCUGGGACUAGUUGAUGAAAAGAAUUUUGACGAUCUGAAGCUAGAAAUCUUCAUUCUGCUACUAUGCUGCUUAAAACUACAAAGCAGCUGUGAUUUGGACAAAACCAUACACAAGACUAAGUUUUUCAUGUUUCUUUAAACAGAGACCAUCUUAUGUAUUUAAAUCCACUGAUUACUGAAACUGAAUCGAAAUCCAAUUCAUAUUUUUACGGAUCGGAUGCAAAUAAGACCCGAUCCAUAUGUAAUCCAUCGUUUGCCGGAUUGAUUUGUAGAUGCAAUUUUUUUUUUCAUCCAAUCUACACAGUAAUUAUAUAAACAAAUAUCUCAUUCAUAUUUUAUUUUUUAAAUUAAAAUUUCUAAUGUAAAAUUAACUUUACGACCAGUUAAAAUCAAAAUUGAACAAGAUAUUAAUUAAUAUUAAGCUACGAUAAUACAUUCAAAAUUUCCAAUUAUAACACACCGAUAUACAAAUUUUUAUUUGUUUUGAUCAAUACAUCAAAUGUAACUAAAAUUAUCAAUUUCAAAGUUCAAACUUCAGAGUUUUGGUGUAACAGCAAAAAAUUAUGAAACUCGAGAAGCUUCAAAAGAAAGUAAGCAAUUAAAUUUAAUUACUUUAAGUGGUGAAGUGAAAUAGUUAUGCCUUGUGCGUGCCGUCGGGGAUAGCUUCGGUGUUAUAUGCCAAAAUGUUUUGUUUAGCUUAUGUUUUUUGUUUUGCUUUUUAUUUCUUAAUGUUUACGAACCUAUAUUUACUUAUUUGUUUAUUUGUUUUUAAAUUGUUAUCGAAUAAGAUAUAAUAUUGUGUUAAUUUAGCUAUAUCUAAAUUUUACAUUUUUUUUUACAACUCACUAACAUUGCUAUAUUCAUGAGUUUGGUUUUUUUAAUUCAAAAUAUACUAUUUCUCCCGAAUUUCCGAAUUUUUCUGGAUUUACAGACUUAAAUCCUUUUCCAAUUCCUCUAAAAACCAAAUUUUACAUUUUCACUCCAAUCCGAUCAUCACGGACCAUUUUUUCACUGAUAGGAUUUUUGCGGAUGGGCUACUUUGACCACCUCUAAUUGGAUUCUGAACACCCCUAGCUGCUGGUUUACAAGUGGUAAUCUAAGGUUAUUUCAAGCUACAAGACCCAAUUUCAACGGACUUACCUAAACGAUUGCUUUUAUACAACACAAUUUUUCCCCUAUUAUGAAACUAUUGUUUUUUAUUUUGCACUUGUUAAUGAAUAUUGAAUAACAUGCCAUAUAAUUUUUAUUAUUACACAAUUUAUCAGGCACCAUUAUCAUUAUUGUCAUAUUUAUAAUUUUAUGCAUAAUAAUAAUAAUAAUAAUAAUAGUAAUUAUUAUUAUUAUUUCUUGAAUGACGUGGCCUACUAUUUCAACUACAUGCAUAAAAAUUAAAUUAACUCUUACUUCAAAUCUCAGGAUUAGGGAAUUUUCCCCUUUUUUCCCCCACCAAUUACUUUUCCCCAAUUUUCCAUUUCCGCCAAACACCUCAACCCAGACUUGCACGCUUCCACCAAAUUGUUUUGAACCAUUACUUGCAUCCACUUGGCGUUUGUUUCAAUACAUGUCUUCGUAACUCACGUGGCAACCAUUAAAUGGCUACUUUUGUCAACUUCUUUUUCACCUCUAUGUUACCGGGCCCUUACCUUCUUCUCCGGUUAAAUGCAAUCCACUCUGUGUCACUUCUUCAGCCGUGGGAUUAUAUCCAAUGGUUGAUUCACUAUAGGACAAGCGACUGAGGUACCAAACCCCUGACGCAAAUUAGGUAUGCCCACAUUAAUAUUGACUAAUUGAUAUUUACUUUUUUUUUUUGGGUCCCAGCACAUUUAAUUAUAUCCUUUUAUUUAUUCCAUAAAAUUCAACAUGUUAAAGGAGAGUCACCAAGUCAAUAGAGAUGGCAUAAUCCGAAUUUGAAUCCAGACCUGCAUUUAACAUUUGGCAUCUGGAUCUGUAAAAAAAUAUAUGGAUCCAGAUGUAAAUAAUAUCUACACAGAUUGUGAGUGGAUUUUUCAGAUAUCCGGAUCUGUAUAAUAAUAAAUUUAAAUAUAAUUUUAAAUUUAAUAAUUUACCUAAUAAUAUCAAAUAAAAUUCAAUUAUAAUUUAACAAUCAACAAUUCAACAUUAAUUCAACAUAAAUAACGUAUAACAACGCCAUAAGUUCACAAACGGUAAUUUCACAACAUAAAUCAAACAUAAAAAAAAAUCUAAGAUAAACCGAUUCAUUACAAUAUUCUCUAAUUAUUAUUAUUCUUUUUUAUUUUUUAACAUAUUUUUCAUAGUCAAUGAAGAUUAUAGAGUUAAUUAUGCUUAUACAUAUCAAAUAAAUAAUUUAAUUUAUAUAAUUUUCAAUUAAAAUUUAUUUAAAUAAAUAAUUUAAUUAUAAAAUAAUGCGGAUCCGAAUAUUCAGUUUUCCAGAUACACUUGUAUCUGGAUUCAAAUCCACAUGGAUCUUGAUUUUUAAGAUUAGAAUCUGUAUUUUUUAACAUGCGGAUCUAUGUUUUCCCAAACCCGGAUCUUUGCCGAUCCGAGCCGGAUCCGGAGUUUAUUGCCAUUCCUACAAUUCAGGGACCUUUUAUCAUAAUUAGUGAAACUACGUCCUUGCAUGAAAAUUCAAGAAAAACAUGGGUCCAAAUGUUAUUUAUAGAAACAAGAAUCAGAGUUUCAGAAACUUAUGAUUUUGGCAAGUACCGUGUAAUAACUCAAAACUAGAGAAACAGAGUGAGCAGAAUCGUGUACGUCGAGUACCAUGGCAGAGACGCCCUCUCACUUCUUCAAGGUGAUUCUUGCCGCCACCAUUGAAGACAAGAACUUGGUAACUUUUCUAACUUCUAUAUUCUUGUUUUGCGAAGAUUCUUGUUCGUAAAAAAUAAGUAUAUAAACAAAUAAAUUUGUCCUAUUUUUGUGAUUAUUAACUAGUUAAUAAUGCCCACAUUUCAUGUUUAACGCUCUGCUGUUUCUAAAUCAACAGAAAAAUUUGUCAAAUUGCCACAUGGGAUUGGUUUUGCAUACAUACAUACAUACACAUAUAUAUAUAUAUAUAUAAGAUUUGCUCCAAAAACUUUGUUCAGCUUUCAUUUUUUCUAAAUUUGAUAUGAAGUCUGGUUUUUGGCAAAUACAAAUCCAUCCUAAAGAUCGUUACAAAACAGCUUUUACUGUUCCCUUUGGACAAUACGAAUGGACAGUAAUGCCUUUUGGUUUGAAAAAUGCACCCUCAGAAUUUCAAAGAAUCAUGAACGAUAUUUAUAAUCCAUAUUCUGAGUUUUGCAUUGUUUACAUAGAUGAUGUGUUGAUUUUUUCUCAAAGUAUUGAUCAACAUUUCAAACAUUUAAAGACUUUUCAUCUUGUUACUAAAAAGGCUGGGUUAGCCCUUUCUAGUUCAAAAAUUUCUUUAUUUCAAACAAAAGUCCGGUUCCUAGGUCAUCAUAUUUCCAAAGGAACUAUCACUCCAAUAGAAAGAUCACUUUUGUUUGCAGAUAAAUUCCCAGACAAAAUUUUAGACAAAACCCAAUUACAAAGAUUCCUUGGAAGUUUAAAUUAUGUUCUUGAUUUCUGCCCUAACAUCAAUAGGAUGUCUAAACCUUUGCAUGAUAGGUUGAAAAAGAAUCCUGUUGCAUGGACAGAAGAACAUACUAAAGUUGUUAAAUUAAUAAAGCAAUCUGUAAAAAAUAUUCCAUGUUUAUUUCUUGCAAAUCCUGCAUUACCUAAAAUUGUUGAAACUGAUGCAUCUGACAUAGGUUAUGGAGGAAUAUUGAAACAAAAAGAAAAUGAUAAAGAACAGAUAGUACAAUAUGUUUCUGCUCAUUGGAAUGAUUGCCAGAGAAAUUAUUCUACUAUCAAAAAAGAAAUUCUUUCUAUUGUUUUAUGCAUAUCUAAAUUCCAAAGUGAUUUACUAAAUCAAAAAUUUUUACUUAGAAUUGAUUGCAAAGCUGCAAAACAUGUUUUAGAAAAAGAUGUUCAAAACAUUACAUCAAAACAGAUUUUUGCACGAUGGCAAGCUAUUUUAAGUAUUUUUGAUUUUGAUAUUGAAUUUAUUAAAGGUGACAAAAAUUCUGUUCCUGAUUUUCUAACCAGAGAAUUUCUUCAAAACAGAUAAUGCCGCCAAAGAAGAAAGACAAAGGUAAAGCAGUUCUGUUCCAAAUCCAUGUUCAUCUGGAUUGGACGUGCUUUAGUGGGUAUUAAAGCACUUUUCUUUUCAAAGCAUGCUUGCAGACUGAUCUUUAUCAGAUCUGCCAUAAAAUUUGUACGUUCCUCUGAGGCAAAGAGACCGGAUCUCGAUCCUCAGUUGUAAAUCUUCUCUUCUCCCUCCAUUCCUUCAGAGCACCAUUUCCGGGAUCCGGAUCUGGUACUGUGUAUGUACCCAAACCUCUAAAAGAACCUAAUCUAAAAGCAAAGAAAGGGGGGAAAUCUUUUUUUAAGUAAAUAAUCAAAUAAUUAUUUACAAUGCUUUAUCGGAGAGAAAAUGCCACGAAGCUUUAAAGGGGUCAUAGUUGAAUUGCUUACAGAAAAUGCCAUUAUCUGUUUUGAAGAAAUUCUCUGGUUAGUGGUAUCAGAGCCAAGGGGAGGAUAGUGUAAAGCAGUUUAUAGUUCUGUGUUUAAAGACUUGUGUUUUAUUUUGAAGUUUUGUUGUGUGGUGAAUCCUUACUGGUAGUAAGUCCCGCCAUAGGAUAAGGUCAUCCGUUUAGGGCUGUAAAACCAUACCUGUAGCCAUUCUGACAAAACCAUAGAUUGACCAUAGGUUUUUACUCAUGGACCCUAUGCACUGUAGAACAUCAUCCUUUUCUAGCUCUUCUUCCGGGAAGACUAGUACUUCAAAGCAUGUUGUGAGUUCAGAAGAAUUCUUUAUUGAGAACUUUGAUAAAGCAAUUGAUUGUUGGGAACUUCCAAAAAUUUCUAAAGAAAAGAUUUACAAAACAAAAAAGCUUGAUUUUUUAAAGAGUGAUUAUAUUAUAAAGACUGAAGAACGUGACAUAACUCUUUCAAAUCUAUUUGAAACAAUUCACUUGUUUUCUGAGCAUUCUUUAAAGAAAUUAAAAGAAAAGAAUUUCAAUUAUAUUCAUAUUGGACUAAUUCAAGUCGGAAUAAAACCCUUAACCAAAGAAGGCUUGGAUACUUCUAUCCUUGCUGUCCUAAGAGAUGGGCGAUUCAUCUCUUUUGAUGAUUCUUUGCUAAGUAGCAUCGAAUCCAGUCUUUGUAAAGGUCCAAUUUCAUUUGAUUGUUAUCCAAACAUAACAAUUUCACUUAAAGAUAAAAAUAUUUUGAAAAGCAUGAUUUUACAAAUCAAAACUCAUAAUUAUAAUAUGAUUGAGGGAUCCAUCCCAGUUGCCUUAAUUUUUAAAAUCUCGUAUAAGGCAAUGAUCACUGCAUUCAGUACACAACAUAAAUUCCAGUCAAAAAGAGAUGAGACUCUUCUCUUGCAGACUGAUUUGUCUAGAGCCAACACUGUCAUUCCAAAACCUAUUCAAUGGAAAGAUGUCCAUCUUCCAGAAGAAUGGAUUCUUGAAGGAGCCGCUCCACCAGCGAUUCCAAAACAGCUUGAGCCUAAUACAGAGUUGCAAAAUGUGACUCAAUAUUCUGAUGGAAAAGUCAAAUUGUCAUUUAGAAGAUCUGCUUCAACUAGAUUUUCUGAUAAAGAAUCGUGCUCAAGUAUUCCUUCACUAGAAAGGAAAUUUACAAAAAUCCCUUCUGUUAUAAAUCUUCCUUUUCAAAGUCAACCUAGGUUUUCAACUUCAGAUAUACCUAGUACUUCUAUACGAUCUGUUGACUAUGCCACUAGUGUUCCUCACCCUAUUUACACUAGUAGUCAACAUGAACAAAGACAGGAAGAGAAGGAACCUUCUCCUCCAACUUCCCCUACAUUUUCUGCUGUUACAGAAAAUGUUAUUAAUGUCAUUAAAAAGGAAUUUGAAUUGGAUAAAGCUUUUCUGCAUAAAGACUUUUAUUCUGAUUUAAACAAAGAAAAAAGACUUUGGUUUUUCAAACAUUUUUUAAAUCAAAGAAAAGAAAUCCAACAAACUUAUUAUGAAUUUGUGAAUCUUCAUCAAGUUCAUAUAUUGUUUUUUGAUUGGUUCGAGAUAUAUUCUUCUAAUAACAACAUCUCUUACCCCUUCAAAGAGUCAAACCCUAUUACUAUUAGGAAGAAGACCACUGAAUGGAAACUCUCCGAAAGUAAUAGAACAGUCGAUUCUGAGCAUCCACCCCUCCGGAGUGUAACCGUUGACCACGGCGAACCUCCUAUAGAAAUUAGAGCUUCACCUUACAAAAUCCCUAAACCUAAUGAUACUGAUAGUAAUUUAAGUAGUAUUAUUCAACAGAAUAAUUUCUGUAAUACUAACUUAAAUACUAUAGGAAAACAGUUGACUAGAAUAGAAAACCAAUUCCAACAGUCAACCAUAUCUGUUUCUCCUAGUCCAAAGCCUAUUCCUUCAAAGUUAAAUUCUGAUAAAAAGCUUAAGGAACCUAUUUUCAAACCCUUUCAGGUUUCGAAAACUAGCCAAAAGCUUGUCCAUGAAUCAAAAUCGGAUUUUACCAAAGCCAUCAGAGAACAACUAGAUAGGAUAGAAGCUGCUUCUUCCUCAUCUAGUAAAAUCCAAAUUGCUCCAGAUACUCCUCAAUCCAGCAAGAUAGGAGUACUUGAACAAGACCAGGUUUCUAUUGCCUCUUCUGACUUAGAAGCCUUUACCGAAGAACCUGUUUCUAAAGCCAAUAAAAUCCAUUGGGAACUUGCAAUCCCUACUUCCAAAUCUCCACCUGAUUUGACUAUAGACAACAGGCCUAGUGCAUUAAAUCAAGCUCGUUAUAAUGCAUCCUCUGUCUAUGAGUGGAAUAUAGAUGGAAUGUCUGAAUACAACAUUCUAGGUGUAUUGCAGCAAAUGACCAUGGCAGCCAAUGCCUAUAAAACCCAAUCAGGAACUUCUGACAAGGCCAUUGCAGAAAUCCUAAUUGCGGGUUUUACUGGUCAACUUAAAGGAUGGUGGGAUCAUCUUCUCACUAAAUUGCAGCAAUUAGACAUCUUUAAUGCCAUCCAAACCGAUGAGAAUGACGCUCUCAUUCUUGACGAAUUCAAUAACCCAAUACAGGAUGCUGUUGCCACCCUGAUAUUGACCAUUUCCCUUCACUUCAUAGGUGACCCUUCUCACCUUAGGGACAAAAACGCCGAGUUAUUACACAACUUAAGGUGUAGAAAACUCAGUGAUUUCCAAGAAUACAAAACCACUUUCUUUACUAGACUCUUCCUUAGGGAUGAUGCAAAUCAUGUAACUUGGAAGGAAAAAUUCCUUGCAGGUUUACCCACCCUAUUGGGAGAAAAGGUUAGGAAUUCCAUCAAAGCUCUCUAUGACAAUCGUAUUCCUUAUGACGAGCUCACUUAUGGUGAACUAGUCAGUUUUGUCAAUAAAGAAGGUUUAAAGAUCUGUCAAAAGACUGUAAUGGUAAGUGUUCUUCGAAACCUUACAAGAAACAUUACAAGUCUAAGAGCCAUAGGAAACCCUUUCAUGAUCUUAGGAAACUUCCUUAUAAGAAACCUUCAAGGCCUUAUAAGAAACAUAGUUUCUCUAAAAAGAAAGAGUUUAAAGCCAAACCUAAAACCCCAUUCAAUUUCAAAGAUGCUACAUGUUUUAAAUGUGGCAUGAAAGGUCAUACUGCAAAGUUUUGCAGAAUGAACAAAAGACUCCAAGAGCUUGACCUCAAUGAGGACAUCCUUUCCACCCCAUUCAAUUUCAAAGAUGCUACAUGUUUUAAAUGUGGCAUGAAAGGUCAUACUGCAAAGUUUUGCAGAAUGAACAAAAGACUCCAAGAGCUUGACCUCAAUGAGGACAUCCUUUCCAAAAUAGCCCCCCUCCUUAUAGAGUCUUCAGACUCUGAGUCUUCCAUGUCGGGAGAUAGUGACCCCCUCCAAGUAGAUGAGUUAUUUGAUUCAGACACCUCUGCAUCUAGCAGCAGCGAUUCUGAUUCAGAUUCCUAUUUAAAGAAAAUCAAUGUUUUGACUAAAGACCAAGAGAUUUUUCUUGAACUUGUAAAGCAUAUUUCAGAUCCAAAUCUUCAAAAGGAUUAUCUUGAUAAACUUUUGAAAACUAUGGAUUCCGACAAAGCCGGAACCUCAGCUGAGAUUUCUAAAGUUCCAAUUAUCAAAAAGAAUUCUUAUGAUCUUACUCAAAUUUUGGAUAAAAAGAAAACAAAAAAGAUGGUUCCUAAUAUCCAAGAUCUUCAGAAAGAGAUAAAAGAAAUCAAAUGUGAAAUCAGAGAUUUAAAAGAAAAACAAAAAAGUGAUUCUGAGACUAUCCAACUUCUUUUACAAAAAUAAUUGCAUGAUAAUUCAGAUAAUGAAUCUAAUCCUGAUGAUGGUGAUGAAAUUAAAGUGGAAAACAUUGAGUCUGUACCCAAUGAUUUCCUAUUUGUUUUAAAACAAAUCACCACAAGAAAGUAUUUGAUUAAAGUCACUUUAAUCUUUUCUGAUGAUUUUACAAUAGACGCCAUUGCCCUUUUUGAUACUGGCGCCGAUUUAAAUUGCAUCAGAGAGGAGAUCGUCCCCAAAAGAUUUCAUGAAAAAACAAAAGAAAGACUUUCUGCCGCUAACAAUUCAAAAUUGAAUGUUAGUUCCAAAGUUGAAGCCUCGAUUUAUAAUAAUAAAAUUGAAUUUAAAACUCUCUGGCAAUCAUUCCAAUGAGCAGAAACAUAUUGUACUAUCUGUUCUUUAUCAUUUUCUUUUUGUUUCAAUAUUCCUCCAUAACCUAUGUCAGAUGCAUCAGUUUCAACAAUUUUAGGUAAUGCAGGAUUUGCAAGAAAUAAACAUGGAAUAUUUUUUACAGAUUGCUUUAUUAAUUUAACAACUUUAGUAUGUUCUUCUGUCCAUGCAACAGGAUUCUUUUUCAACCUAUCAUGCAAAGGUUUAGACAUCCUAUUGAUGUUAGGGCAGAAAUCAAGAACAUAAUUUAAACUUCCAAGGAAUCUUUGUAAUUGGGUUUUGUCUAAAAUUUUGUCUGGGAAUUUAUCUGCAAACAAAAGUGAUCUUUUUAUUGGAGUGAUAGUUCCUUUGGAAAUAUGAUGACUUAGGAACCGGACUUUUGUUUGAAAUAAAGAAAUUUUUGAACUAGAAAGGGCUAACCCAGCCUUUUUAGUAACAAGAUGAAAAGUCUUUAAAUGUUUGAAAUGUUGAUCAAUACUUUGAGAAAAAAUCAACACAUCAUCUAUGUAAACAAUGCAAAACUCAGAAUAGGGAUUAUAAAUAUCGUUCAUGAUUCUUUGAAAUUCUGAGGGUGCAUUUUUCAAACCAAAAGGCAUUACUGUCCAUUCGUAUUGUCCAAAGGGAACAGUAAAAGCUGUUUUGUAACGAUCUUUAGGAUGGAUUUGUAUUUGCCAAAAACCAGACUUCAUAUCAAAUUUAGAAAAAAUGAAAGCUGAACAAAGUUUUUGGAGCAAAUCUUUUUUAUUAGGUAUUGAGUACCUAAUCCAUUUUAAAGCCUUAUUUAAGGGUUUGUAAUUUAUCACAAGUCUAGGAACGCCUCUUUCAAUUUCAGAAUUUUUGUUGACAUAAAAAGCGGCACAAGACCAAGGGGACAUUGACUUAACAAUGAGUCCUUUUGACUCUAAAUCUUUGAUUUCAUUUUUGCAAUGUUGUUCCAAAUCCAUGUUCAUCUGGAUUGGACGUGCUUUAGUGGGUAUUUGUUUUUCAUCAAACGAAUUUUCAUAAGGCAAAUCUACCAAAUGUUGUUUUCUAUUCCAAAAAGCAGAUGGUAAAUCAGCACAUAUUUCUUUUUUAAUAAGGCUUUUGAAAUCGAGGAUUUUUCUUUGUAUAAAAUCACUUUGUAGUUGACUUUCAACUCUUUGGAAAUUUAAAUCCUUUUGUAAACAAAAUAAAUCAUCUUGUUUGGAUUUAAGAAUGGCAUUGAUUUUGUUUUGGUAAACAGAACAAGCUUUGACAAUGUUUAGAUUCCUAGUCUUUGGCUUUUCAAUAAACGAGAAAACAAGGUCUUUGGAUUUUGCUUUGAAAUAUAUACCAUCAUAAUUGACAGCAUAUGGGGUUAUAAGAUUUAUAAAAGGGGUUCCUAAAAUGAUAGCAUGGUGUAUAUCAUUUGUAAGAACAAAAGAAGUGAAAUGAUAAAGAACAGAUAGUACAAUAUGUUUCUGCUCAUUGGAAUGAUUGCCAGAGAAAUUAUUCUACUAUCAAAAAAGAAAUUCUUUCUAUUGUUUUAUGCAUAUCUAAAUUCCAAAGUGAUUUACUAAAUCAAAAAUUUUUACUUAGAAUUGAUUGCAAAGCUGCAAAACAUGUUUUAGAAAAAGAUGUUCAAAACAUUACAUCAAAACAGAUUUUUGCACGAUGGCAAGCUAUUUUAAGUAUUUUUGAUUUUGAUAUUGAAUUUAUUAAAGGUGACAAAAAUUCUGUUCCUGAUUUUCUAACCAGAGAAUUUCUUCAAAACAGAUAAUGCCGCCAAAGAAGAAAGACAAAGGUAAAGCAGUUCUCAAAGUUACUGGUUCUCAAGAACCUUCUAAAGAACCCCAGUCAACCCCUUCUAAAGAAAAACUACUUUCUUCUGCCAUGCCCAUUAAAUCUUGGAUAGAAAUGGUUGAAGAACAUGGAGCCCAAUACAAAUCUAUUUCUUCUGAUGACCAAGUAAAGCAAUGGAUGAGUUCCAUUACAAAAUCACCUGAGCUCAUGCUCGCCCUUUAAAACCUUUCUCAAAGCCAAAUUUCUCCUCAAAAGGAAAUUGAAAUUACAAAACCCUAUUCCCAAAAUGUUGUUGUCUCUGCUGAAAGCUCAUCUUCCCAAAUUGUGCUUUCUCAGCCAACACCUUCAAAGAAAACCUCCGAUUGGUUUGAUAAAACCCAUUUUCAAAACAUUCUUUCUCUAGAAGAUGGAUUUUACCAUUCUGAUCCUUUUCAAAGCAUUUCAAAGUUUUUUCCCAAAGGCUGGUUUUUCAAACCAUGGGAUUUGACAAAACCCCAGUCUUAUUAUCAAAGCAUUUUGGAAAUAACUGAAUCAGUUAAAUUCAAACAUUUCUUUCUUGACAAAGCCCAUCCAGAACCGGCUUAUUCCACGGAAAUGGUACUGUGUAUGUACCCAAACCUCUAAAAGAACCUAAUCUAAAUCUGAUAAUAGCCCAAUAAAAAGAAUCAACCACGUUUAAAGCAACUUAACUUUAUUUGGUAAAAUAAAACUGAUUUGGUAUAUCGGCUGGAAACCCGAACGUGCGGACUAUUGAUCUGUUCUAAGUCAGAUCUGGGUCCAAAGGCUUCACUUUGUGUAGCAUCGAUCUGGUUUAACAACGCCACGUACCAAAUUAGCUAUUAAAAAUUUGACCAAUCGCGUUCAAAUUUGUCUAAAGAACUCCAUAACCAAAUUCGGUAAAGCUUAUUUAAAAUAAACCAACCGCGAUUCAAUUAUUUUAUUCAAAGUAAAUAUUAAAGAGUUUUGACGAAAACACAUCCAUCCUUCGAUCCUAUUUCCUUCUGGUGUGUAUAUAUAUAUAUAUAUAUAUAUAUAUAUAUAUAUGGAGCACUAUUAAUAUUUUCUGAGGAAACAAACAAAUAAUAUCAAUAAUGUAUUGUGUCCAUGAAAUGCUUAAGACACUGGUGUUUUGCUGGAAUAGUCUCUCUUUCAAUUCCAUAUGCAUGCUUUGUCCUUAAUUUAUUUUCCAUUCUUCGUUUGGGGUAUAAGAAAGUUCUUUAUUCUUGUAAUUUUGGGCAUGAAAGUGUCAUCUAUUUAUUGUAGGAUAAUGGGUUGGUUUGUACUCAUGUAAUUGGAGCACAAGAGAAUGAUCUUUGGGGUUCUAUUUUUUUUUUGAAUAAUGUCAUACAGGAUUAUUACUGAUAUUACAUCAGAUAUUACAAUUAAUAUUUACAAACAGAUUAUACAACUGAGACCUUCGUUGUGGCAUGUACUCCUCUGAAGCGCGGCCCAGAUUCUUUAAACCCUCUCUAAUAUUCGAGGGGUGUCUACUUCACUCACAUUUCGUGAGGAAUAGACUGUCUCCACUCAAUUAUUUAAUAAUCGAGGGAGAAUUGAAACUAACCCCCAUAAUGCUUUUAUGGAAGCUCGAACCCUUGCUCUCAACAUUGUAAGUGCAAGGGUUCUCCCACUGGGCGAAAGGCUCAUUGGUGAUCUUUGGGAUUCUAUUAGUUUCUGUUGUUCCAUAAUGCUAUUUAAUGUGCCAAAGGCUCUAGAUAAUUUGAGGAACAAGAUUUACGUCUCUUUGGUACUUUCAAGGUUAUCAGUAUAUAGAUUCCUUUGAAAAAGGUAAUGAGUGAUUAUUCUUUACAGUAUGUCAAUUGUUAAUUGAUAGACAUUUUUACUGUCGGUCUCACUUCCAUAUCAAAUUUGUUUAGAGUUGGAGUGUGGAAGAGAAUUUAACCAAUUAUGAGGUAGAGUUGGUAUCAAAAUUGCAUCCCUUAUAUAAAUUUUGGUAAUCUAGUUAUUUGAUAACUGUUAUGAGUUAGUCAUUGCAACAUGAUGUGUCAUAUAUGAUGAAAUCUAGCCGAAAGCUUUGGCAUUCAAGGUCAUCUCAUUAUGGAUAGCAUUGUUUCCCUUGUUGGUGUCAUCUAAUAAUGUACACGUCCGACUCUUAAGUCAACUUUCAGAUUGUGUGCUAAGUUUGUGAUAGUCUUGUAUAUCGAAAGAUUAUAUCAAAUCCAUCUACCUUAUUGUAUUCACAUUCAGAUACGUCUUCUUGUUUAUGAAACCUUGAUUUUACACUGAUUAAAUGUUAUCACAGCAAUGCUGUGGAAGCACUUUUUCAUGUUUUCAAAAGUAGAUCAUCUAACUUUAUUUGCCUUAGCUGCAGAGUAUUCCGCCACAGUUCGUGUGAAAUUUGGGGACGAACUCUCAUCAGUCGCUAGACUCACAGUUCCUAAUAGUUAUUGUUGAUGCUGAAAUAUGCUUGUCCUUUGCCAGACCAGAUCUUUACACCAACGUUUGUGUUAUCAACGGUGAGGGUGUCAAUUUCUUCUUGCUUCAACGAUCGCUCUAGUCAUUAAAGUUAGACUUCUCCUUUCUUCUCCCAUUAAGCAUGCGUUCACAAAAGUGGAUCAGAGACACCGGUGGGUUUAUCGGCGUAAACCCUCCGAUGCCUAAGUUAGCAAAAGGUGUUUAUGGGAAAACGCUGUGAUUAAGAUUCGAUAUAUUGCUUACAAUAGGCUCACAAUUUGUAUUAAAAAUGAUCUGGUUUCAAUUGGGCAGAGUUUUCCCUUCUCUCAAUUUUUCUAUCCCCCUUUCCUUCGUGGGUUUCUUUCCCUUUUAUAGCUGUUGUCCCCUCUUUCCGUUUACCCUUCAUCCCCCUUUUAUCUCGGGUAGUGGGAGCUUCUCAUGAGGCUCCAACUGCUACAUUGUGGGCAAAUGUGGGAUGUUGUGUUUCCUUUGACGGUUCUGGGCAUAGCGCAACCGCCGUGAUUUUGUGAGAUCGUGUCCCUACUUUUUGGGGAAUGGGUACAUGCUCUGUAUUUGCCUCUGGUCGGUAUAUUCUUCUGGCUGAUAUUCAUCUCUGGUUGGCCCUUGUUUGCCCCCGUGUUCUGCUCGUACCAUUUGGCUGAGGUGAUCCAUGCCGGGGUGGAAAUGAUAGCAUGGCCAAGCUGGUGCUUUUUUUACUUAACACCAGUCCCCCAAUUUCUGGUCUUGCGAGUGAAAUGAGUUGAGAGUAGAAACUGAUAAUAGAAUCUUACCGGCCCGGGGAACUUCCCAUCUGGUCUUCUAUUUACUAGGAUAGACCUGAGGUUCUCUAUCUCUUUUGAGGAGAUUUUUUAUCCGAGUAUGGGCCUCUAUGAAUAUACAUUCUUUAAAAUGAAUAUACAUUUCGAUAUGUCAAACCGGAGAAGGAUGUUAAUUGCAGAUGAGAGUGACGAAGAAACAGAGGAUUCAACCCUUAACUUAUUAAUACCCACUGACUUUCUAGGUCCCUCCAGUAGUGUAGGUCCCUCCUAUGGUAGGGAUACCCUUGAGUACCCACGCCCCCUGACCAUUUCACCUUCUCUUGAAUUAGAGCUUGUAGGGAGUAAAGGUGGACCCGCAUCCGGCUCUGGUGAGAACCACAGUUGUGGUGGGGUUGGGGUCCCUGAAGAAGUGGGCGAUAGUGAGGGAAGCAGUUUCGGACCCUCUAAGAAAAGGAACCUUGGCCAUAGGGUGGAGGCGGAUUCUUACCCUAUUGAUUUCAUAGUUCCUGGGAAAGGAGAUGUUCACAGUCGGCCUCCGAAGGAGUAUGUGACGAUGCACUUGGAGAGUUUUAAACUAGGAGUUCGGCUGCCCCUUCAACGUUAUUUUGCCAAGAUACUGGGCGGUAUGCACAUGGCCCCAGGUCAGCUACACCAAAAUGGGUGAAGGGUUCUCUCGACUAUGUUUAUGCCGGGGGAGAGGUGCGGGUUAGAGGAGUCUUCCCUUGUUGAAGUGAAGCAUCUGUACCAGCUGCGGAGUAGCCCAAAGGAAGUGGGCUGGUACUACUUCAUGUCCCGUUCUGCAAAGAGGAAAUCGAUCACCGGGUUUCCUUCUUCAUGUAAAAAUUGGAAGAACAAAUUCUUCUUUGCUGGAGAAAACUGGUGUCCAGCAGUCCAGUCGCUUGGUGGGGAUAUUUACCUUCCAACGCAUUUUGUCACCCCAGGUCGUUUAUUUUUGCCUAUAUUCUUAAUCAAAUUGCCACUUAUUGGGUUCUUUAACUUUUUUUGCUAUUUCAGAGUCGUGAGGUUUGAUCGAGGGGCUUGAAGAUUGACCUUUAUUUCAGGUGGAAAUUGCUCUGGUGAACGCGUCUACCUGCCAAGACCUCCUAUCACCAACAAACCUGGUCGGUUCGGGUUUAAUGGACAUAGCUGCUGGAAUGGAUAACAAGAUCUUCAGUGCGAUGACCAGAAAGCGUGGUCGGGCUUCGAGCAACUCCAGCAACCCUCCCCCUCCAAAAAAAGUCAGUGUUGGUCUUUCCAAGGCUUCUGUUCCUGCUCUGCCCCCUCCUCCACCUCAUAAGAGUGGUGGGGAGAAAACUACUAACAAGAGUUCUGAGGUCAGCACUCGCUCUGGGGACCGAUCCUCUCCUCUUUCAGCUCGUGAUCAGAGUGACUACCUGACCCUGUAUCAGAGGGACUAUGGGAAGUCAGUGAGACCGAAAAUGGUCCAGGACAUUGAGAGCAUGAAUCUCAGUGAAUUGGCUGGUUUUGUUCAGAGGGUCUCCUUCAAGCUGGCUACUAUAGUUUCUUGUUACAAGAAGAGGAUCACGCGCCAUGAGAGGAAGCUUCAAGUUGACAAUCAGGAUUUAAAGAAGAGAGUUGAGUCUGCUGAUCGCUCGAAGAAGAAGCUGGCCGAGCUGAACAAGCAGAUUACGGAGUUGGAGGAGAAAGUUGCAGUUGCUUAGUCCACUUCCUCCAAACUUGAGGGUGAGUUGGGUGACCUGAAGUCUGAUCUUCAGGCUACUCAAAGUGAAAGAGAUACUUUGAGGACCGCCCUUGAGGGAGAAAUCAAAUCCCUGAGUAAGCAGUUGGCUGAGGUGAAGGGCAAAUCCGCUGAUGUGGACGAUCGGCUGGAUGCCGAGUAUGACUCUGGGGUUGCUUUCUGCUAUAAGUGCAUCAUGUCUGUGCUUAAUGAAGAAUAUCCCGAGCUAGACAUGAGCAAGCUGGAGGCUGGAGUGCAGAAAUAUAUAGCUGAGGCCGGCCAGGGAGAUAAGGAGCAGGGUGAGCAAGAUCAGGUGGAGGCUCCUUUAGAUGGGGUGUAGGAGUGGGAAGCUGGGGGAUGUGCUUUUGAGGUGGCUCAAGGGUCCGUGCCUCCUCCUCCCGGUAUUGCUGAUAUUCCACCUCCCGAGAUUGCUGAUCCUUCACCUCCCGAGAUUGCUGAUCCUUCACCUCCCGAGAUUGAACAUUUAUAAAUUUUUAGAUGCUCUCUAUUGGCUUUCUUGUCUGGUUUUUGCUCAUGGAUUGUUUCUACAAAUUAACUUGACAAUUUAUUUGAUUUUGCCUUCUAGUUCUUUAGUGGACCGAGCAGGAAUAGGCAUCCGCUUGCCUUAGUAGAAUUUCACAAAAUUUCUUGCUGGUCAUUUGUCGACCGAGCAGGAGUAGGCACUUACUUGCUUUAAUACAAUUUUCGUAAAAUUACCUGCUGGUCGUUCGUUGACUGAGCAGGGGCAUGCACUUACUUGCUUUAGUAAAAUUUUCAUAAAUUUGGCUGCUGGUCUUUCAUUGACCGAGCAAAAGCAGACACUUACUUGCCUUAGUAGAAUUUUCGUAAAAUUGGCUGUUGGUCUUUUGUUGACCGAGCAGAAACGGACACUUACUUGCAUUAGUAGAAUUUUCGUAAAAUUGGCUGCUGGUCUUUCGUUAACCGAGCAGAAGCAGACACUUACUUGCCUUAGUAGAAUUUUUAAUAAGCUUGCGAGCAGGGGGAUUUCAUGCUGAAUUCAUCUUUAUUGAAAUUUGAAUGCAUUACAGAAAUACAGAAUAUAUGCAUGUGCAACAAGCCAUCAUGCAUUGAACAGAAAUAACUUAUCAAAAUGAAGAUUUAGUAGAGCACUUUGCUUGCUGGAAAUACUUCUUCAAGUGCUCGGCGUUCCACGACCUCUUUACGUCUCGUCCAUCUGGGUACGCUAACUUAUAAGCUCCUGGUCCAGUCGCUCGUAUCACCCUAUACAGGCCUUCCCAUUUCGGGCUAAGAGCACUAUGGUUUGGAUCCCUAGUGUUUUGAUUAACCUUCCUAAGUACCCAAUCCCCUGCUCGGAAUUGCCUCAUGCGUACGUUCUUGUUGUAAUAACGCAUGACUCUUUGCUGACACUGGGCCACUUUCUGUGAGGUCCCUUCCCUUUUCUCCUCCAGCAGGUCCAGGCUCAAGUAGAUCUGCUCAUCGUUUUGCUCCUUAUUGAAGUAUUCUGUCCGAUGCGUUCCUACUUUAAUUUCUGCUGGGACUACCGCCUCAUGACCAAAAGCUAAAGCAAACGGGGUUUCCCCAGUGGCGGUUUUGUGAGUUGUCUGGUAAGCCCACAGUACUCCUGGUAGCUCGUCGACCCAAGCUCCCUUCUUCUCUCCCAGUCUUAUUUUCAGGAGUUUCUUUAUUACUUUGUUGGCUGCUUCCACUUGUCCAUUUGCCUAGGGGUGUGCAGGAGUGCAGAACUUUAGGUCCACACCCAGGUUUCGGCAAAAUUCUCUGAAGUUGUUGUUGUCAAAUUGCCUCCCAUUGUUUGUAAUGAUGGUAUAAGGGAUUCCGUAUCUGCAGAUGAUAUUUUUCCAAAUAAAAUUCGUUGUCUUUCUCUCCGUGAUUUGGCUGAGGACUCCUACUUCUACCCACUUGGUGAAGUAGUUUAUUACUACAAUUGCAUGUGUUGCCGCUCCUCGGCCUUUCGAUAACGGACCAAUCAGGUCGAUUCCCCAUUGAGCAAAAGGCCAUGGGGAUGUCAUAGUGGUCAGUUUUUCUGGGGGUUGUGCAGGAACCUCUGAGAAGCUUUGGCAGAUUUUACAAUUCUUUGCCAUCCUUUUUUUUCAUCCUGGUGCAUGGUUGGCCAAAAGUAUCCUUGCCGGAGUGCCUUGAAGGCUAAAGUUCUUGCUCUCGAGUGAUUUCCAUAUAUUCUUUCAUGAAUCUCCCUCAGUACAUAAUUUGCCUCCUCAUAAUCCAAACAUCUCAAAAGAGGCAAGGUGAAUCCUCGGCGGUAGAGCACCCCAUCGAGUAGCGUGUACCUCGCUGCUCGGCAUUUUAAUUUUCUUACUUGCCUUUUGUCCUCGGGUAAAAUACCAUUGCGGAUGUAUGCGAGAAUCGGGUCCAUCCAGGAUUCUUCAGUGGUUACUCUCAUUACCUCUACUUCCUCCCCUAUACUCGGCGAGGUCCUCACCUCUAGCGGAACUGACUUAGGUAAUUUUGGAUCUACAAUUGUAGCCAUUCUAGUCAACAUAUCUGCUCGGUGAUUCUCAUUUCGGGAUAUCUGCUUUACCUUUACCUCUUUAAAGAGUCCAACCAUUUACUUCGCCUUCUUCAAAUAACGCCCCAACUUCUCUUCCCUUACUUAGAAUUGGUCGUAGAGCUGAUUGCAGACUAGCUGGGAAUCUGCACGGAUUUCUACUCUUUCAGUUCGUAGUGCGUGUGCAAGCCCGAGCCCAGUAAUGAAGGCCUCAUAUUCAGCUUGGUUAUUCGUUAGCUGGAACUCGAAUUUUACUGCAUAGGAGACCUCGACCCCUUCUAGGCUCCGUAUUACAACUCCUGCUCCGGAUCCCUGUUCACUACGUGACCCAUCAACCAUCACCAGCCACACCCCCUCUGGUUUCUCCUGCUCUGUUGGUUGUUCCUCUCGAAUCUCUUCCCCCGGUUCAGCACAGUCAACCAUAAAAUCAGCCAGGGCUUGGGCUUUGAUUGCUCCUCGGGGCCUAUAGGAUUAGUCAAAUUCGCUCAGCUCCACGGACCAUUUUACUAACCGACCAGAUGCAUCUGGUUUUUGAAGCAUUUGCCGAAGGGGCUGGUCAGUCAUCACAACAAUCCUGGUGGGCCUGGAAAUAUGGUCGGAGUUUGUGUGCUGCCGUGAUUAGAGCCAGCGCCCACUUCUCCAUCGGUGAAUAUCUGAUUUCUGCGUCUACCAGGGCCUUGCUUGUGUAGUAUACCGGGUGUUGCUUCCCUUCUUCUUCCCUGACUAAGACCGAGCUAAUACCCCCUAAGUACAAAAGCAGUUGGUCACCAUCUCUCGGAGUUGAUAGUAAUGGGGGGCGGGCUAGGUAUUCCUUCAGCUGUCAAAAUGCCUCCUCGCAUUCUGAUGUCCAUUCCAUCUUCCUCCCUUUUUUAUAGUUUGGAAGAAAGGGUGGCACUUAUCAGUGGCUCGCGAAAUGAAUCGGUUCAGUGCUGCCAAUUUCCCUGUAAGACUCUGCACCUCCUUAACUGUUCGUGGGGACCUCAUUUCUAUCACCGCCCGUAUUUUUUUCGGGUUAGCCUCGAUCCCUCGGUGGCUCACCAGGUAUCCCAAAAAUUUGCCCGAGCUGACCCCAAAUGCACAUUUCUUCGGGUUCAGCUUCAUUUCAUAUCCCCUCAGCAAUUCGAAGGUCUCUUCCAAGUGUUUCACAUAAUCCUUCGGUUCUCUUGACUUUGUGAUCAUAUCGUCCACAUAUACCUCCAUAGUGUGACCGAUCAAUGGUUUGAAGACCUUGUUCACUAACCUUUGAUAGGUAGCUCCUGCAUUUUUCAGGCCAAAAGGCAUCACCCUGUAACAAAACAAACCCAUGUUAGCUAUAAAGGUGGUACUCUCCUCGUCCUACUCGUUCAUGGAUAUUUGGUUGUAUCCUGAGAAGGCAUCCAUGAAGCUGAGCAGACUAUGCCCCGCCGUUGAAUCCACCAAUUGUUCUAUUUUUGGUAAGGGAAAACUGUCCUUCAGGCAUACUUUAUUAAGGUCUGUGAAAUCCACACACAUUCGUCAUUUCCCAUUGGCCUUCUUUACCAACACUACGUUGGAAAUCCACUUCGGGUAUUUAGCCUCCCUUAUAAAUCCCGCUUUCAACAGCUUAUCUACCUCGGCAUUUAUGGCCUCGUACCUUUCUUGGUUAAAGCACCUCCUUUUCUGCCUUACCGGCCUUGCCCCUUUCUUGAUUCCCAGCUUAUGACAAGCUAUCCCGCGAUCAAUACCUGGCAUAUCCUCAUAAGACCAAGUAAAUAUAUCUGCAUGGGACUGUAGGCAUUUCACCAGCUCGUCUUUUAUUUCUUUGCCCAAUUCUGACCCAACCUUAACCACUCUGCUCGGGUUAUUCUUGCUUACAACAACUCCCUUCAGCUUCUCAACAGGUUCCUGGCGACUCUUUUUUGAAUCAUCUCGGUUAUCUAGAGAGGUAACCUGCAGUGUUUCCUUGGCCGCUGUAGCAUAGCAGCUCGUUGCCAUUCUCUGGUCGCCUUUUACUACGCCAACAACUCCAUUUAUUCUGUACUUCAACGCNNNNNNNNNNNNNNNNNNNNNNNNNNNNNNNNNNNNNNNNNNNNNNNNNNNNNNNNNNNNNNNNNNNNNNNNNNNNNNNNNNNNNNNNNNNNNNNNNNNNNNNNNNNNNNNNNNNNNNNNNNNNNNNNNNNNNNNNNNNNNNNNNNNNNNNNNNNNNNNNNNNNNNNNNNNNNNNNNNNNNNNNNNNNNNNNNNNNNNNNNNNNNNNNNNNNNNNNNNNNNNNNNNNNNNNNNNNNNNNNNNNNNNNNNNNNNNNNNNNNNNNNNNNNNNNNNNNNNNNNNNNNNNNNNNNNNNNNNNNNNNNNNNNNNNNNNNNNNNNNNNNNNNNNNNNNNNNNNNNNNNNNNNNNNNNNNNNNNNNNNNNNNNNNNNNNNNNNNNNNNNNNNNNNNNNNNNNNNNNNNNNNNNNNNNNNNNNNNNNNNNNNNNNNNNNNNNNNNNNNNNNNNNNNNNNNNNNNNNNNNNNNNNNNNNNNNNNNNNNNNNNNNNNNNNNNNNNNNNNNNNNNNNNNNNNNNNNNNNNNNNNNNNNNNNNNNNNNNNNNNNNNNNNNNNNNNNNNNNNNNNNNNNNNNNNNNNNNNNNNNNNNNNNNNNNNNNNNNNNNNNNNNNNNNNNNNNNNNNNNNNNNNNNNNNNNNNNNNNNNNNNNNNNNNNNNNNNNUCCAGGACAAAGUCCAUCAUCAUUGUUCGUUCAAACGGCUUUGACCCCACAGUAAUCGGGAGUUCGAUGAUCCCCAUUGGAGUUAACCGUCCCCCUCCGAAUCCCUUCAAGGAUGUAUUCGUCCGCUCCAGCUUCAAGUCUGAAAUCCCCAUAUCAUCUAGGGUCGACUUAAACAGAAUGUCAACUGAGCUGCCCGUGUCCACCAGUAUUCGCCGCAAUUCUGUGCUAGCUACCAAUGCUUUAAUCACUAGUGCAUCCUCAUGGGGAUAUAAAAUACCCUCUUCGUCGUCCUCUGUCCACAUAAUGGGAACUUGCCUCACUUUUGCCCUCUUGACUGCUGGCAAAUUGAGGAGCACCUCUUUGCCAGUCAGGCGUAUCUCCCAUAGUUCUUUCGUACCCUGUUCGAAUCCCCGGUCAAUGUUGGCCCUCCUGCUAUCACACGGAUGGUCGGUUGAUCUCGUUCCAGACCCCUCUCAACUUCUUCAUCUCGCGUGUACUGUGAUUCAAUGAUAGGGGACACUCCAUCUACAUACUCAUCCAAGUACCGGUUCCUCACCAAAUCCUCCACCUGAAUCUUUAGGUCACGACAUUGGCUGAUAGUGUGACCGUGAGUGUUGUGAAAUUUGUAGAACCUGCUCUUAUCACGUCGGUGAGCAGAUUUUGUUAUAGGGGCUGGAGGGUAUAGCAGACCUCGUUCUUCGAUCCUCUCAUACAAUUCCUCCAUGGAGAUUUUUAGUGGGGUGUACUGUCUAUACGCCAAACUUUGGUCAACCAGUUGAACUGCUCGGCUAUCACGGAUAUCACCUCGGGCUGGUAUCGUCGGUAGUUGAUCUGGUCGUCCAGCCCUGGAAUUAGUUGCAUGUAAUGCUCUGGGAGUGUUGUGAUAAGGGUGGGCAGCCAUCUGCUUGAAUUCUCAUUGCCGCUUUGAGAAUGGAGGGCGCGGAGGUUGAGCCCGGCUGUGUUGGAACUGUUGUGGUCUCUGACCUAUGGGGUAAAGGGGGACCGAGCUGAUAUUCUGCCCAUUACUGAGGAUUCCCCAGCUCGCUUUCCCGAUUCGCUCCCGUUCGGAGCUCUCCGUUCCUUUCGUCUUAGCUCUUCCAGUUGUUCACUUUUUAUCCUUGUCGAUUUCUCCUCUUCGAUUUCUAUAUCUCGCCUCGCUUGUUCAUACAUCGCCGAGUAAUUCUGCACUAGGGGGCUUCUUAAAAUAUACCACAAUCGGUCGAUUCUUACAUCUUCUUUUAAUUCCCUCAACGCCUACGGGUGAUUAAAAGCUUCCAGAUCCAGCACGGCUCGGUGAUAUCGUUUUACAAAAUCCCGAAGGGAUUCAUGCUCCUCCUGUUUCAUCCCCAUCAGUUCCAUCAUGUCGUCCUCUGGGGCUACUGCUCCUCGGAACUAUUCGACCAACUCUUGGCACAUCUGCUCGUACCCUUUUAUACCUCCUCGGGGCAGCUUGCGGUACCAUUCUCGGGCUCGUCCCUCGAGUGUCAAUGGGAACACCCUGCACCUUUAAGCUGGUGUCAGCCCCUGCACACCCGUCAUGUAGUUGAAACGUUCAAUAUGCACCAGCGGGUCACUUCGCCUGGAGUAUUUGAGGUCGGGGAAGCGAAAAUCUCUUGGGAUUACUGUACCUAUGAUCUCGGUUGAUAACGGAAAUUCUUCAUCUAGCAUUAUCCUCCAGCUCCGGGGCUUUCUCUUGCCCUGUAUCUCCUCCAUCACCUGCGCCAAUCUGGGCACCUCUUCCUCCAAUUCUACAACAUGGUCAGGAUCACGUGCAGCUAUUUGAUCUCGCUCCUACUCGGCAUUCUAAAACCGCUGUCUGAGCUCUCCUUCAUCAACGCUGGCCCCUAGGCCAUCAAUUUUCAGUACCUGUCCGGGGCGAGGUUGGUCCCUCCAUUCAUCCAUGCGUUCUCCUGGAACCCGACCAGUACUUCUGUGGGGAUGCGCCCCAUUAGGUUGGUCAGCCGGCGGAGGGGUUUCCUCGACUCUACGCCUCCGGAGGCUGGGUUCUGCUCCAACUUCAUCUCUCCCCAUGGGGAUUUCAUAAUCCCUUCUCCGCUCAUCCCUCAGCUCAUACAGUAUGGCCGCGAGAGUCUCCAUUUGUUUCUCCAUCCGCUCCAGUCGAUCUUGCAUCAUCCUCUCCCGGGAUUCAUUUGCAAUUUCCCGGAUAGUGAUUGUCUCCACAGUUUCAUUGUCCUCCCUCAAAGCAUCCUUCCUUGACACAUCCAUAUCUAAUCGUUCGCUGCUUCUCCGAUAAUUACUAAUUUGGUGGUAGCUUUUUAUUCAACUCCCCACAGACGGCGCCAAAAUGUUGAUGCUGUAAUCUACUCGUCCUUUACCCGACCAGAUCUUUAUACCAACAUUUGUGUUAUCAACAGUGAGGAUGUCAAUUUCUUCUUGCUUCAACGAUCGCUCUAGUCACUAAAGUUAGACUUCUCCUUCCUUCUCCCACUAAGCCUGCGUUCACAAAAGUGGAUCAGAGACGCCGGUGGUUUUACCGGCGUAAACCCUCUGAUGCCUAAGUUAGCACAAGGUGUUUACGGGAAAACGCUGCAAUUAAAAUUCGAUAUAUUGCUUAUAAUAGGCUCACAAUUUGUAUUAAAAAUGAUCUGGUUUCAAUUGGGCAGAGUUUUCCCUUCUCUCAAUUUUUCUAUCCUCCUUUCCUUCGUGGGUUUCUUUCCCUUUUAUAGCCGUUGUCCCCUCUUUCCGUUUACCAUUCAUCCCCCCUUUAUCUCGGGUAGUGGGAGCUUCUCAUGGGCUCCAACUGCUACAUUGUGGGCAAACGUGGGAUGUUGUGUUUCCUUUGACGGUUCUGGGCAUAGCGCAACUGCCGUGAUUUCGUGAGAUCGUGUCCCCGCUUUUUGGGGAAUGGGUACCUGCUCUGUAUUUGCCUCUGGUCGGUAUAUUCUUCUGGCUGAUAUUCAUCUCUGGUUGGCCCUUGUUUGCCCCCGUGUUCUGCUCGUACCAUUUGACUGAGGUGAUCCAUGCCGGGGUAGAAAUGAUAGUAUGGCCGAGAUGGUGCUUUUAUUUACUUAACAGUUAUAUUUGGAGAGUAGAUAUAACAAAAUAUGAGGGAAAGGUAUGGUUUGAUGAUGGUUGGCAAGAAUUUAUGGAAUAUCAUUUAAUCUGUGUUGGAUACUCUGUGGUUUUCCAAUAUGAAAAGAUUUCAAAUUUUUGAGUUCAUAUAUUUGAUACAACUACUUGUGAGAUUCAGUAUCCAUGUAGAAACAUGUGCAUGCCUUCACAGAAAAAUUGGAUUUCUUCUAGAUGUAAUACAAAUCAGAAGUGUACUGCUACUGUUGGCAGUCCAAAAUUUAAGAGUGGUUGUGAGAUGAGACGCAAGAAAUGCGGAAUUGAAGAGGCAGAGGUGAAAGAUGAAUCUGAAAGUGUUGGUGAUUUGAUGAAAGAGAAACUGAACAUAACUGGAUUGUCUAAUUCGCAACGAUCUGUUCGACGCAAAAUGCAUCUCGGUGAGGCACCAUGUCAGUGGGUUCAGGAAACAGACCAUUUGAUUGAUAACACCAAAUUGAAAAAAGCCAAACAUAAGAUGAAGAAUGAGCAUAGUGUAUGCAUUGUAGGUAAGGAAAAUUAGUCUCUUGAUAUCUAUAUGUUGUUUUAUGCAGCAAGUGAUUACAAGAUCUUUCAUCAGUAACGCUGAAAAAUUGCAGAUAAAGAUGAGUUAGCUUGGCUUCAAGACUUGGGAGUCUAUAUUUGUGAUUCAAGGAUAUUUCUUUCGGUAGAAGAAAGACAGAGCAAUUGAUGCUGCCAAAUUCUUCAAUCCUAAAAACCCUUCAUUCCUUGUUUUCAUGCGGGAAAAUAACAUCUGUAAACAAUCUGUCGUGAGCUUUAAAAUAAUUAGUUUGAAUUGUUUCGGCUUAUCCUUUUGACCAAUGCAAAGUUUUUGUUGUUUCUGCUUUGCUUGUGAAGUAUGUGCCGGUUGCAUUUUCUCAGAACUGCUUGAGAGGGAAUAAGUUUGCAGUACAGGAUUCCGACGGAAUAGAGUUGGCUGUUACAAUGAGCUGGACUAGGAAGUGCUUUUUGAGUGGAUGGGGUUGGUUUUUCAAGGAGAACAACGUGAAGGAAGGAGAUAUUCUUUUCUUUGAGCUGAUCAAGAAGAACCUUGUUACAAAAGUUUCAGUAUUUCAUGCGCAAGUAUAAUCCAAGUGUUGAAGACGUUAUCAGGUAGUUAUGUUUGAUCUCUCAAAUGUAAAUCUCUAGAACUUGUUGAUUCCUUUUCGAAUUUCCGUUAGUUUACUAGUAAGGUAUAUUUAUAUAUGUUUACUGGAUCCAGACAGUUCAUAUGAUAUUAGUGUUGUAAAAAUACACUGGCAUUUUGCUUUGUCAGAGGCCUUAAAUAGAUAUGUUUAUGUUACUACCUUUGGUGCUAAUUGUUGUAGAUUAUAUCUAUAUCAUAAUGUCAUAAAGUGGAAUCAAGGUCAUCUGGUUGUGAUUUCUGUAAGCGGAUUGACUGUAACGUUCAUUAUAUGCACUCUUCUUUGACUUACAGUCACAGCUUGUGCCAAUUCUUGCCUUCAACUCAUCACAUGUCUGCUAGAGAAUUUGUGUGACAAUUCAGAAGCUUGAAAAUUAUUUCCCUUCUUGUUUUGAGAAAAGUUGGACGACUAAUGUUCCAUGGAAAAUUGUAAAAAAUCAUUUAUUAAAUUAUUAAGGUAAAAUUUAUGAUCCUUUAUAUGUUGCACAAUGUAGUUUUCAUGCGUUCUUCUUCAAGAAGAAACUAAAUAAGUACUUUUAAAAAGAAAAAUAAAACUAUAUCAUUUUCAGAAAAAACACUUGAUUGACCUUAUUUUUUGUAAAAAGCAAUUUAAGUAUAAGUUUGGUAUUAUUUUCUAUAACCUGUUUUUUAAAACUGAAAACAAUAAUAUGUAUUCAAUAGAUAUGAUUGAAAAUAAUUAAAACAGUGAAUAUGUGGUCGGUAGAACAAUCCUAUAAAAGCAAAAUUUUAGUAAAUAUAUUAUCUUAACAUUUAAAAAAUAAAAAUUUGUUGUUUCAUUAUAUGAUAAAAUAUUGUAAAAUUUUGAUCGUUCAAAAUUCUUUUUAACCAGUCAAAUGAAAAAGCAUAAUGAGCACAAGCAAAAUUUUAUACAAGAUAAAGUUAGAUUACAAGAUUCAGUAUAUAUUUUAUAAAAGUAAGGGCAAAACAAACUUAAGAAGAGCAUUGUUAGUUAUCACCGAGUUACUGAAUCCAAGAAAAAUUGAGAGCAACCAAAAGAAAAUCUGAGUUACUCAAUGGGUCACACUGUAUAAAUGUUCAGAUUAAUAUUUCAUGAGCAAUCAUCCAUUCUUUUGCUUCUUGAUAUAUCGCAUGGUCUAACUUGGAUACUUUUGUUACUUUCAUCUCUAUAUGAUUGCCCAAACAUCUGUUUAAUAAUCCCAUUAAUUUGAACAAAUAAAACUAGCUAGCUCCCUAAACACCCAUUGAGUUUGCAGUAUUUUCAUGUAGCAAUAGAACCAAAUUUUAUAGUAAUUUCUUAUUUUUUUAAUGUAAUAGUAAUUUCUUAUUUUUUAAAGUAAUUUCAUACGUGUUUAAUUACAUUGAUCUGAACUAAUCAAACGCAAGGUGAUUUAAGAAGAUGAAGGGAAAAAAAGGAGUUUACGGAAGAAUAAUGAAAGAAGAGGAAGAAGAAAUGGUCAAAGAAGAUGAUGAAAAGAAGAAAGGACGAAGAAGAUGCAGUGUAAAAGAAAUGAAAAAAAAAUUAUAUUGUUUAUUUUUUAUGUCUUGAAGUUUGUUCAGGGAAUUGUUUUGCUACAUGAAAAUACUGCAAUUCUUAUUUUUAAAGUAAUUUCAUACGUGUUUAAUUACAUUGAUCUGAAUAAUCAAACGUAUGGUGAUUUAAGAAGAUGAAGGAAAAAAAAAGGAGUUUACCGAAGAAGAAGGAAAGAAGUGGAAGAAGAAAUGGUCAAAGAAGAUGAUGAAAAGAAGAAAGGACGAAGAAGAUGCAGUAUAAAAGAAAUGAAAGAAAGAUUUGAAUAAUGUUUAUUUUUUAUGUCUUGAAGUUUGUUCAGGGAAUUGUUUUGUAGGAUGAAGAAAACGUGUAUAAGAAAACGUGCAAAUCCUUUUUUUUUUUUUAAUUUAUACCCGCAAAAAUUUUAUUUUUUAAAACAGUAUUUAAUCGGUUUGUAACCGGUUAAAUAUAAUUUAAUUAAAUUUUUUUAUUAUAUUAUAAUAAUUAUGAAUCGUUGAUCUAAUCUAAUGGUCCAUAAUAAUUACGGUAUUGAUGCCGUGAUUUUAAUUACGGCAUCAUAGAAUUUUUCCUUUUUCAAACAUAAAUUUAAAUUAAAAAAAUAAAUGGUUGAGAUCUAAUGAACUAAAUGAUACGACACAUUAAUUUUAGCAAAUUGAUGCUGCAACAUUUGUUUUUCUUUAUCCUCUCUCCUUCUCAUAAUGCUCUUUUAAGAUUUUGCAUUAAAUUUUCCAAGUUAACCCAAAUAGGUGAACAUAAUCAUACUCAACAAGAAAAUAAUGAAUUAAAUAAUAAUCUAAAUAUGACUCUAACAAAAUAAAGUGUGCUUUCUAAGAUAAUUAAAUUGUAAUUUUAUCUUACAUUAAGGCAAUAGGAUAACUUAUGUGGUUGGCCUUUUACUGUGAAAGUAAUUAAAAAAGGAAAAGGGUGUAAAAGUACAAGGAAAUACAUUAAAAAUUUUGAGAGUGGGAUAAGAUGAGGUAAAUGGUAAGAAAUAUUUAUAUAUGGACACUCUUGCAUAUUUUAAUAUAUAUGCUCUUAAUGGUCUCAUUGAAUGAUUUUUAAGUAGUUUUAUUUGAUUGGUCAUCACCAAUAGUUUGAAUCUUGAGAGAUAGGGAUUAAAAAAUUGACUUGCACUUUCAACCUCUCUCUCUCUCUCUCUCUAUAUGAGUAACUAAUUCACAAAUAAAUUUAGAUUAAAAAAAAAUAAUGGCUUAAAGUUAAUGGAUUAGGUGAUAUGAUACAUUGGUUUCAACCCAUUGAUGCUAUAACACUUAUUUUUCUCUAUUCUCUCUCCUCCUCGUCAAUAUUUUCUUCAUUUCCUCCAUUGUUUUCUCUCUUUAUUUUUACAAGAAUCUGAACUCCCAUAUCUAACUUUUCCUCUCUCUUUUGAAUGGCUGAAAGUUAAGUAGAGAAGUCCUCUCUCUCCUUCCCCUCAAACCUUUUCAAUUUUUCUUACUUGCACUAUUGCACAAAGCAAGUUAAGAUACAGUGAAAAGAGGGAAAAAUAAUAUAAUAAAACAUCCAAUUGAUUGUUGAAGUAUGUAACCUUCAUCUUUGAAAUAACCACAAAUAAUAAAAUCAGUAAUAUUUUUUUAAGUAUUCUUUAGUAGAGUUUUGCGUUAUAUCCUAAAUAACUUCUUGUUUUGCUUCGGAAUUUUUUUUUUUAAACACGCACACGAACAUUUUCCCUCAAAGACAAAUUCUUCUCUAAAAUUUUUUAAUCCAAAGGGUUUUCUUCUACAAUCUCUGUAAUUAAGUCAAGUUCAUACUUUUGAGUUCCACGUUCAAAACAAUUAGGUUUUACAUUAAAUGAUUUGGUUGAUUUUCCUCAAGCACGUGUGCGAAUCAAACCAAAAGAAAAUUCCUUUGAAUUGAAAUUUUUUAAUCCAAAGGGUUUUCUUCUACAAUCUCUGUAAUUAAGCCGAGUUCAUACUUUUGAGUUCCACGUUUAAAACAAUUAGGUUUUACAUUAAGAUGAUGUUUGGUUGGGAGGAGAGAAUAUAGAACAGAAAAAUAAUUUAAAUUCUCUUUUUAUUUCCAUUGUUUGGUUUGAUAAAAUGUAUAAGAAUUUAAUUUUCAUUAGAAUUUAAUAUCCAUCAUAAUGUAGAAUUUGAAUUCCAUACUAAGUAGUGAAGAAUUGAAAUUCCUCUUAUAUUACAAACUAAAGUUUCCAAAAUUACCCUUCGAUUUUUUAACUUAUUUAAUGUCAUUAAUAAUUAUUAUUUAUAGUUUUAUUUUAUUGAUUUAAUAUUAUAAAUGGACCUCCACCGGAAAGUCACCGGACCACCGUUGGAUGUCGCCAGACCACCGUCGGACAUUUACGGAAGGUCGCCGGAUCACCGCCGGAUCUUGCCGGAAGGUCGCUGGACCACCGUUGUCUUAGCCGGAAGGUUGCCGGACCUCCGUCGCCGGCCACUGGACCACCAUUUUAUUUUAUAUAUAUAUAUAUAUAUAUUAUUACUAAUAUAAAUAAUUUAAUAUUUAAGAUAAAGGAUAAAUUGGUUUGAAGAAAAAAAUUAUAAUUCAUUUCCUUAUCAAAUUUUAUAUCAAACCAAACAAUAAAAUCUAAUUUCACUACUCUUCUCCUUUCCUCUCCAUUCCACUCUUUUCCUCUCCUCCCUUUUCUUCAAACCAAACAUGACCUAAAUGAUUUGGUUGAUUUUCCUCAAACACGUGUGCGAAUAAAAACCAAAAGAAAUUGCCUUUCAAUUGAAAUCGGAUGGUUAGUUUUCUCUGCCAGCAUCUGGCAAAGGAAAAAAAUGUUAAUAGACAUGGUGAGAUAAAGAAUGAGACGGGAACUAGAGAAGUCUUCGGACAAACACACACACAAACACAGAAAAGAAAAAAAAUAUAUAUAUAUAUAUAUAUAAUUUAGUGAUAUCCUCACUUUGAAAAAAUGAGAGUAUACUCUCUAGAAAUUUACUUUUGUAUAUUUUGUAUUACAAGUUAUUUGAAAAUAUAUUUAAAGAAUAUAAUUGUCAAUAUAUAAAUACAAAUUUAUGUAUAGAGAGUCCCUUCUAAUAAGGAAGUCCUCAUCUUAUUGAAAUGAAGACUAAACUAAAAGGCAAACAAAUCAUUUGAAAAAAAUCAUAUUGAAAAUUUAAUUGUUUUAUGUAAGUAAACUAUAAAAUUUUUUCAUAUCAAUAAGUGUGAAUUAUUUUAAAAUUUUGAUCAUAAAUAUUUGUCAUAAAUAACCAAUUCUGUAAAAGAAAAAAAUAAUUAAUCUUUUUCAUUGUGGAAAAAAAUAUGUUGGUAAGAGUAGUUUUGAAGGUGUUACAGUUAAAUAAUUUAUUGAGGAUUUAACACUAUGUGUUGAAGUAAAUUUUUUACAUAAUUUUAUUCUAACAUAAAUAUUUGACAAUUUUUUUUAUGUCAAGGUUAAAUAUCAGCACACAUAAAACAGAUAAAUUACUGAAAUUAAAAUAUGUUUAAGGUAUUUUAUAAGUAAAAAAAAAAGGGCCAUUUGAAUCCAUGUAAAAUUUAUCUGCAUAAAACAAAUUUUUUUACCUUAUUAUAGGAUAAUACUAUGCCAUCUCCGUUGCACACUUGCACCAAUGAAAUGAUAAAGAUUAAAAUGUCAAAAUUAUUUAAUUUAAACGACAGCAAUAGUUAUUGAGGUCUAAUACAUUUUUACAUUGUUAAUUAUGAAAAAUAGUACUUUGUAAUUUUUAACUAUGAAAAAAUAAUAUUUCACUAAAUUUCUGUUAAUUGACUCAUAAAAUUUCGGUAUUACCCUUAUUUGAUUUUUCCACAUCCGUCGGCAGUUUCGUGGACGGCGUGUAAUUAUUUGUCGGAAAUUAAUUAGGUGGAGACUGGGACCAACUCCAAUUCAAAUCUCAUUUUUCAUUGGACCAACUCCAAUUAAUAACUGUCAGAACCCAGCUACUAUUAAAGAAGGUGAAGGGGACGGUGUUAAUGAGAGCUUCAAAUAAAGAGAAAUCAAAAUACAAACUUCAAUUCAAAGAUGGAUUUGUUAAUCAGCUGCAUACUGUGGCUCGUGUUCACAUUGGUUUGGGUGAUGGCUUUAAGUUUCAUUUCCAGUGGAAAACGCAAAGGGCUUCCACCAGGACCGAGGCCUUAUCCGGUGAUCGGAAACCUCCUGGAACUGGGUGGCAAGCCUCACAAGUCACUGGCCAAACUUGCCAAAAUUCAUGGCCCCAUAAUGAGUCUAAGACUUGGCCAGGUGACCACAGUAGUGAUUUCUUCUCCAAGCAUGGCCAAAGCUAUCCUUAAAGAACAUGAUUCAUUAUUCUGUGAUCGAAAGGUCCCUGAAUCAAUCUUGUCCCAGCCAUACCUGCACCAUGAAUUCAGUUUAGUCUGGCUGCCAGUCUCACCACUGUGAAGAAGUCUUCGAAAAAUAUGCAACAUGCAUAUUUUCACUAAUCAGAAACUCGAUGCCAAUCAAGACCUCCGACGCAAGAAAAUCAAAGACCUUCUUGCUUAUGUUGAAGAAAAUUGCAGUGCGGGUAAAACAAUAGAUUUUGGCCAAACUGCUUUUAAUACUUCACUUAAUUUGUUAUCCAACACAAUUUUUUCUAUGGAUUUGGUUGAUCCCAAUGAGCGAGAGUUUAAGGAUACAGUUUGGGGUAUCAUGGAAGAAGUAGGAAAGCCUAACUUGUCCGACCAUUUUCCUCUACUAAAAAUGCUUGACCUGCAGGGCAUAAGGCGGCGCAAUACACUUUAUUCUGGCAAGAUGUUCGAAGUGUUGGAUCGCUUGAUUGAUCAACGAUUGAAGCAAAGACAAGAACAUGGUUGUAGUAUUAGCACUGAAUCUAAAGAUACGUUAGAUACUCUUCUCAAUAUUAUCCAAGAAAAGAGUGUAGAGUUUGACACAAAACAUAUCAAGCACUUGCUUGCGGUAAUAUUUCUAUUUUUUUUAUUAAUUUCUCGUACAAAAUUACGAGUUAAUUAACAGAAUUCAUAUAACAGGAUUUGUUUAUUGCGGGGAAUGACACAACUUCAAUUACAUUGGAAUGGGCAAUGGCAGAAUUACUCCACAACCCUAAGGUUUUAUCGAAAGCAAAAUUGGAGCUAAAACAAACUGUUGGCAAAGGCAGCCCAAUUGACGAAUCUGACAUCGCUCGGUUGCCUUAUCUACAAGCAGUUGUGAAAGAAACUUUUAGGUUGCACCCCGCUGUUCCCUUAUUAAUCCCCCGUAAAGCUUCAGAAGGCGUUGAAAUUGCAAGCGUCACUGUGCCAAAAGGUGCACAAGUUUUUGUCAAUGUAUGGGCUAUUGGCAGAGAUGAAAACAUAUGGGACAACCCUCACUCUUUUAAGCCUGAAAGAUUCUUGGGGUCAGAUGUUGAUUUCAAAGGCCAGAAUUUUGAACUAAUUCCCUUCGGAGCUGGGCGGCGAAUUUGUCCUGGUUUGCCAUUGGCAAUCAGAAUGUUAUAUCUAAUGUUGGGUUCACUUAUUAAUUCUUUUGAUUGGAAGCUUGAAGAUGAGAGCAUGGACAUGAAAGAAAAAUUUGGCCUCACCAUACAGAAGGCUAAACCCCUUCGUGCCGUCACCAUUGCCAUUUAGUCCCAUACCAUAGUUUUUUGUGCCGGUGGAGUGCGUUUAGUUGUAGCUAAUAAAGCACUUUGUUGUUGCUAUGUAUUCAUCGUUGUUGUUUAUGUUGAUGCGAGAUUCCGGUUCUCCUCGUUCUACGACCAGGAUCUCUGCUCGAUCAACUUCCCCACGACCAGGAGGUCUCCUAGUAAUGCUUCUUCUCCAGAUAUCCCUGCACACACAGACAAGUCAGAGUACGCCGGUUGUUCUCCCGGCGCAAACCCUCCGACGCUCAAGUCAGAUAUCAAGGUUCGGGGAACGCUUGCCACAAGUCUUAUGGCUUUUUCGUGGUUUUUUUCUUUUAUCUCAAAAAUGCUAACCCUUUUACCUUCGUUGGCUACCUUUUUAUAGGCUUCCUCUUAAUCCCAGUUUUCCGUUUUUUUCGAGACGGUCUGGGGCUCUGACUGCUGCGUUAUGGGCAAACGGGGGAUCUUGCGUGUUACGCCAUGGUUCAGGGGAAAGCGUGGCUGUCGUGGUUCUGUGAGAUCUUGCGUGUUACGCCACGGUUCAGGGGAAAGCGUGGCUGUCGUGGUUCUGUGAGACCUUGCGUGUUACGCCACGGUUCAGGGGAAAGCGUGGCUGUCGUGGUUCUGUGAGAUCUUGCGUGUUACGCCACGGCUCAGGGGAAAGCGUGGAUGUCGUGCCUAGAUUCUCGGGCUGGAGAGCAUGUCUUGCCAACUGCCGUCGACCGGGUCUCCUCGCCUAUCGACCUCUAGCCGGAAUGGCCGUAUACCUUUUAUAGGGAAUUGGCCUCGCGGAUGACAACAUCGUGGACGAGCAGGAUAUUUCUGCUCCUGUUCCUCCGCGCACCAGGCUUUUACGGAACACACCGGUUCGCAGAACUCUGCCAUCAGAUAUCUGCUCGUCAUUCCUGGUCUCGUCGACAUAUUUAUCCCAAACAGUAUCUCUCCCAAACAGUUUAUCUAUUGUUCUUAUUAUUUAUUAGCAACUAUCCAAUUGAUAACCUAAAUCCACUUUUUUGAGUGAAUCGAUAUUGUAAGCAAAUAAUGUGUAGAACUUUGAAUAACCAAGGAAAUGAUGUUUUUUGUUACGAUUUUUUUUUAAAUUAUAUAAGCGAAGAAACAUUGUUAUGAAAAACGUUUUGUUUACCUACACAAUGUUUCGCGACUAAUGAAAUGAUGUUUACCUACACAAAUUAUAGGCAACGAAAAAAUUUCGCGACUAAUGAUUUUUUUAGGCCAAAGCUUGUUUUUCAUUAGUAGAUGCUUGUUUUAGCCACAAAAACACAUUCUGUCCACAAAAUGAUUUUGUGAAAUAACUGAAGCUUCCUUCGCAUUGAAUGAUUUUGUGAGCACCAAAGUCUAUGAAUUGUUCAGCCAUGAAAGCAAACUUGGCAGAGGAUACAUGGAAAUGUUAUUGUCAAAAUGUCAGCUUUGUUAUAUGAAAUUGGCAAACGAAGCUGAGUAUAAAUAGGGAUGUCAAAAAUCUACAUUCGGCCGGAUUUGGAUUAGAACGGGUGAUGUGAACCGCGUAGUACCCUGUAAGGGGAUGAAGUUGGGUAAGUUUCGGGCUUCGCUUGAUAAGUUUAGGGUCUAGUUUAGAACCCGAAUUUUGUAAAAAAUAAAUUAUAAAAUAAAUUAUUUUAAAUUAUUAUAUUUAUUGGGUCCAUUUAUUACACAUAUUUAAAAUUUUAAACAUUUAUAAUUUAUUUUUUUAUGCCCACUUUCAUUAAAGUAAAAUCUAAAAAUUAUAAAAUUAAAUUAAAAAAUAUGCAUAAAUAAUACUAUAAAAAAAUAAAAUCCAGGCUUUUUAACCCUAAUAAAAAAGUCUGGUCUAAGCAUCUAAAAAAAUGUCCAAACCGAAUCCGGAUAUUGCCACACCCGGGCCCAACCUUGGGUUUUGCCACCCCUACACACAAAACAUGGAGUGGUUCAAUGCAAAUACUUAAAGAAAGUAUUUUUGAGAUUGUUUAAUAUUAUUUUAUGGUGAAAUAUUUUGAUUUUAAAGCAUACGUAAAAUAUAUAAACGGUCAGUAACAAUUUUUCAUAUGUAUAAAUUUUAUCGAGUCAUCGUUGGCUGUUGUAUUUUUCUUCUCUAAUAGAGAAGUUGUCACGUAAAAUUUGAGAUGUGUGACUAGUGUUGUUCUACAGCUUUAUUUUAUUUAGUUUACGACUUGUUUAAUAUAUUCUUUGAAAAAAUCAUAGGUGAGAACUUAAAAUUCCUAACAUUAUCCAUUGCAGACUUCUCUCUCUUAAAGAUUCUUCGUCGUAUGAAAGAGAGACACAAAGUGCAAUCCAUUAGCUUCAACGAAAAACUCACAUCUUUUCCAAACUGACAUCUAACUCUUUUCAAAAAUUGCUCAAAUAUAUCUUUUAUUCUAUUUCCCUAAUUUUUUUUUAAUAAAUCAAACACUGACCUAAGUGUCGAGGUGUUUUUGAUAAGUGCCAAUCAGAUCAUUAACUGUAAGAAAGAAACUUACAUGGAUCGAGCUCACCAUCUCACUAUAAGUGAGUUUAUUCCUAAGCCAAUCGUUUGGGUAGGUCAGGUGGUUCCUUGAAUUGAAAUCACCAACUUUAAUAUUAAAAAAAAAAUCAUUAGAUUCAGAGUGGGACCCAGCAGACCUGCCCGUAUGGCAAGUUGUGAUUGGUAGGGCCAUCCACAUAAGUGCUUCUCUAACUGUAGACCAGAAGAUUAUUCAUAUUUUUCAUAUUACGAUUUGAAACUCGAUAAUCAUGAAAUUAGAACACCUACUUGAAAACAAAAGAAUCACAAAAUCUACCUGCAAAUCUUGAUAAAAUAUUGAGAAUAACAAUUAUUUAAGAUUUUGAAACGUAACUAUAACAUUGCAGCAAGUUGAUUAAUAUAACAUGAGCCAAACAUUGCAAGUUGAGCGACCUCUGCAGCCAAGCCAUCACAAACAUAUGUUCUCACAGUGUGUUAGAAACUGAUGUGUAAAACAAAAGAGGAGCUUCACAUGGAGCUGGAAAGUUUCCAUUUUACAAUUAAUUUUCUAAUGGUGUGUUUAAUAAUUAGUAAUUGAAACAAGCUAAAAUUAAAAUGAAAAAUGAGAAUUAAAAUAAAUUGUUUAUUUUACUUGUGGGAAUUGAAAUUGGAAUGAACCGUAUUGCUAUUGAUAUGUUUACUUUAUCUCGAAAUGAGAAUAGAUUGUUACAAAUUACUAAGCCGCCCUUAGUUAAUUAUUGUCAUUAUUUAUAAUAAUAAUAAUAAUAAUUUAUAAUUACUGUUAAGUCCAUUAUUUAUAGAGUUGGCAUCUUAUGGCAAGUCUAGUUAAAUUAGAAUUUUAUUUAUUGCAUAUCUUGUAAUAGGGAUUAAUUUAUUAAUUCCCUAAUUUAGUGAGAUUCCAAUUUAUUUGAAAUAUUUGUUUCUUAAUUUAAUUAGAUGUCUAAUUUAACAAGUCUAUUAAUGAUGAGAUUCUAUAAUUGGUGCAUAAGAUCUAUUUAGAGCAAGAAGUUUAUUAAAUGAUCUAGAUAUUUCUUGGGAGACAAGUAAGGUAAGAAGAUAAGAUUUAUUCAUAUUCAAAUUCAUAGGAAUUAUAAGAGGAAAAAAACUCUUAUUUGGAAAAAAAUCCAAGUCUUUUAAGACUUGCUAUUUUUGUAAAACCCUAGUGCUUAUAUAAAGAGAGGUAUUUCACAAUUGAAGACACACAACACAAAGCAUAAAGUAGAGAAGUAAAGGUCGGCCUCUUCCUUAGAGAAUCUAGAUUUGGCGCAUAAUGUUGUGUUGAUUUAUUUUCUUAUCUUUUUUUUCAUCUAUGUGGAGAGUCUAUAUAGAUCUUGGAUUACUAGACAUUGAAGAAUUGAAGAAUUCCUAUUGAUCACUUUGCGAAGUGCCUUGAGGAUCAUGGAUCAAGAGGGAUAUCAAUUAUUUAAGAAAAACAGAUUCAGUUUAAGGUUGAGUAAACUAUAUGGUGAUAAACUGUAAGUGAGAAUCUUAAGUUUGGUAAAUCCAUAGGUUGUAACAUCUCAACUUAGUGAAUUACUUUUCAUCUAGCCGUGGCCUCAUGGAUGUAGGAUUGAUUAAUCUGAACCACGUAAAAAUCUCCGUAUCAUUUAUUUUCUACAAUUUAUUGUGUUUUGAAAAAUUAAUAUUUUUUAUAUGGAUGAACAGUAACCAUAAACAGUAAUUGUGAACAAUAACUAUGAAUAAUAAUUAUGAACAAUAACUAUGAAUAGUAUUUCUGAAAAAUAACUAUGAAUAGUAUUUCUGAAAAAUUAAUUAAGUUGUUAAUUUCAGGUUUUUUUUAGUUGCCUACAUCUAUUUGCGAUAGAUCUAAAUUCCUUUUAAUUAGUAUUAUUAUCAUCAUCAUCAACUAUGAAUUUUUCAUCAUCAUCAUCAUAAUUUUAAGAUUUAAGUGGGGUAAUAUGGUCACUUUAGGGAAUAGGAUUCUCAUUUCCACCUCUCCCCAUAGGAAUGGAAACUAUAGUAAUCAUUCCCAAUUUUAGGUGGAACUUGUCACUUUGAUUCUCAUUCCACGUCUCAUUUAAGCAAGUAAACAUAUUAUUCAUUCUCAUUCCUUAAUUCCCAUUCCCAUUCCCAUUCCCAAUAAAUAAAUACACCAUAAAUGAAGAGAUUUCUACGCUACUUACAGUCAUAAAAUCAAAAGAAAACUCUUUUUGGAUCGCGAUCUUUGUGUAAAAUGUACACAAAAUCACAUAGUACUAAAAGCAGAAAAUUAGCGGUUCAAAAAUAAUUUUUUGGCCAUUACCAGCAAUAACAAAGUGAAAACAUUUUCUGGCAAAUGCUGGCAUUAAACUGCAUCGCAUUGCAAAGAUCUCACCCUAAAAUAUAAUUUUAGAUCAUGGAUUAGCACUUAGUUAAUUAUCUAUAAAAUUUAUAAAAUUAUGCAUAAGAAGUCAGAUAAGCAUCAACUCUGUUUGCCAAAGAGCAUAACCUUGUUUUCUGUAGGUUGAGCCGAGCAAGGCCACUCAGCUUUUGGCCCAUAGGCCAUAGCCACCCUGAAAUAUGAAAGCGGGCAUCAAUAACAUGACCCAGGUCAAACAACUUUUUCAGAAUAUAAGUCAGUUUCUUCAGAUUGGUAAUCACAAAAUCUUAUAGAAUUAAAUUAAAUUGCACAUCUUUUAUCUUGAAUUUAUACUAUCAUUUCAUAACGCUCUGCAUAUUGAAUGAAGCGCCUAUAUAUUAGUCAAUUCAUCCCGGACUAUGUACCACUAAAUAAGAAUUUAAUAAUGUAGCACUAAGAAGAAAAGGUAAGACUAACUAGUAUAGCUGGGUUGUGGAAUCUCACAUGAUAAUUACUUGGAAGCUGAAGGACACAAACUCUUUCAUCACUUAUACUUAGAUUAUAACAAAAUUAAUGGCUAAGUUCUAAUCGAUUGCAUGAUACAUUAAUUUCAACACAUUGAUGUUAUAAUAUUCAUUUUUGUAUCCUCUCUCCCCGUCAUAAACUUUCUUAUAAAAUUUUGAGUUAAAUUUUGUAAGCUAACUCAACAAAAAGAUAACGAAUUAAAUAAUAAUUUAAAGAUGACUAACAAAAGAACAAAUGCAAUCUAAGAUAAUUAAAUUCUAUUUAUAUAUAUAUGUCCUAUAUCAAAGCGAGAGAGUAUCUUACAUGGUUAGACUUUUAUAGUAGAAUUAACUAAGGGGUGAAGGGUUUAAGAAUCCAAGGGAAUAUAUUAAAAAAAUUGAGGGUGCAUAGGAUGAGGCAAAUGACAAGGAUACUUAUAAAUAAGAACACUUACAUAUUUUAAUAUAUAUGUCCUCAAUAGUUUAAAUGAUUUUCAAUUUUACUUGCCAUAUCAAAGAUGAGAGCUAAAGAAUUGAUCAAUGCUUUUGUCCACCACUCUACUUUUUUUAAAAAAAAUAAAAAAAACAUAAAUUUAGCUUAAAAAAUAAAUAAAUGGCUGAAAUCUAAUGAAUUAGAUUACAUGACACAUUAAUUUUAACAAAUUGAUACUUUAACAUUUGUUCUUCUUUAUCUAAUUGUCUUCUCCUCAUCAACGUUCUUGUAAAAUUUUGAGUCAGAUUUUGUAUGUUAACUCAAAUAGAUGAAAAAAUCAUACUCAACAAAAAAAUAACGAAUUAAAUAAUAAUCCAAAUGUGACUCUAGCAAAAUAAGAGUGCUUUCUAAGAUAAUUAAAUUGUAAUUUUGUCUUACAUCAAGAUAAUAGGAUAGCUCAUAUGGUUGGACUUCUAUUGCAGAAGUAACUAACAAAAGGGUUAAUUGUUUAAAAAUACAAGGAAAUCAAUUAAAAAUUUUGAGGGUAGGAUAGGAUGAGGUAAAUGACAAGAAAUAUUUAUAUAUGAAAACUCUUGUAUAUUUUAAUAUAUAUGUCCCCAAGAGUAUGGUUGAUCCUUUUUUAAGUAGUUUUAUUUGAUUGACCACCAUGCAUUGGUAUGCACUUUUGCCCAUAGUUCUAAUUUUUUUUUAGUAACUAACACACAAAUAAAUUUUGAUUAAAACAAAAUCAAUGGCUGAUAUCUAAUGAAUUAGAUGAUGUGAUACAUUAAUUUCAACCCAUUGAUGCUAUAACAUUUAUUUUUCUUUAUUAUCUCUCCUCCCCAUCAACAUUCUUCUUUUUCUUCAUUUCGUCUGCUAUUUUCUCUCUCUAUUUCGCCAAGAGUCUAAACUCCCUUUCUUUAUAUUGUUUUGUACCAAUAUAUAAUAAACUAUCUUUUUUUGUUUAGUAUAUUAAAAUCUAUGGCAUCCUUAUUUUAGUUAAGUGAGGAUAUUUUCGCUAGAGAAUAAUUAUAUAUAUAGGAGUUAUGUUUUACCGCAAUAAGGAGUUAUGUUUUGUCCUUUGAUCCUAAACUUUAUUUUUUUUUCUUUUCUGAGUUAUUUGGGAUAGAAGGAUCAUUUUUACAUAACCCCUUUGUAUAAAAAAUCAUGUCUUUUUUUCCAUUAGUAUAAGAAGACAAAUCUAUCUUUAUUUGAAUAAAUUUUAACAUGUUUGUAAUUUUGUCUUGUACUUCAUCAUGCAUACAAGACUAAUCUUAUACUUCGUCUUGUCUUUCAAGACAUAAAGGUAUGAAUGAUAUUAAAAAAAUAAAAAAUAGGGCUCAUCUCAUAAGAAAACCCUUCCCGAGAUCCAAUCAAAUACUCCUUCUUCUUCUUUAAAAAAUUUAGAUCUAUUUUAAGAAGCAUAGGAAAAAUAAAAACAAUAGAUAAAUUAGUUUCUCUAAUUAAUUAAUCCUGAAAAUAUUGCUCAUUGAUAAAUUUUCAUGUUAUAUUGUUCAUACGAGUUACUGUUCAUGGAUACUGUUUAUAGUACUGUUCAUUAAAACUAUUCAAUGAAUUGUCACAUUUACUGUUCAUUCAUCAUAAAUAGACUAAAAACAAUAAAUUGUUGAAGUAGAACUCACAGAAAAUUUUUAUGUGGUUUGGAGUAAUGAAAAGAUUAUAAUAUAUGCUGGAUUCUUACAUAAUUUUAGACAUCCUCUUACUCUUGCCACCAACUCAUUGUAACUAACUUAGUUGACCCUGCUUGGUGAGAAACCCUUGUUUAAUUGUGUUUGCUGCUGUCCUUCAUCUCAAUGAGACCAAAGUAAAUAUUAGAAUGUCUAAUGAAAGACUUAAUAUGAUGAAGACUUAAUGAAAAAGACUAAAACAUCAUAGAGAUAUGAAACAUCAUAUGCGGCCAAAUAGGUUUCAUCUUGAUCUCUGCAUUGGGUAUUUCUCUAAUAUAAAAUAUGACAUACCAUCUUUACUCUUUCAAUGUGUGAAGUACUCCUCUUUACGUAGGAGUAGUAUUUCACCCAAAAUCCUAGUAGAGGAAUAUUAAAAUAUACUUCUUUAAGAGUCCAAUAUUUAGCAAAUACUUGAUUCAAGACUAUAAUUUCUUAAGAGUCUAAUAUUCCAUAAGUACUUGAUAUACUUAGUAAUGUAGUAUUCAUCUUAAUUUAUUUGGAAAUCUUUGAUAUGAAAUCCUACUUUCAUGCCAAUUUACUUCUUUUAUACCUCUAAAAAUAUUCUUCAAUAUUCUACAUAAUCUAAUUUUAAUUAAUUCCUAAGACUAGAUAAAUUUCAAAUAAAAGGAAACAAAUCCCUAAUAAAAGAAAUAAAUAAAUUGCAAUAUUAUUGAUACGAUGAUGUCAAUAAUAGAAACCAAAACAAUCUUUCCCUUUGACAUCCUUGUAGCCAAAACAUAAACUAACCAAUUGUCCAAAGAACUAAUAAAAAAAAAACCAUAAGUCACCAUUAGUUCCAGAUACAAAUCUCCUCUAAUAAAUAAAUGCUCAUGACUAUAAUUCAAUUGAGAAAAUUAACUCUCCCGUUAAGAUAAACCAUCUCGUACAUUUAGAGAGCAGUAAUGCAUAUCAAAGAAAGAAAUAAACUUCCCUUUUAAUAGAGUGUAAACAAAAUGAAGAACUACUCUCCCCCUUUCAUGAUGCAAUGAAAACGAAAAAAAUAUGUAACAAUAAAAAUAAAUAAAAAAUGUAACCUCCCUUUUUUGACAAAAAGUGCGAAAGCAUGAUAUAUAACAUAAACAAAAAAUUGAAAUAGCAGGCUAAACGAGUCAAAAAUCAAAACUAACUAACAAAGGGGGUAUAAAGUAAAGAAAUCAUCAAGAGUAAUGACCACGCCUAAUGUCAUUUAAGAGUGUGUUCAAUGCAUUUAGCUCAAUCCAAUAAAUGCAAAAUCGUGUCCUUUUGAUCAUCGAAAUGCUGAAGAGUGGAGCAAAUGAUUUGAAGCUAAAAAAUGAUAAUGGCCAAAUCUAGGAGAACAUUCUUAGUUUAAGUAUGUUCAUCUUGAUCACCAACAACACCAAGGGUGUCCACAUAGGAUAGGUUGGUUUAAUAUAAUUAGGAAAAGAAUUAAAACCUUCAUCAUCGUCAACUAAAUUAUAAUCUUGAGAUGUAAACAAGUGAUGAAUCAAGGAAGGAAUGGUAGUGCAUUCUCUCCCAAUAUAUAUCUACAUUCUUUACAGUAAAAUCAAAAGCUAACUUGCCAAGUUGAAAGGAAUGUCGCCUCCAAUUAGAAAUAUGACUUUAGCAAAUAAAGGGUUCACUAUGGUAUAAUUUUCAGUAAGAUACCAAUUGUGUGUCCCAAUCUAAUAUAAAGCUUGAUAUUUAGAAUUAAGCUUGAAUACCAAAAGGUCUUUAGACAAAGGAGAAUUUCCUCUUAAAAGUCGAGUAGCAAUAGUAGACAUGUCCAAGGUGUUCACGUGUUACUAGAAUUGGCACUUUGCAACCAAACGAACUUGAUUAAGGAAGGAGAAAAUCCAAGGGAUGCCCUUUUGCAUGAAUUUUAUGGAAAAAACCUGGCUCAGUCUUAUGCACAAUAUUUUCAUUCAAAUGGGCAUAGAAUUCACGAAUUGAAUUAGGUGCAUAUGAAGGAUAUUCUUAAUGAUGUUUUCUAAACCAAUAGCAUUAACGGAUGGUUCAAUCUCAAAAGGAAUUGUUGGGGGGGCUUAGCAUAAGAUUUUUAGGUAUCCAAUCCAAAAGACUAACCUUUUAGGUGCAGUGACCUACUGAUACGCUCUUAAUUCACAAAACCGAGAGCAAUAUCAGAAUUAUCACUACUUCGAGUGAGUGUUGGCUCCAAGGAAAAGAAUUUUGAAAUUGUAAAUGAAAAGAAGAAGGAAAAGACAAGUUAGAGAGAGAAGGAAAGUGGUCCAUUCAUUUCAUGCCUCCCAAAAGGAAAAAUCCAGCAAUAUAUAACAGACAAUCCAAAAUAACCAAUAUUGACAACGCGAUAGAAAAUAACAAAAAAAAAGAAUCCAAAACAAACUCAGCCAAUCACAAUACUUCUAUGGGCCAUCCUAAACGACGUAGUCUCUAAGCCAGUCUGGAAGUUUCUUUAUUUGUUUGGGCCGUUGAUUAUCUUGCACUGGUUCAUGGUGAACUUCCUCCAUGGGCUGAUUGACUAUGGGUUCUCGGUUGAGCUCUUUCGCUAGUGCCCCCUCUGAUGGCUCCAAUUUGAUAUAUAAAUUUGUAUCAUUCCCUCUAUCUCAAAAACACACCUUGUCCUCAAGGUGAAAUGCUGGAUAGAGCUUACAAAAGGCAUCAAAGUUUUCCCAAGUCGAAUUCUCUGGUGAACUGUCGGUCCAUUGAACUAACACUUGAGGCAUUGGCUUCCCCUAUUGUAACACUAUAAGGGUAUCACAAAUGGCAACUGGUAGCAAAAGAGGAUGGUUAUCCACACUCAACUCUGGUAAAGGAUGUGAAAUAGCAGUGUCGUUGCCAUGAUAAGGUUUAAGAAUAGAGAUGUGAAAUACCGAGUGGAUUUUGGAAGUAUUGGGCAACUCCAAUUUGUAAGCUACAGGAUCCACUCUAGCAAGUACAGUAAAUGGCCCAUAGUAGCGCUUGGCCAACUUCUGACAGCCGCGAGAAGCUAAAGUGUUCUGACGAUAUGGAUGUAAUUUAACCAGCACUUUAUCCCCUACUUCAAAGUGAGCUUCACAGUGAUGCGCAUUAGCUUUCUGAGCCAUUCGAUGUUGUGCUUGAUUCAAAUUAUCUUUUAAAGAGUGGAAAAGAGUACUAAGUUCCAGGAGAAUGUCUUCCAAAGCUUGGAUUGAAGUAGAGCCCUUAGCAUAAUGAGGAAUGGUUGGAGGCAAUCGGCCAAAUAAAGCAUGAUAAGGAGACAUCUUCAAGCCACUGUGGAAAUGAGAAUUAUAGCUCAAUUCUACUCAGCUAAGUAAGGAAACCCACUUCUUUGGUUUGUCUUAAGUGAAAGCUCGUAAAUAUUGCUCCAAUCCUUGAUUUACCACUUCCGUUUGACCAUCCGUUUGAGGGUUGUAUGCCGUGCUAUGAUGAAGAGUUGUGCCACUUAAGAGGAAUAAUUGCUUCCAAAAAUUGCUCAAGAACACCGGGUCUCGAUCGUAUAUAAUUGAACUUGGAAAACCAUGUAUUUUAAUGACCAUGUCCACAAAGAGUUCUGCUGUCUUGAGGGCAAUAAAUUGGCAUGGUAGCGGACCAAAAUGGGCGAAUUUUGUAAGACGAUCUACAACGACCAAUAUGACCGAGAAACCUUUUGAUAACGGAAGACCUGUAAUGAAGUCCAUGGUGACCUCAUCCCAAACCAUACUAGGUAUCGGCAAUGGUUGAAGAAGACCAGCAGAGGCUUGAGUUGAAUACUUAGUUUGCUGGCAUAUUAAACACUCUCGAAUAAAUUUUUCCACAUCAUGUCGCAUCUUGGGCCAAUAGAAUGUUGAAGACAAACUGAUUAAGGUUCUAGUGACACCCACAUGACCUGCUAGUGGCAUAGAAUGAAACUCUUGCAACAAUAUGGCCUUUAAAGAGGAGGUAGGACUGAUGUAAUAACGCUGACGGUGAAGAAGAAAUCCGUUUUGAACUGAGAAGUCAGCUGAAAGUUCACCCUUUAAUAAUUGUUGGUGAAGUGAUAUUAAAUCAGGUAGUGUGGUGUUUUCAUUAAGUAAGGACUGCAGCAAUUCAAAUGAAGGUUGGCUGUUGAAAGAGAGGCACGUAGGGAAGGUAUUGAUGUUAUCCGCAAGGGCUAUUUCAUGGACACGUGAGAGGGCAUCAGCAGCGCUAUUGGUACGGCCUGGUCUGUACUCAAUUCGAAAUUGGAAUCCCAAUAAUUUGCAAAGAUAAACCUGCUAGUCUGGUGUUUGAAUCACUUGUUGAAGGAGCUCUUUGAUACUCUUAUGAUCCGUGCGAAUAACAAAGAAACGACCCAACAAAUACUCCCGCCACUUAUACACAACGUCCACAAUUGCAUGCAACUCCUUGAUGUAAGUGGAGAAGGCUCUCAAUUUGGGACCCAACUUCUUGCUGAAAUAUGCAAUCGGGUGCCCCUGUUGUGUAAGUACUGCUCCUAUGACCACAUUAGAAGCGUCGGUCUCAAUGACGAAAUCAGAAGUAAAAUCCAGCAACUUAAGGACUGGAGCUUGCACCAUUGCUUGUUUAAGAGCUGCAAAGGCAUCCAUGGCUGUCAAAUUCCACUAAAAGGCAUCCUUGCACAACAAAUCAGUGAGUGGGUUGCCAAUGAAGCAUAACCGCGGAUGAAUCGCCUAUAAUAUCCAGUGAGACCAAGAAAGCCCCUCAACUGUUUGAUAGAACGCGGCAUUGGCAAGUUAAGCAUGGCAUCAAUCUUUUGGGGGUCGGCUUGUACUCCCGAGGUUGAAACAAUAUGGCCUAGAUACUCAAUAAUGGCCGGGCAAAACAAACACUUGGAUAAUUUAAUAAAAAAUUGAUGAUGAUUUAAACAAGAUAAUACUUGCUCAAGGUGAAACAAAUGCUCGGCCAUGGAAGAGCUAUAAACCAAGAUAUCAUACAAAAAAACAAUCACAAAUUUCCGGAGAUGAGCUGCAAAAAUCUGAUUCAUUGUGGCUUGAAAAGUGGAGGGGGCAUUUGUCAACCCAAACGGCAUGACUAAAAACUCAUAAUGGCCCUCAUAAUGACUUGCCUGUAUCAAUGUAUGAAGCCAAAAAGACAAUGAAUGCUUUAGGGUUAGAGUAUGUCAAAAUUCAUGCUUGUCCAAAUGAUUGUAUACUCUAUAGAAAGGAGUAUGAAAGCCUUUAUAAUUGUCCUACAUGCGGUGAAUCUAGGUGGAAGAAAAGAGUUGGUAGUGUUGCUACUUAUAGGAAGGGGGUUCUUGCAAAAGUGUUAUGGUAUUUCCCUCCUAUACCUAGAUUUAGGCAUUUGUUUCAGUCCUCACAAACUGCCAAAGACUUGACUUGGCAUAUAAAUGAGAGGGAAAUAGAUGGUAAGCUUCGACAUCCAGCUGACUCACCAGCAUGGAAGUUAGUUGAUGAAAAAUGGCCUACCUUUGCUUUAGAGCCUAGAAAUCAGCGUCUUGCCCUAUCAGCUGAUGGCAUUAAUCCUCAUAGCUCUCUUAGUAGUACGUAUAGUUGCUGGCCCAUUUUUCUUGUAACAUACAAUCUUCCACCCUGGUUGUGUAUGAAACGAAAAUUUAUGAUGUUAUCCUUAUUAAUUUCUGGUCCACAACAGCCGAGUAAUGAUAUUGAUGUGUACUUGGCACCACUAAUAGAGGACUUGCAAACUCUAUGGGAUGUUGGUGUGGAAGCUUAUAAUGCCUACAAAAAAGAGUUCUUCAAUUUACGGGCUGUACUAUUGUGGACUAUAAAUGACUUUCCCGCUUACGGGAAUUUGGCGGGUUGUACGGUUAAGGGUUAUUAUGCUUAUCCUUAUUGCGGUGAAGAUAUGCCAAAAUGUAGACUUAAACACAGUAAAAAAAAUACUUAUAUUGUCCAUCGCCGUUGGCUUCCUCAUGAUCAUCCUUUUCGAACUCAAAAGCAACCUUUUAAUAAUAAACAUGAAAGAGAGCCUCCUCCGAAACCAUUGAAUAGUGAGGCCAUUUUUCGAAAGGUGGAGAGUAUUGAAAAUAAAUGGGGUAAAGUGAAAGAUAAAAAGCGCAAAAAUAGAGGCGAGAAAAAGGAUGAUGAUGACGAUCGUGUUUGGUGGAAGAAAAAAUCAAUAUUCUUUAAGUUAGAGUAUUGGAAGUACUUGCUUAUUCGUCACCAGUUAGAUGUUAUGCACAUUGAAAAAAAUGUUUGUGAAAGCAUCUACGGAACAUUACUAAAUAUCCCGGGAAAGACCAAAGAUGGCAUUAAGUCGAGGUGGGAUCUAAAAGUUUUAAAGAUUAGGCAGAAAUUGGCACCUGAUGUUAAAGAAAAUAAUCGUACUUUUUUGCCUCCAGCUUGUUACACCUUGACCAAAGAAGAAAAGAAAAGGUUUUGUGAAGUAUUAAAAAGCAUAAAGGUUCCUGUAGGUUAUUCUUCAAACAUUCAGAACCUAGUGUUAAUGAAAGACUUAAAAUUGCAAGGUUUAAAGUCUCAUGACUGUCAUGUUCUCAUGCAACAACUUUUACCUAUUGCUUUAAAGUCUAUCUUACCAGAUCAUAUUAAAUAUGCCAUUAUUAGAUUGUGCUUCUUUCUUAAUUCCUUGUGUGCAAUGGUUGUUGAUGUGACCAAACUUGACCAAAUGGAAGAAGACAUUGCGCUGACCUUAUGCUUGCUGGAAAAAUGCUGUCCGCCAUCCUUUUUUGACAUAAUGAUCCAUUUAACCAUCUAUUUAGUUAAUGAAGUUAGACUAUGUGGGCCGGUAUACUUAAGGUGGAUGUACCCAUUUGAGAGGAACAUGAAAGGCCUAAAGGCUUAUGUUCGAAACCGUAAUAACCCUGAGGGAUGCAUAGCUGAGAGUUAUAUUGCCGAAGAGGCUCUGGAAUUUUGUGCAGAAUAUGUUUCAAACAUGCGUACAAUUGGGCUUCCUCCUGGACAUGUUGAAACCUCUUCAAUUGAUAAGCUUUUGCCUGGUGGAAAAUUUGAGCAUGUUGAUCAUUCCUUAAUUCAUCAAGCGCACCUAUAUGUCUUGCAAAACACAGAAGAAGUUUAGCCAUUUAUUAGGUUUGUUAAUGUUUAACCUUUAAUUUGUUCCUUUACUGAAUUAUUUUUAAAGAAUUUGAACAGUAGCUUAAUAUGUAAAUGUCAAAUAUGUAGUGAGCACAUUCAAUGGCUAAAGGGUCAUCAUUCACAAAAAGCCAAGAAUGAGAGAUGGUUGAGCAAUGAGCACAACCGUACCUUUUCAACUUGGCUUAAUAAGAAGGUUAAUAAUAUAUGCUCCAUUAUAUAUUCUUUUUAGUAAAGUUAUUGUCAUGUUUAUACAAUAAUUCAUUAAUUACGAUUAUUAUUAUGUAGGUAUAUGAGAUGAUAGAUGAUGAUGAAGAUGUCUCGAACAUCUUGGAGGUGUUAUCUCAAGGACCCNNNNNNNNNNNNNNNNNNNNNNNNNNNNNNNNNNNNNNNNNNNNNNNNNNNNNNNNNNNNNNNNNNNNNNNNNNNNNNNNNNNNNNNNNNNNNNNNNNNNNNNNNNNNNNNNNNNNNNNNNNNNNNNNNNNNNNNNNNNNNNNNNNNNNNNNNNNNNNNNNNNNNNNNNNNNNNNNNNNNNNNNNNNNNNNNNNNNNNNNNNACUACCAUAUGUUUAGAAUCCCUUUGUUCAAGUGUGAUUGGGUUCAAAAUAAUAGGGGUAUUAAAAUCGAUGAAUUUGACUUCACUUUAGUGGACUUAAAUCACUUGGGUCAUAAAUCAGACCCAUUUAUAUUGGCUUCACAAGCAACACAAGUCUUUUAUGUCACUGAUCAACUUGAUAAAAGAUGGUCAGUUGUAAGUCAUAUGCAUCGUAGAUGUGUUCCAAAGAAGACAAGUGCUGAGGAUAUAGAUAUCAUGAUGGAACACAGCCCUCUGACCAAUGGGUUACCAAAUAUUGAAAAUUUAAAUGAUGCAGACAGAUAUGCAAGAGAUGGCAAGCAUGGCAUUUGGAUUGAUGCUUGAAAAAGCUGAUGGCAUUUACUGCUUAUAUGUUUUAUAAUAGUUUUGUGUUACGUUAUCUUUUAUUAUUAUAUUUUCCUUGUAUUGACUUUAAAUUACCUUUUUUGACAUUAUUUAUAUGUUAUAUAAUGUUCUAAUACUAAAUGUGCAUUUAUUGCAGGAGCAACCUUAUGGAUAAAGGAAAAGGACUUGCUGAUGAACUCUCUAACGAGGAAAGUAUUGAUUGUUCGGGUAAUGAAGAGGUUCCUGAUGAAGAUAAUUCAAGGGAUGAGGAGGUUCCUGAUGAGUUUCCUAAUUCAGAGGAUGAAAAUGAUGUUCCGAAGAGCAGUUCCACUGUGAGAGGACCAACUAAAAACUCUGGCAGAAUGAGGAUGAGUGGCGGGAAGCUUGUAGUCAGGUACAAUGGGCUUGGUGUACUUGUUGGCCCUGAAGCUACUGAAUUAGCAAGCUUUAUUGGGCUGUUGGGCCGUACUUCUGUUCCGGAUAUUAACCAAGAAUGGAGAAAGGUUACUCCAGAUUAAAAAAGUCGUUUGUGGGAGUUUAUUAAGGUAAAAUGAUUAUUUAUAUUUAUAUAUCAGAAUUGAAUAAUGUAUAUGUUAAACUAUUUGAUCAUUUUGCUAUGUAUUUUUCUUAGGAACGUUUUAUUGUUCAUCCAAAUAGUAAGAAGCAAGUUUUCCAAGCACUUGGUAGUGCAUUCAGAAACUUCAAGUACUUGCUUACCACAAAGUAUAUCUUGCCACACAAGCACAAUUGUAAAAGGCUGAAGCGGCCACCUUUUCAGUACAGUCAUAUUCCUCAAAAUGUUUGGGAUAAAUUUGUGAAUUCUAGAUUGUCCACUGAGUUUGAGGUGAAUACUUUUAAAUGUUAAGCAUUUAGACAUUUCAUAAAACCAUCUUUAAAUCUAAUACAUAUCCAGAGAUUGAGUGGCUACUGUUUUGAUGAAUUGGAGACUUUAGGAUGUGUUCAUCUAAACUGGCUUCACUAGGAUUUUCUUCAACUGAAUCAGCAUUGCCUUCAUGAGAUCCAACAAGAUUGUUGCGUGAGAUGAUGCAAUCGGCAUGAUUCCACCAUCCUUAUGUGUUGAGUAAUUUCGAUGUAGCUUCUAUAAUAGGCCAUGGAUUGUCAUCUUUCUCUUUUUCAUAAGUCGCAUGCAUCAUAUUAACUAGACCAGAUUUCACGUUGGAAUCACCAAGAGCAUCCACUUCCUUUGCUUGUUCAACAUGCAUCUUUGAUCUCUUCUUCAUGGAACUUGACCCUGUGGAAACUAUGAUGCCCAGCUGAAAAAAAAAACUAAAAUAGAGAAGCUUUGGAGAGAGAGGCUACUGGUUGGAUGAGAAAAGAAAGGUAAAUAAGAGCCCUUAUAUAGAGAGAUAACCCAGAUCUUGUAGGGGUAGGAAAGUGUACUUUGGGUAAAAAGCAAUAAUUAUAUUUUCUAUAAAUAUAAAACAACUCAAACAAGGUUAUAUAAUCCUUAUAUAACAAUAAUAACUAAGACAUACAAGAAAUAAAAUCAUAACUAAGGAUUAUAUCCAUGUAUAAUCACAAAAAUUGCAAGUUAGAUGCAUAAUCACGUUAGAAGGACUACACUGAAAAUUUGGCCCGAUUUGUGAAACACGCACAAAUAUUGACAAGUUUCAUGAUCAAUCUGAAAAACUUCAAGCACUUAUAGGACAAUUACAAAAUGGUUCCUAAAGAUUACAGAAUAUAUGAAUAUCAUAAAUGGCUACCAUUUAUCCAUUUAAACCCUAAAUCGAGAAAAAACCCUAAAAAUAAAAUACAUGGAAAAAUGUUUUAUGCAAAUAUCCAAGUAAUAAUGACUAAAAUGCAUUUUUGAUAUAUAAAACACAUAAUAUUCAAUCUUUGUGCAAUAAAACACUAUUUUUUUAAUUUAAAAACAAAACAAGCUAGUAUGCAAUUUUGUAAAAUAAAACAUGACUUUUGAAAAAUUAAAGAGACAUGUUCAUCAAUAAUCAUCACAAUACACACAAAAUCAAGAUAAUUGCUAAGCAAGAAUCACUCAUCAAUUGGUUUCCAUUAAUUUCCAAGAUCAUGAUUAUAUAUAUCCCACAAUUUAUGCCAUAUUUGUAUUUAUUCUGUUUUUUAAUUUAGCUUUAUUUAAAGCCUAUAUAUAGGCUCAUACUUUGUGUAAAUAAAAAUGAAGAUUAUACAGUAAUAAUAUUUUAUAUUCACCUUCAUGGUAUCAGAGUUAAAAGGUAAUUUAGCCAUAAUUUCCCUGUCUUGUCUCUUUUAGUCCAAAUUCAGCCAUUGUGAUUUGUGCAACAACAUUCGACUACCAUCUCUCUUAAUCUUGUUGUUGGCCAUGAUUCACAAGUCUUUUGCUUGGCUGAUUUUGGGCAUCUUGUUGAAUUUUAUUCUUCGUACUUUUGUGCUUUGGGACUUGCAUUAGAUUGGCUACUGCCUUGGUUGGUUGACCAUUUCGAUUUUAUUUAUUGUCUUCUUUAUCGCAUGGAUUUUUUUUUUUUAGGAUGGAAAAAUUUAAUGUUUCACAGCUUAUUCAUCUUAAACUCGAUGGACAUAAUUAUGUUCUCUGGGCACAAACAAUGUGUAAUUUUAUUUAAGGUCGCAGAUUAUGCCACUAUAUUAUUGCAACCAUUGUUCAACCAGUCCAGAAAGAAGAUGAAGAUGCUGAAAAAUUUGUUGAUCGUCUUGAGGAAUGGGAUAACAGGAAUCAUCAAAUAAUCACAUGGUUCUAUAAUACCUCACAACUAUCUAUUCAACUCCAAUUUAGUCGAUUUGAACAACCAAAUCGCUUUGUGACUUUCUUGCCCACCGUUAUACUACCAUAGAUCUUUCACAUCAGUAUCUGUUGUUACGAACUCUAAAUGAACUCAGACAAAAACCCGGUCAAUCAAUUGAUGAUUUUCACUCUCGUAUCCAAUUCCUUUGGGAUUGACUAGCCCUUUUUGAACCUGAGUAGAAUGAUCCUACAGAUGUAGAAAAAUUCUGAAUCUACUAGGAUCGUUAGUAAUUAAUACAAAUUAUCAUGGCAUUACAUAAUAAUUUGAGCCCACUCGAGCAGCCUUGCUUCAUCAGACCCCAUUCCCAAGUCUUGAUCACAUUAUUGAUCAACUUAUCUUAGAAGAAACUCGCCGAGCUAGCUUACAGUUUCCUCCCAUAGAAAUUGCUUUGGCAACUCAUUAAUCUGAACUAAGUUGUAGCUUAAAGAAAAUAUGCAAGUAUUAUUGUGAACCUAAUCAUAUUUUACUUAAUUGUCCAACAAGGCAUUGUACAUCCUGCAACAAAAUUAGGGCAGGCCAUUAUGAAAAAGAUUGUCCAAAUAAAGGCAAACAAUUUAUCCUUAAGCAUGCACCUCUCAAGAAUAACCUGCUUUCUAUUAUAGCUGAUAAUGCUAGUUCAUCCGCUCAAGCAAAUAUUAAGCAGUCUCCUCUUUCUACCUUUAUUACUCUUAAUGACUUAGAAUCCCUUCUCCAACAAUGUCUCUAGAAAUUCGGUAACACUUCUAUCUCUAUCUCAUCUAUUUCAUCAGGUAACUCAUCUUGGUACUUUAUUUCUGCAUGUUGUAAUCAUAUGACUCCUGACGCUACUAUAUGUUUACUUCUAAAUCUAUUGUCUUAAAUUCUCCUAUUAUACACACUGCUAAUGGAUUCUUAAUACUAAUCAAUCAUAUAGCCCAUGUCUUUAUUCCUAAUUUGUCUUUAUUAAAUACUUUUCUUAUUCUAAUAUUGACUUUAAAUUUAUUAUCCAUUGGUUAAUUGUGUGAACUUGGUCUUAAUGUCAUAUUCAUUCUAGUUGAUUGUUCAAGAUUAACAAGCUCAAAGAAGCACCCUAUUUUACUGUUACCAAUGAACAUGCUGAUUGUUUAUCUUGUCAAGUAGCAAAACAAACCACUUAACCUUUUAAUAAUAUUGAGUUUGUUGCUCAUGCUCCUUUUGAUAUAAUACAUUUUGAUAUUUGGGGACCAUCACCAAAUGCCAUUGUGGGUGGAUCUAGAUAUUUUGUGAUUUUAUUGAUGACUAUUCUUAUUUUACAUGGCUAUUUCUUAUGAAAAAUAUAUCUAAGUUUGCUAGAAUUUAUUGUGAAUUUGCACAAACAAUUAAAACUCUAUUUUCUCGAUCUAUUUUAAGUUUUUCAUACUGAUAAUGCCAUGGAAUACAAGGAUACUGAAUUUCUAAAUUUCCCAUAUAAACUUGGUACUAUAUGUCAUCGCUCUUGUCCAAGUACUUCCUUGCAAAAUAAUCUCUGCUUCUUAUCUUGAGCAUUUAUGGGGAGAAGUUGUCCUUACUGUGGAUGUCGUAGAUACCUCCCUUAAUUUCUUUGAGUUAUCUUUCUAAAGUCUCAACAUGGGAUACUAACUCUGGUGGUUGUAGAUCUCAAAUAUUAUGUGUUUUACAAAAUUGUAUAUGGCCUAUGAGAUGAGAUUUUACACGUUGAAGUUGUGUAAGAAGGUCCAACAGGACCUGUCUAGGUGAGGCAUGUAUGAUUAAAAAUGAUAAGAGAAAACUUAAUAGUUAAACAAACACACUUAUGCAAAAAUAAUUUCAAUUAGCAAAAGAAUAAUAAAAAGAGAGAAAAGAAAAAAAAUUAAAUCACCAAAAAGAAAGAAAAAUCUCAAUUCAAAUUUGGUGGGUCACUCAAAUUUAUUUUGGUGUCCUCUCUAUGUGGUUGGUACUCUAAAUAUGCCUUUAAUCUUUGACUAUUAACUUUAAAAGUGACACCGUUCUUUAGAUCCUUAAUUUCAAUUGCUCAAUGUGGAAAAAUAGUGUGAACAAUAAAGGGGCCAGACUAUCAAGAGUGUAAUUUACCUAGGAAUAGGUGCAAGCAAGAAUUGAAUAAAAGUACUUUCUGACCUAGGGUGAAAGAUUUUCUCAAAAUUUUCUUGUCAUGAAAAACUUUCAUUCGCUGCUUGUAAAUCUUGGCAUUUUUCGUUUGCAUCAUUGCAAAUUUCUUCAAGUUCUGCCAGCUGUAGUCUUCUUUCUGAGCUAGCUUGCUGCAUGUCAAACUUGAAUUUCUUGAUGGGCCAAUACACAUGAUGCUCGAGUUCCACAGGUAGGUGGCAAGCUUUUCCAAGCACUAGCCUAUAGGGUGACUGAUAACUCUAUGACAUGAGAGUUAUUACAGCAAUUCUAGACUUAAAUCAAGAUCACUUAGAGAGUAAAUAAGACGUUUUUAUUAUAUUUUGGUUAUAUUUUGCAUAAACAUCCAUUUUAGUUGAGUCUUAAUAAGUUUUGCUUGAAUUAAAGUAAUUUGUGCUCAAAACAAAUGCACAAUUGUAGGUUUUCAGAAGUUCAUAAUUCAUGAAGGAAUGCUGAGAUAGUAAACUAGCAAGAGGAGGAAAGAAUAUGGCCACAAAAGAAAUUAAGCACAACCGGGAAUAGUGCAGUGUUAUAGCCGUUGUUAGAGCAACCAUUGCUGUAACAAUCCUGGAGCACUAAGGGAGAAAACUUAGCGCGGGUUAGCUGCAGAAUUGCGAUCUACAGUUUCCUAAUUUAACUCAUGCACGCCUGAGGCUUUUGUUUACUUUAGUUUUUAGUUAUAAAAGGAGACGCACACCACAUAAAACGGCGGCAAGGAAUUAUCAUUGGGGAAAUUAGAGAGAAAAAGAAAAAGAAGAUCAGGAUUCAAGGGAACGGUUGCAGCAGUAUUGAAAAAUCCAGCAGAGUUAUUUGGAUUCACUUUCUGCCGUUCUCAACUUAUACCUUUCUUCUUUCUUUGACUGAUCUGAUGUAUCUCGUGAACAAUGUGUUGAUGUUUGUUUUUUUCUUUCAGAAUAUGAAAUAAAUUUGCUUGUACUUGAGUGACAAACAAUCUAAUGGGGUCUUGACUGUUCUUAUGAGUUGCUAUGUCAUUGCUGUAGCGUUUUACUCUAGCAGUUAUUAUUAUAACUGUUAUUUCGGUUGGCCACCCAUUUAAUAGUUCAAGUUAAGAUAGAGCCGCAAAAGGGCAUGUCUUAGUGGAUAUUAUUAGAGUAAUACUUGAUCUUAAUUUAAGUUUCCUAGAUUAAGUUUAUCUUAAAUCCCAUAAGGGCUAUACUUAAAGUUAAGAUUUGUGACAACCUAGACAUAGGUACUCACCUUGUAGGGUGAAAAGAAUAAAGGUUCAUAAUACCAUGCCAUAGGUAAUGCAACUGAUCAUUGCUAAUAUACUUAAGGGUGUGAGGGUUCCAACACGCGAUAGCUGAGGAUGCAACAUAAUUUUAUCCAGUGCUGUAGCAAUUGCUGGAACAACUGGUGUUAACUUGAUGAAAAACAGUCAACCCAUAAAGAGAAUUUGAUCAUUCAACUACCUUAUUCUCAUUUGAUUCUUCGACAUAUUUUAUUUAACUUAUUUCAUUACUGCAUUGUUCAAUUUAUUCUCUCACAAUUGUCAAUUUCAAUAUAACCAACUUUACAUUUGUUAAUUUCGGAAUUAAAGUAGAUUGCACUAUUGUGAUUGCUAUAGCAUUUCCAGUAACAUCAAUCCCUGUGGAGAUGAUCUUGAAUAUUCAUCACUUUAUUACUUGUUGUGUACACUUACACAUUGGCAUCAUUAGCAUUUGAUUAUAAUAAUAACCAACAGUGACAUCCUAAUUGAGGUCUUGAAAGCCGUUCUAUAUGCCCAUAGUGCAUCAUCAAGUCUCAAUGACUAAUCUUUUCUGUCUCGCCAUACCGUUUUUUCUAAUAUGUGUUUUAUUUCUCGAUUGGAGAUCUCAACUUGGCCACUGGUUUGCGGAUGAUAUGGGGUCACCAAUUUGUGAGUGAUGGAAUACUUUGUCAAAAGUGAUUUGAAUGAUUUGUUGUAAAAGUGGGCACUACCAUCACUAAUUAUUGGUUGAGGGAAUCUAAAGCAUGAAAACAAGCUACUUUUAAAAAAUCUUAUCACCACCUUUUGAUCAUUGGUUCAACAUACUUCUACCCAUUUCGAUAAAUAGUCAAUAGCAACUAAUAUAUAUUGAUGGCCAAAGAAGGGCGAAAGGGUCCCAUGAAGUCGAUACCCCAUACAUAAAAAAUCUCAAUCACUAAAAUUGGGUUUAGUGGCAUCAUAUUUUUUUGUGAAAUCUUCCCCAUUCGUUGACAUUUAUCAUAGAAGAGCAAAAAGAGUAAGCAUCUCGAAAUAGAGUUGGCCAAUAGAAACCAUAUUAUAAAACUUUAGUAACUGUUUUCUUAACGCUGAAAUGGCCUCCACAAGCUUGGUUAUGGCAGAAUGAAAGGAUAUUUUGAAAUUCACUUUUUGGGAUACACCGUCUGAUAAUUUAAUCUACACAAUACUUGAAUAGAUAAGGAUCAUCCCAAAAGAAAUUUUUAUUUUCGCAAAAAAUUUGGGUAUAUCCUGCUUGGUCCCAUGUUGUGGAAGUUAACCUGUAACAAGAUAGUUAACUAUAUCAGCAUACCAUGGUAAUACUUCCAUACUCAUUAAUUUUUCAUCUAGAAAUGAUUCAUUCAAUAGUAAUGGUUUUGUAAUUGUGUCAAAAUUGAGACAAGAGAGAUGGUCUACCACAAUAUUUUAUGUGUCUUUCUUAUCUUUGAAUUCAACGUCAAAUUCCUGCAAAAGUAACACCCAACGAAUUAGUCUAGGUUUUGCAUCUUUCUUUGUGAGAAGAUAUUUAAGAGCAGCAUAAUCUGUGAACACAACUAUGUUACAACCAAUGAGAUAAGAUCGAAAUUUCUCUAAUGCAAACACUACUACUAGCAUUUUUUUUUCAGUGGUUGAAUAAUUCAAUUGUGCAUAAUUUAAUGUCAUACUAGCAUAGUAAAUGACAUGGGGAAUUAGAUCAACUCUUUGUCUUAAUACUACUCCUACCGCAUAAUUAGAUGCAUCACACAUGAGCCCAAAUGGUAAGUUCUGGUUUGGGGGCUGAAUGAUAGGUAAUGAUGUUAACAACUGUUUUAGUUUUUCAAAUGCCACAAUACAUGAAUCAUCAAAGACAAAAUGUACAUCCUUAGCAAGCAUAUUGUAUAAUGAUCUAGAAAUUUGCUAAAGGCUUUAAUGAAACGUCUAUAAAAACUAGCAUACCCAAGAAAAGAUCUUACUUCUCUGACUAUUUUAGGUGGAGGAAGAUUGGAAAGGAGAUCCACAUUGGCUUUAUUAACCUCAAUACAUCUGCUCGAAAUGAUGUGACCGAGAAUAAUACCUUAUUUUACCAUAAAAUGACACUUCUCCGAAUUUAAGACCAAAUUCUUCUAUAUACAUCUUUGCAAAACUAGUGUUAGAUGAUGUAAACAUUGAUCGAAUGAAUCACUAAAGACAGAAAAAUCAUUCAUAAAGACUUCAAGGAAUCGUUCAACCAUAUUAGAAAAAAUGCUUAAGAUGCAUCGUUGAAAUGUAGUAGGUGCAUUACAUAAUCCAACUGACAUUAUCCUAUAUGCAAAAGUGUUAAAAGGGCAAGUGAAAGUGGUCUUCUCUUGAUCUUUUGGUGCUAUGAGAAUCUAAUUAUAUCCUGAGUAGCCAUUUAAAAAGCAAUAAACUCCAUGACCUGCUAAUUUAUCAAGCAUUUGAUCGAUAAAUGGUAAAAAAAAAAUUGUCUUUAUGUGUAACAGAAUUCAACUUUCUAUAAUCAAUGUAUAAACGCCACCUUGUAGUCACUCUAGUGGGUAUCAAAUCAUUAUCAGCAUUGGUAACUAUUGUAACUCCCGACGUUUUAGGGACAACUUGCACAUGACUGACCUAUGAACUAUCAAAAAUUGGGUAAAUGAUAUCCGCGUCUAAUAGUUUAAGAACUUUAGUUCUAACAACUUUUUUCAUGUUAGAGUUCAACCAACGUUGCAUUUCUCUAGUAGAUUUAACAUUUUCAUCAAGGUGAAUGUAAUGCAUGCAGUUUACUAGGUUUAUACCUUUUAUAUCGGCUAUAGUCCGUCCUAAUGCUUCUUUGUGCUCUUUUAACACUUCCAACAACUUAUCUUUUUGUUUGUCAUUUAGGGAGGAUGAAAUGAUUACUGGCAGAGUGCUUUCUUCUCCCAAGAAUGCAUAUUCUAAUGUGUUGGGUAAUGAUUUGAGCUCGAAUUUUGGUGGUGAUUUUGAUGAUUGGCUGAAUUUCUUCUCUGAUGGUGCUAGUUGUUCAACUCUUGACUUCCAUUUAUUAGUGUCCAUGGAUGGUGUUAAAUCAAGUAAGGUGUUGACCUCAUCGAUUGAUCUAUCAAUAUUAAAAUGCAAAGCAAAGUGAGUUAAACAUGUUUGUAAAGGGUCAUCACUGAGGUUUGAAAGAAAAGAAUUAUCAACUAAUUCCUCUAUUAAAUCCAUAUAAACAAUUCUAUCAUCUGCAUUGUGAGGUUGUUUGGCAAUGUUGAAGAUAUUUAGCUCUAUAGUCAUAUUGCCAAAGGACAACUGCAUAUUUUCAGUCAUGCAUUAAAUAUGAGUAUCGGCAGUUGCCAAGAAAGGUCAGCCUAGGAUAAUGGGGAUGUGCUUCCUUGAAUCCUGGACUGGUUGAGUGUCAAUUACAAUGAAAUCAACAGGAAAAUAAAACUUGUCUACUUGGAUAAGUAUGUCCUCCAUAAUAACACGAGGUAUUUUCAGGGAUUGAUCUACAAGCUGCAACACCACUGGAGUUGGGUAUAAUUCUCCCAAUCCAAGUUUUACAAAUACCGAGUAAGGCAACAGAUUUACACUAGCUGCUAAAUCCAAUAAAGUAUUCUCAAUUGUGUGGUUCCCUAUACUACAUGAGAUAGUAGGGGAGCCUGGGUAUUUGCAUUUUAGAGGAAUUUUAUGUUGGAGUAUAGAGCGAAUGUUUUCUGUUAAAAAGGCUUUCUUUUGAACGUGAAUGUUUCUCUUUUUAGUACAAAGGUCUUUAAGAAACUCGGCAUAAGAUGGCACUCGUUUUAUAGCAUCAAGCAAAGGGAUAUUAACACUUACCUGUUUAAAGAUUUCAAAAAUCUCACUUGUGGAUUUUUCCUUCUUUGCUUUAGCUAACCUCUAGGGAAAUGGAGCUUUAGGAAUGUGUUCUCGUGGGUUGGUUUCUUCUUUCUCUUCUGAUGAUGAAUCCUUGGCAUUUACAAGUAUAAUUUGACUUGUUUUUGUUACCGACAUCUCCACUUUGUUGUCGACUUCUUUUCCUUUUCUUAAGGUCAUGACGGCUUUGACUUUUCCAUGCUGCUGAGAUGAACUCGUACUUGCUUUAUGCACUCUUUUAGGAUUAGGCACUAGUUGACUUGGGAAUUUGCCUUUCUCAACAGUUAUUGCCAAUGUUUGAACUGAAGAGGAAAGUUGUCCCACCAUCUUUUCGAGGUUUGAAACUGAUUGGGUUUGUGAGUUGAAACCUGCUCUCAUCUCAUUUCGUAGUUCAUCAAUAGUGCGGUUUUGUUGCUCGAUCGUGGAAUAAGUAAGAUUCUUGAAAUUCAGGAAUGUAUCCUCUCAUAAUCUGGGUUAAGAGUAGUUCAUGUUUUGAUUAUAUGGUCUAAAUGGUGGUUGAGAGGCUUGAGGAACUUGAGGAAUUGGUUGCAUUGGUAGAGCUGGAGCUGCUAGUCCAUUCUAUUGGAAUCCUUGAGACCAUGAAAAAUUGAGAUGGUCUCUCCAUCCAAGAUUGUAUGUGUUAGAGUAAGGGUUGUAGUUUGAUGGUUUUCUCAUUACACCUAUGGCAUUGACUUGAUUUGGGUAUAAGCGAUGGUCAUGUGGCUCUGUUGAUUUAAUAGCUAUUAACGAUGCUAUUUGUUAGGAAAGACCUUCAAUUAUUGCUUUGACUUCUUUAAUUUUCUAACUUGACUCAUCAAUAUGAAUCUCAUUCACUCCCUUAAUUCUUUUAAUAUUCUUGAUUGAUCGACUCCAUUGUUGGGAAUUAUCUGUUUGUCGCUGGAAGAAAUCCCAAAUCUCUAAUGCACUUUUUGAUAUUAGCUGUCCUCCACUUGUUGCCAAUAGUUAUUCGUGCACAUGCGACAAUAAUCCCUCGAAAAAGUACUGACAUUAGUGCCAUAUCUUGUACCCAUGAUGUGGACACUUUAAGAGUAGCCCAUUGAAUCGCUCUCAUGCUUCGAAAAACGUUUGUUACCAUUUGUUCUCAUGAUGUAAUGCUAUUAGCAGGCAAUGUAUUAAAUCAUAAACGAGCUAUAUCCUUUAAAGAAAAUGAGAAUAAUCUAAGUUUAACAUCAUCAUCUGAAAAAUUCUCAUAUUUAAAGUUUGACAAACAACAUGAAAAUUAUUCAGAUGAUUAUAUGGGUCUUUGUUUUCCAAGCUAUAGAAUGUUGGGAGACAAUUUAGCACACUAGGUUUUAACUCAACACUCCUAGCAACUACAUUUGAGUAUCUUAUGCAUGAUGUGCUCAAGUUAGCUAAGGGACUGAAGUAGUCCUUAAAUAGCCUCUCCUGUGGUUCUGGUUGUUGGUGUUGCAAAUCCAUUUCAAUUUUAUCUUUAAUUGCAACGUGUUUGUAUGUGCAAAGUGUUUUUUUCCAGUUCAAGGUCUAUAGGCUCAAGAUUAGGUAAUUGUGACAUUCAACCAUGCAUGCUAAGAACACAAAAAAAUGAGAAUAAAACUAAUAAAAGUAAAGAAGAAGGAAAAAUUACAAUACUAACCUUAUUACGCUGUUACAACCUUACUAUGAAAACACACUCAAGUGCUAUAUAAAAAAAAAUACGUGAAAUAAAUUAACUAAAAUUAAAUAAAUUAACAAGAUAAAUAAAAAAUUACAAAGAAAGAUAACUUGGAAAUUAAAUUAAAAAAAUUUAAAGAAGAGAAAAAGAAAAGAAAUUCUUACCUCAAAAUGUAGAUUUACUUUUUUUUAUUAAAAAAUAAUAAAAAGAAAUUACAAGAAAACAACUAAAAAAAUAAAAAUUAUUUGCAAAAAUUAAUUCUACGAAUUAAAAUAACUUAUCUCCCCGGCAACGGCGCCAAAAACUUAUUAUUCAAAUUUUAUUGAACUCGCAAGUGCACGAAUUUAUUAUAAAAUAGAUCAAUGGCGACGAGUGUCGAUUUCACGAGGAGGUGAAUUUUAAUUGCAUAUAGAGUUAAUUUUCUAAGUGGGUGGUUGAAUUUGUGGUGAAAGUGAUUUAGACUUAUCCUAAAAUUUAAAUUAGAAUGACGGGAAUAAAUUAAAGUAAAAUCUAUUAAAAUGAAGCGUUUAGAUAUUUAGAUCUGCAUCAACAUGUACCAUGGGUUUAAUAUUCCUUAUUAGUGCCAAUUAAAUCAUGAGGGGGGUUUUCACUCCUCAUGAACCUCACUCUAAUUAAUAUGGUACUAAGGGUUUAUCGUGCCAAAUAGUAAUAACCUUGCACUAGACAAGAUUAUUAUUAUCUGUCAACGAAAAGUCCAAACAUCCACAAAAAUUAGAGGGGAAAAGAAAGUAAAUUUACCAAAUUAAGCCCAUGGAACAUGUUGAGACUUCACCUUCAACCCAAACUUGAAAGAAAAUUAGCUACUCAUAAUUGAACUAGGGAUAAAAUGGAAAUUUAUUAAAAUAUAUAGAAAAUAUAAGAUGGAGAAAGAAUUACAGAAAAUGGAGUUCAAAAAUGAAUUCAGGGGUAUCAAAUUGGGGGGUGGGAGCCCCCUAUUUAUAGAUACAAUGAGUAAAGCAUGGCCAUCAGAUUAAAACAAUUUGAACACUUAGGAUUACGCCACUUGACAAGUUCUGAUUGGAUAGAACACAUCAUCAGGGCUGUCAUUCCGUGUAUAUGCAUGUACCGUACGUAUGUUUUUCGGUCCACUAACAUACUGCCACACAACCAGUCAAUGCUACAUCAUUCUUCCAAUCGAAUGCUGCCAUGUCAUCGAUCAAUGCCACGUCAUCGAUUAGUGCCACAUCAGCGUACCGUAUAUAUGAACAAUGUCAUUUAUCCUUUUUUGCUCCUCCUAAGGUUUUCGGCUAUCCUAAGUUUGGAAUUACUAUCCGUUUUUCCAUCUGAUCUCUCGUUCAUUGUGAAAUAACCAUAAUUCCCCCUAAAUAUAUAUAAAAUGCUUAAUUAUAAUAAAAUACGGAUAAUUAAAUCACAAGGGACUUAAAUACAUAAAAGUAGGGAUGUUAGUGGAACUUGGAGUGUAAAAUGACGAUUUUCUCCUUUAUAAAUAUACACUUUCUAGCACUCAACACUACUCUCACUAGUGUGCUGGAAAAUGGGUUGUUGUGGCUCUUCUUUAAAUUGAGUUUCCUCUUGAGUUGAACUAGGUUCCACUCUUCUUUUUGGUACUUCAACUGGAAUAUGAACAUCCCUUCCAGACCUUUAGUUAAUCACUUUGCAAUGCUUUUUUCCUUCUCUCCUUGGAUCUUUUGUGUUGCUUGGUAAACUGUCGUGAGGUCUAUUACUCAAUUCUAUAGCAAAUUGUUCAAUCUGAUUCUCCAAGUUUCUUAAAGAUACAGCUUAGCUUUGGACCAUUGCUUCAUUCUUCACACUAUACUCCUUAAUUACAGUUUCAAAGGAGCUAAAUUGAUCAUUACUGGUGUUUCUUUGCCCUUGAAUUUGCUAGUGAAAACCAAGUGGCUGAGCAGGCCUGUUCUGUCCACUAGAUACUGCAGCAUGUUGAUUCUGAUUGCUCCAUGAAAAGUUUGGGUGUUGUCUCCAUCCAGUGUUAUAGGUGUUUGAAUAUGGAUUGCUAUGAUUCUAUCUGUUGAAAUUGCCCACAUAGUUGACUAAAGCUCUGAUUUCCAGAACAAUUAUCAUAUAGAUGCCCCUCUCUACAAUAAACACAAGAGACUUCAGCAACUUGGUUAAUUGUUGCUGGUGGUCAUCACUUUUACCAUAUUUAUCAAUGAGGUUACUUGGGUUGAUAAUACUGUCAAUGCACCAAAUUGUGUACUCCUAUUGCUUGUAACGCCCACUUUUUUUCCUCUUUUACCCUUAUUAAAUUGGGUAUGAUAGUUAUUAUUAAGUGUUUGUGUGUGAGUAGAAUUUAUCAAUAUGUUUUAGAUAAGUUACAAAUGUUAUUAAAAAAAGAGAGAAUUUUCUUAAAAACUCACAUUUUCUUGCUUCAUAUUUUUUUAAAAGAUUUAUUAAUUACCUAGUAUGUAAGAGGAAGCCAUCUUUUUAAGAGGAACCUGUCUUUUAUUUUUUACAACGUUACAAACCUUAGAAGAAAAAAAGAAAAAAAGAAACAUAAGUCUUUGGAGAAGCAAAAGAAAGUUUUAUAACUUCUUUUCUUGGUGUUUGCCUUAAGGUAUUAAGUAUUUCUUUGACUUAUAUGAUUUAUUUUUAUGAAUUGUUUGCCUUUAAUUACUUGUAGUUUGAUUUGGGUAAUAUCUGUGUGUUUGUAAUAUUGUGAUCAAAUGAACAAUCUUUAUUCUUUGCUUAAAAUCGUUUUCUUUACAAAAUCAUAAAACUAGACAUCCUAAGCUUUCUAUUGAUAGGUCUUAUGUUGAAAUCCUCUAAGUAUGUAAAUUGUUAUGGUUUUUCAAAGUUGGGUUACCUAGUAUUGGAAAAUUCUGAUUUUUAGCAGCGGUCCUCACUUCUGAAAAAUUUUCCGUAAGGUUACACAUCCUUAAAAAUUAUGGCGAUUUUCAUAUCAACAUAUCUAUGUCUCAUAUGAUUAUAUAUUUAAUUUCGUAAUUUAUUCAUUAUGGUUAAAUUAUAAAAAAUCAUAACAUGCGGCUUUUGCAGAUCUGGAAACAAUUUUCCAAAAUUGCAAAAAGCUGAAACAUGUAAUAGUUUGGGCUAAUUUAUGAAUAUUACUGAAAGGAAUUUAGAUCUAUCACAAAUAGAUGUAGGCAAUUAAAAACAAAAAAAAUUAAUAACUUAAUUAAUUUUUCGGAAGUACUGUUUACUGUUGAUGUUCACCGUUACUGUUCAUCGCAACUGUUGACAUUUAAUGUUUAUUAUUACUGUUCAUCCGCAUAAAAAAUAUUAAUUUUCCAAAAACACAAUAAAAUGUAGAAAAUAAAUGACAAGAAUGAUAGUGCUCUCAUUACACGCACCAUCGAGCGAAUUGUUAGUGAAGCUACUGCUGCCCCACCAAAAUCGGCUGCUGUAGCAGGGGUGAGAAGAGUUGUUGGUUUGGAGAGGAGAAUCCAGGAACUGAGCACCAGUAUCACUCAAUGUGCUAAAGCCUAGCAGAGGGAAAACAAUCAGUUUUGUUGUAUGCAUGAAAAUACCCACAAUAAUUUCCCUUAUUCAUUGCUACAGCAGUUCGACUUUGGUACCUCCACCACAGAUGCCCCAGCAGAAGCCAGUAAAGAUGAACUUGAGGAAGAAGUUGCAACAGAAUUGCAAAUAGAGGCCCAUUUAAAUGCUGACAAUCAAUCAAACCAGCCUAAAGAAGAGGGUGCUAAGUCUAUUAUCGAUAGUGCCUCGACAGAGGCGGAUGAAGACCCCAAAACAGAACUCGAGGAUCCCCCGAAAAGGACAUCUUCCAAGUCCAGGAAGAAGCACAUCAUGAGAGAGGAGGAUGAUGAACACAGUGAGGAGCCUCCCAUUCCAGUCCUCUCUCGGAAGGACAAAGAAAAAGUGAACAACCCUUCUGCAUCCGAAGAUGAAGUAGAAGACAUUGAUAUAGAGCUGGAAGCUCCAGCAACCAGGGUUACUUGCACAAGUACAGAAACAAAGCACCUACUCGAUAUUAUUACCGUAAUCACGGGUUAAUGGUCUGCAGUCGAAAAAGCUAACCCAGCUAACUCAUAACAAACUCCCAGCAAAUCCAUUCUAACUAGUCCUGAAGGACCUAGCAAGAGAAAAUGGGGCACUUCUGAAGGUGUUACUACCUCAGACACACCAGCGCAAAAGAGGACCAGAUCUAUUCCGCCCCGAGAGGUUGCACCCACUGGAACUCCCCCAAACAACCCAUUACUAAGAAAGAAAAAGAUGUUGCCACUACCUCACCGCAAGGAUCUCUUAAGGAUCGUCUGCGGAGCUCCUCCAAAAAGCGGUGAAUAUGUUGCUUUCUGUUGCAGUAUUGAUGCCAUAAAUAAGGGAGUACCCCCUACCCACCAGUUUAUUUUACUUCCUUCUGAAAAACUUCUCUUUCUUUUAGUUUUAAUUUUCUGAUUCAUUCUGUAGGUUCUUUUAUUUAGUGCAUGUAUGUGUGGUUUGUGUUGUUUUAUUUUGUGUGCUUGUGAGGACACAACACCUCUCAAGUUUGGGGGGUGUGUUUUGUGUUUUGUGCUUGUGUUAUGGUGUGAAGCUUUGUUAUCUAGUAUUUAUGUAUGGAUUUGAAAACCUUAUGAAGAUAAAUUGAGUGAUUCAAUAUUUGUGAAUGCCAAGUAGGGAUAAUUUAUAGAUGGAGGUUGAAAUUCUAUCCCAACACUUAGACUUUGGUUGCAUUUCAUGAGUAUACUGUAGAAGAGCCAGAAAAAACAAAAAAACAAAUGGUAGAAAAUAUCUCAAGUUUGGGGGGAAAAUUUUGUUGAACUGUGCGUAUUAUGAAAUAAAUUUUGCUCCAAUGGCUUAAGUUGCUGAGUAACCAGGGCUGAGUAUGCACCCCAUAUGCAAACUUGAGUCCAAAGGCAACAAGAGUUAUGAGCAUUGCUGUAGCAACUAUUAAAAGAAAAAAAAAGGUCCUCUAUUUAGGAUAUUGAGUAACUAAGUCUGUUUGUGAGCCCCAUAUUCAGCCUUGAGUUAAAGAUAUCUUUAGAUAAGACUAUAUUAUGAGGAUUGCUGCAGCAACUCUGAGCUGUGCAUUGGUUGAGUAAUUGGGUAUCAUCAUUACAAGUGAUCGAUAUUUAUAUGAAAAAUUAAUGAUAUAUUGAAGAGAGUUUAAGUUAAAAAAAAUUGUAGCAUAAUUUGAGGUUACUUGUGAAUUCUGCUCCCCCAUAUGUGAAUAUAUUUGUGUUCUACCUUUGAAUUAUAUGCAAUGUCUGUGUAAUGCUACAACAUCUUUGGAACUUGAUCAAAAUGGCACACACACACUUUGGACAUAAUGAUGCCUAGAGUCUAGAACUGAACUACCAUGGCUAUUUUGCAUGAUUGAGAGUGUGAUCUGAGGGUUGAAGAAUCCUUAUAAAUUUGAUGACAGAGCUAAGUUUUUGGUUGCAUGAUUAUGUGAAUGAAGUGUUAGUGUUGAUGUCAUUACUUGAGAACAAGUAAUGGUUUAAGUUUUGGGGUGUGAUAACUCUAUGAAAUGAGAGUUGUCAUGACACUUUUAAACUUAAAUCAAGAUUACUUUGAAAGUAUACGACAUAUAUUUAUUGCAUUUUAGUUUUAUUUUGCAUGAAUAACCAUUUUAGUAUAUUCUUAAUAAAUUUUGUUUCAUUUAGAAUAAAUUGUGUGCUUAAAUCAUAUGCAUAAUUGUAGGUGACUGGAAGCUCAAAUUUCAAGGAAGUAAUGCUAAUACAAUAGGCUUGUAAAAGAUGGAAAAGAACUUGGUUAUAGAAGAAUUGAAAUAAAUCUGGAAUUGUGCAGUUGUUAUAGUCACUACUGUAGUAAUCAUUGCUAUAGCAACCAUUGCCAUUACUGUAGCAAUCCUGAAACAACAACAGAGAAGAUUUUGCAGAAUAUCGUGAUCUGCAGUUUCCUAAUCUAGAAGACACGCGACCUAGGCCUCCGUUUACCCUAGUUUUCAGCUAUAAAAGGAGCACACGUCAUAGGAAAGAGGUAGAGCCGUCAAUCAUAAUUGAAAGAAAAACAAGAAAGAAAUAAAAGAGAAGAUUGAAGAGAAUGACGCAAGUUUGCACUAAUAACAAAAUCUGCAGAAUAUUUGGAAUUCAACUUUUCUCAUUCAACUCUUGUUAUUCUUCUUUAUUCUUUAGUUGGAAAUAUAUACUUGAUGGCUGGAACUUUGUCGUUUGUUUUUCUUUUACAAGUUAUGAACUAAAUUUGAAUGUAGUUGGGUGACAAAUAAUCUAGAUGGGUUCUUGACUGUCCUUAUGAGUUGCUGCAUGCCUGCUGUAGCACUUUGCUUUAAUAAAUCUUAUUACAUUCAUUAUUUCAGUUGACCUCCCAUUUAAUGAUAUCAGUUAAGAAAGAGCCAUAAAAGGGUCUAUCUUAGUGGAACUUGUUAGAGCAAUACUUGAUCUUAGGUUGAAUUUCCUGGAUUGAGUUUAACUUGAAUCCAAAAAAGGCCACACUUGAUUUGAGAUUUGUGAUAAACUAGCUAUAAGGAUUCACCUUGUAGAGUAGAGAGAGUACAUGCUUGUAAUGUUGUAUCUUGUGUUGACAUAACAACUGGUCAUUGUUAGGUUGCAUAAAGGUAUAAGAAGUCCAACAUGCGAUAACUAAAGAUGCAAGGUAAUUAUGCCCAGUGCUAAAACAAAUGUUGUAGCAACUGGUACUAAUUUGACAAAACAGUCACCCUAUCAAGAGACUUUGAUCAUUCAACUACUUACUCCUAUUGAAUUCUCUUUGUGUUAAACAUACAACUUAAUUUAUGAUUUAAUUUUUACUUUAUUGAGUUUUUAUUCUCAUUAGUUAGUCAAUCUUAUUAAAUUUUAUCAAGUUAAGAUAGAAGAAAGUUUGCACUGUUGUGAUUGCUGUAGCAUUUCUAGUAGCAUCAGUCCCUGUGGAGACAAUAUUGAAUACUCAUCACUUUAUUACUUAUUGUGUGCAUUUGCACAUUGACACCAAUAGCAAUUGAGCUUAAAAUAUACAACACAUACCUAAAGAAAUCAUCUACACACACAAAUGCAUACUUUUUUCCAGCCAAAAUUUCAACUUGCAUUGGUCUUAUAAGGUCCAUAUGAAGUAUUUGUAGUACCUUUGAUGUUGCUUUAUCCGGAAUGGCUUUAUGUGACUCCCUUUCUUUCUUUUUUUUUAGAUUGACAUGAACCACAUAUUCCAGGUUGUUUCUUUUUAAGCAUUGGAACUCCUUUUAGAGCACAUGUUUUCAUAAUUCUAGUCAGUAAUCUGUAGUUCAAGUGACCCAACUUUUGAUGCCAUAAUUCUGUGUCAUCAAGAGUGGUCUUAUGACAAAUAAUUGAGCUAGUCAAUUUAUAACAAUAAUUAGAUGAUCGAUGUCCUUCUAAAAUACAAUUUCCAUCAACAUCAAGAACGCGACAUUUGUUCUUGUCAAAGUUGAUAAACAAGUUUUGAUCACAAAUUUGACUAAUGCUAAGUAAAUUUGCUUUGAGAUCCUCAACAUGCAGAACAUUGUCAAGUUUUCAAAAACCUUCCACAUUCAAAGUUCCCUUUCCAAGCACUCGACUUUUCACACCAUCAACAAAAGUUACAUUUUCUCGAUCAAGUUUUUGAUAAUUGAUCAAGGCACUUCUAUCAUCUGUCAUGUGUCUAGAACAACCAUUAUCAAAGCAUAAAAAAAUAGUAGUGCAAGUUCUCAAAAAAAUAAAGGAAACAUAAGCUUUAUAAUCAGUCUUACUCAUCCAAGUAGUUCUAGUUUUAUUUUCACUUAUCUCAACCUUAGGUUUAGGUGUCAUCCUAGGUUUUCCAUGAGAAUAAUUAAAGAACAUAGCCUUUUUCGUAUAUUUAAUGAGCUUAAAGAAAUUAGGUCUUAUAUGUCCUUUCACAUGACAAAAAUGACAAGUGGGAAUAAACUUGUUGUUCUUACCUUGAUGAAUUAGUGACGAAUGUGCAAUAGUUUUACCUUUUUGAAGAUCUGAAAGUUUAACUCUUGGUGGAGAAGCUAUUUAUGAAGAAGCUUUAACAAACACACUUUGAGAAUUCGAAUCUUCACCAUGUUGAUAUCCAAGACCAUGAUGAUCUGAGCUAGAUUUGCCAAGUGACAAGAUAUGGUCUAACUUCUGUGUCUCAGAAUUCAUCAUCUUAAGUGACUUUUUGGUAUUCUCUAAUUCUGUCGUCACUACAAGCAAUUGGUUAUCUUUAUCAGUAAGUAAAGACUUAUAAUGAAUUACCUCACUUUCAAAUUUCGCCUUAUCAUCUAAAAGAUUGGAUACGUAAGUCAUCAAUGUCACAUUGUCAUUGUAAAAUUCUUCCCAUUUAGCGAACAUCAUCUUGUAGCUUUCAUGAAAAGCUUUCUUGUCAUUUAUAUCAAUGUCACUGACGUCGCUAUUAGAAUCAUUAUCCUUGUUAUCAUGUCAAGACGGGAAUCAGUGUCUUCUUUGCAAGAAGCUAAGUGCAAGGCUUCAGAUAUGGAUGCAUCUAUGAUGUUUGAUUCCUUUUUAUUGCCGUCAUUAUGGACAACAAGUCCUCCAACAAGGUCUUCUUCGUUGAUGCUAUCAGUAGAAUCAUCAUUACUCCAAGUGGAUUGCAUUGCUUUCUUUUUCAUAAGAAUGUUAGCACAUUGUGCUUGUAUGUGUUCUAUGCCUCCACAUUCUCUGCAUUGAAUACCCUCAAAUUUGUUAAAAUCAAACAAUUUAAAAUUAGAGUUAGAAGAACCUUUUUGAACCGUAGGAGCCACUGUUCAUCUGCAUAAAAAAUAUUAAUUUCCAAAAACACAAUAAAAUGUAGAAAAUAAAUGACACGGACAUUUUUACGUAGCUCAGAUUAAUCAAUCCUACAUCUAUGAGACCACGCCCAGAUGAAAAGCAAUUCAUUAAGUUGAGAUAUUACGACCUAUGAAUUUAUCAAACUUAAGACUCUCACUUAUAGUUUAUCACCAUACAAUUUACUCAACCUUAGACUGAAUCUGCUUCUCUUGAAUAAUCACUACCCAUAUUAAUCUGUGAUCCUCAAGGCACUUCGCAAAGUGAUCAAUAGCAAUUCUUUAAUUCUUCAAUGUCUAGUGAUCCAAUAUCCACAUAGACUCUCUACAGAGAUGAAAAGAAGAUAAGAAAACAAAUCAACACAACAUUAUGUGCCAAAUCCGGAUUCUCUAGAGAUGAGGCCAAAUUUUGCUUCUCUGCUUUAUGCUCUAUGUUGUGCGUGCCUUCAAUUGUGAAAUAUCUCUCUUUAUAUAGGCACUAGCGUUUCACCAAAAUAGCAAGCCUUAAAAGACUUAGAUACUUUCCAAAUAAGAGUUUAUUUCCUCUUAUAAUUCCUAUGAAUCUAAAUAGGAAUAAAUCUGAUCUUCUUGCCUUGCUUGUCUCCCAAGAAAUAUCUAGAGCAUUUAAUGAACUGCCUGUUUGAACCAACUUCUUGCUCUAAAUAGAUCUCAUGCGCCAAUUAUAGAAUUCUAUCAUUAAUUGACUUUCUAAAUUAGACAUCUAAUUAAAUUAUGAAAUAAAUAUUCCUAAUAAAUUGAAAUCUCACUAAAUUAGGGAAUUAAUAAAUUAAUCUCUAUUACAAGAUAUGCAAUAAAUAAACUUCCAAUUUAACUUGGAGUUGCUUUAAAGGUAUAAUGACAAAGGUUUUCAAAUAUUGUGCAUCGAUUUGCUUACCGAGUUGACAGCUCACCCCUCGUCUCCAAUUUAUUUAUUUAUUAUUAUUUUUUUUGCAUAUUGAUUAUAGAUGUGGCUUGAGUACUUAGAUGUAGAUUUUUUUUGUGGACCCUUGGAGUUGCGUUAAAGAUUAAAUUUGGCUAGACUUUUUAUUUUGGAUUAGAGACUUUUCUUUGGAGACUUUAUCUCAGAUGUUUUAUGUAAGGAUUCAAUUGGAGUAUGAAUAAUGAUUGUUUAUCUCGAGGUUUAUUAAUAAGAAUAAAGGAUGUGAGGUUUCAUUCCAAUUUUACCCUUGUGCUUUCAUGGGUGAAUUUUUGGGAUGUUACAUUGCUCCUCUUGCUGCAGCUUGUCUAGUUGAUGGCCAUUGAUAGUUAUUGUUAGCUAUCCUUUCCAAAAUUUCAUAACCCUCAUUAUAUGACUUAGACAACAAGGCCCUAUUUGUUGAAACAUCUCUCAUAAAUCUAGUGCUUGAGUUCAACCCAUUGUAGAAAGUUUCCAAUUGUAUGCAACAAGGAAUACCAUGAUGAGGCAUCUCUUGAGUAACUCCUUGAAUCUUUUCCAUGCAUCAUACAAGCAUUCAUCUUCGAGUUGAUGGAAAGAUGUGAUCUCAUUCCUCAAUUUUGCAUUCUUUGUCAAUGGGAAAUAUUUCAUCAAAAAUUUGUCAGCCAAAGCAUUCCAUGUGGUGAUGGAGUCUAGUGGCAAGGAAUUCAACCAUGCCUUUACUUGAUCUCUCAAAGAAAACAGGAAAAAUCUGAGCCUCAAUGCUUCAUGUGAUGCUCUUGCAAACUUGAAAAAAUCACUUACUUCCAAGAACAGUUUAAGGUGAAGAUGAAGAUCUUCUGAUGGCAAUCCAUUAAAUUGCGCCACUAUUUGUAACAUCUAAAACAUCACGGGUUUGAGUUUGAAAUUAGCACCUUGUACUUCAGGUCUAACUAUUUCAGGUUGUAUAACUUGAGGGGUCAAUACGGCAUAGUCUCUAAUGGCUUUAUCUCUAUCAUAUGUCAUGUAGAUAAUAUUGUUGUUUCCUAGUUGCCCCUGAAUAUUUUGCCCAUUCUGACUUUCUUGGCCAUUAACUGGUUGUAUUUCUCCAUGAUUGUUCAUUGCUACAGCAACUUUUGAAUUCCUAUUCUCUUUUCGAAAUCUCCUUGUAGCUUUUUCAAUCUCUGGAUCAAAUUGGAAUUCAAUAGGUUUAUAUUUGCGCAUGCAAGGGUUGCUAGAGCACUUCUGCAAACACAGUAAAUAAAAAGAAAAUCAAAAUCUUGCACCAACUAAAAUUGAUUUAAAAAAUCACAAUAAGCACCAAUCCCCGGCAACGGCACCAAAAGCUUGUUGUACGUUUUCUAAUGCUAUUAGUGUCAAUGUGCAAGUGUACACAACAACUAAAAUUGAUUUAAAAAAUCACAAUAAGCACCAAUCCCCGGCAACGGCACCAAAAGCUUGUUGUACGUUUUCUAAUGCUAUUAGUGUCAAUGUGCAAGUGUACACAACAACUAAAAUUGAUUUAAAAAAUCACAAUAAGCACCAAUCCCCGGCAACGGCACCAAAAGCUUGUUGUACGUUUUCUAAUGCUAUUAGUGUCAAUGUGCAAGUGUACACAACAAGUAAUAUAAUGAUAAGUAUUCAAGAUCGUCUCCACAGGGAUUGUUGUUACAGGAAUUGGUACAAUAAUUUUAUCACUGCCAUUUUUAUUCUAAAAUAGAAUUAAAAUAAAUUAUUAAACUAAUAAAUUAAUUAAAAUAAAUGUAAUAAGAAAAAUGCAAUAAAAUAAAUUAUUACGGUAAAUAUAAAGAUGCAAUCAAUGGGCGUGGAGUAGCUAAGUGAUUAAACUCACUUAAUGAUUUUGACUAUUCUCCUACUGUUUGGAUCAGUUGCUACAGCACUGGGUAGAAUCCUUAUGUAUUCUCAGCUGUUGCAUGUUGGAUUUCUUAUAUCUAAAUACAACUUAAUAGUGACCAAUUUUUAGGCUGAUAUUAAAUAUAGCAUUACGCAUUUUAGAUUCUAAGUACCCUACAAGUUGAAUCCAUGUAUCUAGUUCAUCACUAAUUUUAGAUUAAGCAUGGCCUUUUUCGAAUCAAGUUAAACCCAACUCAGGAAACCUUAUAUAAAACCAAGUAUUGCUCUAGUAUAUUCUACUAAGACAGGCCUUUUUGAGGCUCUCUCUUAAGUAGUAUCACUAAAUGGGUGGUCAGCCGAAAUAGUGAAUUGAAAUAAAUAUUAUCAAAACAACGUGCUAUAGCAAACAUCCAGCAACACAAAAUAUCAGUCAAUUAACCAUCAAGUUUGUUUAUCACUCAACUAAAAAUAAAUUUAGUUCAUAAUUUCUGAUAAAAUAAGAAACAAAAUAGUUUCAGCCAUAACCAAUUCAUCAUAACAAGAUAAAAACAAGAAAACAAGAAAACAAGAAAUCAGAUUUGAGAUCUGAUUGAUGCUCUCCUAGAAUCCUUUGGUGGCAUCCUCCACUCACUCUUGAUGCUGACCGUAUUAAAGUUUUGUGAUAGAUUUGGUUUUAUAUGCAAUUAACUUCAUUGUCUGAACCUUUAUCUGAGGGAUGAAUUAAAGUUUACCUCGUAAAAUAAUGACAUCUCAAUUUUCUCAAGAUGAAUUCCAGACCUCUUGACUUUAUCGUCCGAGAUAUUUUGCUGUUGGGCUGGAAGGAGAUUGAAGCCACCAAUAAAUUUCGUUGCAAUAGCUAAAUUUGUUGUUUUAUUUUGACCAGAAAAACAUAGGUAGAAGAUGCAUUGGACGUGUUUAUCAGUUUCAUUUGAAAACGUUCGUAUAGCAUUAAAUGUUUGAUAUCAAAGCACGUAGGAGAUUUUGUAAUUCACGCAAGGAUUUCUUCACUUUUUAGCGUGCAGUAUAAAAUGAUUGAAGAAAGUCGUCGGGCGACUGUUCAACGUUGUAUUAAUUCAUGAAAAAAGUGGAUGUUUGAAGAAGUCAGCAAGAACUAGGAAAUUAAUAGUUGCACAACGUUGUAUUAAUUCAUGAAAGUUCCCAAGUGGAUGUUUCAAGUCAGCAAGAACUUGGAAAUUAAUAGUUGCAAAUUCAAAUCUUUAUGCUCGUGGAACUUUCCUAUUCAAAAGGGCAAUAAUGACUUUGGGUUUGUAUGAUUACCGAGACCAAAUAAAUUAGUGGAAAGCUACUACCGACCUAAUAUUUGGGUUCCAGCUAGUGUGCACGUGGUGCAUGGUACACCAUUUGUUCUUGUACGAGUUGCCCAUUUGUUUCAACGGCACGGAUGUAUUUUCAUUAGUUUCUAACAUUGAUGUUCGUUGUUCUCUGGAAAAACAAAAAAGUUCGAAGAUUUUAAAAUUUGACACAUAAUUUUGCAUUGAUUCAAAUUUUAAAAUUCGACACAUGAUUUUGAAGUGUUUCAAAUAUUUAUAUUUUGGUCAAUUCACCUAAUUUGAUUAUUAAAGUUAGUGAUAGCAUAAAGGUAAUAACUUGUAAAAGCUUUUCAUCAGAUAAUUUUUCUUUUGGGUAGGGAUAUUUUAACCCACUACUUUUGUAUAUUCACUCUAUUUCUAGAAAAUAAUUACAGUUGUUAAACUGUAAAGUAUUUGUUUGGUUUCUAAGAAAGUUACAGAGAGAAACAGAGGGAAAAUAAUAAGAGAGGAUGAAUAUGAAUCAUUGAAUUAAAUCGACUGGUUUUACAAGCAUGUAUUUAUACAGGUAUCUCGAAUCUUCUACAUGUUAUUUGAGACUGAGCUAACAGCAUAACAACCUUCCUCCAGCUCAGCUGCCAAGUCAGCAUUCAUAACAAACUUGCUUAAUCAAAUUAACUAAGCUUAACUAACUAAGCCAUCUUAACUAAUUCUAUUAUCUUAACAGCCCCUCUCAAGCUCAAGGUCUGGGAAGAACAUUGAGCUUAGACCGUAGAUAAUGAAAUUGAUCAAAUGCCAAUGGUUUAGUAAGAAUAUCUACUACCUGAUCACAACUUGGAACAUGACUAAUCUGCAGUUCCUUUCUAGAUACAUGAUCUCGAAUGAAAUGCAGAUCAAGCUCAAUGUGUUUAGUUUUAGAAUGAUACUUAGGAUUGCUAGCAAGAGCUUCUGCACUUUUGUUAUCACAGUAGAGAACUGGAGACUGCAACAAAGACACUUUUAAUUCUUUGAAAAGAUAAGUGAUCCACAAUACCUUAGCUGUUGUCAAAGCCAAAGCUCUGUAUUUAGAUUCAGCUGUACUUCUAGACACUAUAUGCUGCUUCUUGGAGGACCAUGAUACCAAGUUGUUGCCUAAGUAAACACAAUAUCCCCCUACUGACUUCCUAUCAUCCAAAUCAGACCCCCAAUCAGCAUCUGAGAAAACUGUAAGCCUAAGUGAUCCAGAUGAGUAAAAUUGCAGGCCAUAAUCUGCUGUAUACUGCAGAUACCUCAGCACCCUUUUGCAAGCUUGCCAAUGAAGUACUGAUGGAUUAGAAAGAUAUUGGCUGAGUUUAUUCACUGUAAAAGCAAUUUCAGGCCUUGUUAGUGUAACAUAUUGUAAUGAGCUAACCAGACUUCUGUAUAGAGAAGGAUUCUUAAACACUGCACCCUUGUCUUUGACUAAUUUUUCUGUUGAACUCAUUGGUGUUGGACAGCCCUUGCAGUUCACCAUUUGAGCUUUCUUGAGCAGAUCACCAAUGUACUUAGUUUGUGAUAAGUGCAGCCCAUCCACAGUUGGAGUUACCUCAAGACCAAGAAAGUAAUUAAACUCCCCAAGAUCUUUCAAGGCAAACUCGGCACCCAACUGAUGUAUCACCUUCUCUACCAAAACAGAAUUUGAGCCAUUGAUCAAAAUAUCAUCUACAUAGAUUAGUGCCACAAUGAUUUCUCCUGCCACAUGAUGAAUAAACAAGGAACUAUCUGAUUUGGAUGUCACAAAACCCCACUGAAUUAAGGAAGCUUUCAACCUAUCAUACCAGGCUCUUGGAGCCUGUUUGAGUCUAUAAAGUGCCUUGGUGAGUUUGCAGAUAUGAGCUGGAAAUUGAGGAUGAACAAAACCCUCAGGUUGAUGCAUAAAAACAUCCUCUGUAAGAAUGCCAUUAAGGAAGGCAUUGUUAACAUCCAGCUGCUUGAUUGUCCAGUGAUUCAUGACAGCAAGACUCAGGAUUAUUCUGAUGGUGCAGGGCUUUACAACUGGACUGAAAGUUUCAAAAAAAUCCACACCUUGUGUCUGAUGAAACCCCUUUGCAACCAAUCUGGCUUUGUACUUUGAUAUGUUGCCAUCAGGGUUAUAUUUAAUUCUGAAUACCCAUUUGUUUCCAACUAUCUUCCCAGCUAUUUCUGGAGGAAUAAGAACCCGGGUUUGAUUCUUUUGUAGUGCGUCAAAUUCAUCUUGCAUAGCUUGUUGCCAUUUGUGGUCUGCUAGAGCUGCUUUAACAGAUGAAGGUUCAAGCUCUUGAGCUACUGUUAAGUAUGUCUUGGGAUUAAACACACCAGCUUUUGAUCUGGUAGUCAUAGAAUGAUUGUUCUGAACUGUAGAUGUCUGUACUAGCUGAUGAACUUGGAUGUGUGGUGAUAAAUUUUGAGAUGAAUGGCUUGGAGAUGAAUGUGCUGAAGGUGUAUGGGAGUGACUUGAAUCAGGUCCUGUAUCUAGAGAUGAGGGAAUAGCAGAGGAUUGUACAUUGUUGCUGUCUACAAUGACUUCUGUAAAUGGAAUAUUUGAAAAAGAAACUUGACUUGAUUGGAUGGAUGAAAGUUGUGAAUCAGACUUUGUAGGAAAGAGUUCAAAAUAAGGAAAUUCUGAUUCAUUAAACUAAACAUAUCUAGCAAUGUAUGUUUUACCAGUGGAAUCCAAGCAUUUGUAUCCCUUGUGUAUAGGACUAUAGCCAAUCAUUAGGCAUUUUUGUGUAUGAAAAUUGAGUUUAUGGUUAUUGUAGGGUCUGAGAAGAGGAAUGCAAGAGCAACCAAAGGUUCUAAGGAACUUGUAAUCUGGUGGUCUAUCAUGAAGUUUGGCAAAAGGGGAAACAUUAUUCAACACUGGGGUUGGCAUUCUGUUAAUGAGAAAGGAAGUUGUAUGAAAUUACUUCCACCAAAAAGAUAAAGGCAUUUUAGUUUGGGCAAGAAGUGUUAACCCCGUUUCUACAACAUGCCUAUGCUUUCUCUCAACUACAUCAUUUUGAUGAUGUGUGUGAGGACAACUAUGCCUAAAAUGUAUCCCUUCUGCCUCAAGAAAUUUUUCAAAGCUUCUGUACUCCCCUCCCCAAUCAGAUUGUAAAGACUUCAGAGAGAAACCAAGUUGUUUUUCAACUAAGGUUUUGAAAUACUUGAAUGUAUCGAAAGCUUCUGACUUAAGGGUUAAUGGAAAAAUCCAGCAAUAUCUGCUGUAAUUAUCCACAAAAUAAUGUAAUAUCUAUAUCCAUGUAGAGAUGGUAUAGAUAUUGGACCCCAAAGAUCAGUAUGUACAAGCUCUAAAGGAUUUUUUGUUUUUAUGCCUGUAGAGUAGAAAGAAAGUUGGUGCAUUUUACCAUAUUGACAAGCAUCACAAAAAUCAGGAACAGAUGCAGGAAGUGCCAGAGAGGAUAAUAUGUUUUUCAAUGCAUGUUUAUUAGGAUGACCAAAUCUUUGGUGUAACACAUUAGCAAACAUAGCUGGAUUAACAAUGCUCAAAUGACUCUGAGAAUUACUUGUUUGAGUACAAACUUUAUUCAAAGACAAACCAGAAAAGUUACAAGCUAACUAGUUAAAAACAGAAAGCAUAGAACUAGGAUUAUGAUUGGUGACACAUGAACUGGAGAGACAGUCAUCCUUAGACAGCAACUUAUACAGUCCUCCUCUAGCAAUCUCUUGAGCCAGAUGCACUCCCUUCCUCUUGUCCUUAAUAAAACACAUAUUGGCAACAAACUCAAUGAUUAAAUUGGUAUCUUCAAGCAAUUUGGAAAUGCUUAUGAGAUUUUUAGUGAGAUGAGGUACACAUAAUAUAUCUUGUAAAUGCAGAAAAGAAUCACUGGAAGUGGGGAGACAAGUAUAUCCAAUAUGUGUAAUUUUCAGACCUUGGCCAUUACCAACAUGCAGUAACUGAUUACCUGAAUAUUCUCUUCCAAGGUUCAAGUUCUGCAGAUUGUUGGUGAGAUGAUGUGUUUCCCCACUGUCAACAUACUAGCCUUGAUCAGCCAUGCCACCUUCAGAGGUUGCCAGGAAAGCAGCUUUUGGUGCUGAAUUUGGAUAGAGAGCUCUUGGUCCAGGAUUCUGAUAUGAAUUAUAGCCUGAAUAUGGAUUGUAAUAAGGCACAAAUUCUUUGUUGAACCUGUUCCUGCAUUCAGCUGCAGUAUGCUUUGGCUUAAAGCAUAUUUAACAGAUUACAGCGGCUCCAUUUGGAUCUGAAGCACCUUUUCCAUUAGUGAAGCCACCAAAAUUUCCAUUAUUAGCACCAAAAUUAUUUCCACUGUUAACACCAUAUCCACCUCUGCCUUGAUAAUUUCCAGGCUGAGCAUUAUUAUUCCAGCCACCAUUAUUCCAACCAUUCCAAUUUCCUCUACCUCGGCCUUGUGAAAAGCCUCUACCAAAAGCUCCUCUGCCACCAUUAUUAUUGUUUCCAUUCCUAAUCCAGUUAGCAUUAUUCUGUCCUCCAAAUUUAGUAUUGGUUCCAGUUUGAGCAACAUUUGCAGCAUAGGUCAAUUUAGUUUCCUUACUAGCAUUUGACUGAUGUGCUUCUAAUCUAGCCUCACGAGUUAAAAGCAUUGAGUAAGCUUCAUUAACAGUCAUUUUUGCAAGAUUUGCUUCAAUAUACACGACCACAGGGUAGUAUGGUUGACCUAGCCCAGAGAUCAGAUGUGUAAUAAAAUCUAGAGGACUAACAGGGCUUCCAGCUAUUGCUAAAUCAUCAGUUAUUGUUUUCAGCUUUCCAAAAAAUUCAGUCAUAGACAUUGAACUUUUUCUAAGAUUAUUAACCAUCACCUUAAGAUGAACCUUUUUAGCAAAGGUUUCAGACCCAAAUUGUUGCACAAGACUAGACCAAAGUUCAAGUGAAGUUUCAGAGUUUACCACUAGGCUAAGAAUCUCGAGAUUUAUGGAAGAUAGCAUCCAGCUUAGCAGCAUCUGAUCCUUCCUUUUCCAAGUGGUGAAUGCUGGAUUUGUUUGAGUUCCAACUUCAGAGUUCUCAGAUUCACUUUGAAGAAAUUGAUCUGGACAUGAUUUAGAACUAUCAAGAUGAUCUUCAAGACCAUUUGCACGUACUGAAGAGAGAAUCUGAGAUUUCCAGAUUGUGUAGUUCGAUCGAUCAAGCUUAAUAGGAGAAGUGAAAUUAAAUGAAGAAACAAAGAUUGCGGUGUUUGGAGUUAAGUUUGAUAAUGCCAUUUUUGUUUUUAGUAUAGCUCUGAUACCAUGUUAAACUGUAAAGUAUUUGUUUGGUUUUUAAGAAAGUUACAAAGAGAAACAGAGGGAAAAUAAUAAGAGAGGAUGAAUAUGAAUCAUUGAAUUAAAUCGACUGGUUUUACAAGCAUGUAUUUAUACAGGUAUCUCGAAUCUUCUACAUGCUAUUUGAGACUGAGCUAACAGCAUAACAACCUUCCUCCAGCUCAGCUGCCAAGUCAGCAUUCAUAACAAACUUGCUUAAUCAAAUUAACUAAGCUUAACUAACUAAACCAUCUUAACUAAUUCUAUUAUCUUAACAACAGUAAGUUCAUAAUAUUUAAAAAAAAUAUAAAUUAAUAAAAUUUUGGUACAAUUAAUCAAUUAAAUCUUUCCAUUAAUUUUUUUCUUAUUUUUUGACCAUAUUUAAUCAUAAACUUUAAUAUAAGUUUUAUAUUACUAUUUAAUUAUUAUUAUAUGACCAAUUUGCCCCAGUAAUCAUGAAUUAUGUAUAUAAUAAUUUAGUUAUUUAAUUUUGUGACUUAGAAUCUAAUAUUUUUAAACGAAAUUUGAUUAUUAUUUUCACCAUCCUUAUAAAUAAAUGACAUAAAUUCGAUAGCCCAAUAAUUUACAUGAGUAUUGUGCCAUAAAGACCCUAUGCUAGUUUAUUUACAAUUUAAUAAUGAUACUAAUUAAGUAAUAUUAGAAACAAUGAGUUUGGUAUAAAAUUAGAAAACUAUUGAAGUUAAGUAAAUUCUUGGAACUUUUACCUUAUAAGUAUAAAAUAGUCAAUUUAAACUUAUGUCAUAGCAAUCUUUGUAAUCAAACAUAAUGAAAGGAAAUCUAAAUUAGAAAAAAGUAAAUUAAGAUAGAUUUAAUUAAUUAAUUAUCUAAAGUUCAUCUCUAUUUGAAAUUUUUUAAUUUUUUAAAAAUAAUUUACACCUUUUGUAAUUAUUUUUUGAAAAUGGGGUGGGUUUAUAAAAACUAUGGGGUAUCAUCACCUAUUUUUUGUUUUUUUUUUGGAAACAACAUAAUAUCCACUUAAUCCAUAAGAGAGACCGUGAAGUAAUUUACCAAAAAUGGGUGUAUAGGGCAGCCGGGGCAUCAAAGCUUUUUCUUAUUUAGGGAUGGCAAAAUUUGGUUUGAGAUUUGAAUUAAAAAAAUAUGGAUAUGGAUGUGAGUAAUACCUUUGAGGAUUGCAGAUGAAAUCAGAUAUUUAGAUUCAUAUAAUGCUAAAUUUAAAACUCAACAAAUUUACCUAAUAAAAUCCAAUCAUAAUUCAACAAUCAGCAAUUCAACACCUAGAAUACAACACCAUAUAUCCAUAAAUAAAAUUACCACAACAUAAAUCAAAUAUCAAGAAUAACAUAAAUCUGAGUCUAACACCACCAUAAAUCCACACAGAUCCACGCAUGCAUGUCUUUAGUAUUAUGAUUAGCUGGUUACAUUUGAUUUUUUUUCAUUUACCUUAUAUAUUUUUAAUUUAUUUUGGUUUAAAAAAUAAUUUAAUUAAAAAAUAAAUUGGAUCCAAUUUUUUUUAUUUUUCUUAUGUAUUUCCAUCUAUAUAUAGAUUUGCAUUCAUGUAAAUAUUAAUUUUUAACAUCCAGAUCCGUACUUUUUAUUAUGCAUAAUUGAUUUUUUUGGAUCUCUGUCGAUCCAAGCUAGACCCAAAUUGUUUUUCCAUCACUAAUUCCUAUUUUUUUUUGUUAGUGAAAUCUUUAAAUAUAAUAGAAGGUGUAAAGAAUUUAAAUUUAUUUAAACAAUGAGGGUAAAACAAAACAAUAGACAAAUUAAUUCACCUAAUUAAUUAAUCCUAAAAAACACUAUUCACCGAUUAUCGAUAAUGUGAUAUUGUUCAUACCGAUUACUAUUCACAAGUAUUGUUCAUAUUUGUUUAUUGUAACUAUUCACUGAAAUUUUUAGUUUUACUGUUCAUUUGUCAUAAGUAUGCUACAAGUAGUAAAUUAUAGAAAAUAAAGUACACAGAGGAUUUUUACGUUGUUCAAAUCACAAUCUUAAAUCCACGGACUAGACCCAGACAAUAAGCAAUUCAUUAAUUAAUGAAAAGAUUACAAUCUAUUAGUUUUUUACACAAUUUCCAACACCCGCUUACAGUAGUCACCACCUCAUUGUAUCCAACUUAGUUAACCUUACUUAGUGAGAACCCCUCGUCUUCAAUUAUGUUUGCUGCUUUCCUUGAGAUCCUCUCAACACAACAAACGACCGCUUCAUCCUGAAGAGACCAACGUAAAUAUAAAGGAUGUCUAAUGAAAGACUUGAUGAAGAAGACUAAAACAUCAUUGAGAUAUGAAACAUCAUAUGCGGCCAAAUAAGUUUCUUCUCAUUCUCUGCAUUUGCUGCUUCUCUAAUACAAAAUAUGAUAUUUCUUCUUCACUUCACCAUUGUGUGAAAUACUUCUCUUUCUGUAGGAGUAGUAUUUCAUCUAAACCCUAGUAGAGGAAUAUUAAGACAUACUACCUUAAGAGUUCGAUAUUCUAUAAAAUACUUGAUAUCAGGGUAUACUUCCCUAAGAGUCCAAUAUUCCAUAAAUACUUUAUAUACUUGCUAAUGUAGUAGUCAUCUUUAUUUGGAGCACUUGAUAUGGAAUCCUAUUUAUAUGUCAUUUUGCUUCUUUUAUGCAUCCAAAAAUAUUCUCCAAUAGUUCAUGUAAUCUAAUCUUAAUUAAUUUUCAAGACUAGAUAAAUCUCGGAAAAAUCCCUAAUAAAAGAAAUUAAUAAGUUAUAACAUUAUUUACACAAUGAUGCCAAUAACAAAAUUCGGGUCAAGAAGGAAGCACAAAAAUAUAAAAUUAUUUAGAAUUAACAAGUUUAUAUAAUAACAGUCAAGAUAGAGCAAACGCAGGCCACGUACUGAUUUUCAUAGUUUAAUUGCUUUUGACUUCAAAGGACUCAUUUCCUCACUUCUCAUAAUUUGUUAGGUGGCUUUUGAUGUACCGGAUUGUAUUAGAGAUUACAUUAAAUUAUAUUGUAUUGGAUUAUUAAUACAAUAUUAUAUAUAUUUGGUGUAGUACAUUAGUUGUAGUAUAUGGGUUGGAUUGUGUGUUUUAAAUAAUAUUAAAUUGUCAUUGAUCGGUUUAUUAGCAAAAAUUAAAAAAAUAACUGACAAUCACCAUUGACGACCACCGAUUAUAGUCGGAAACUUACAACGAGGUCCGUUUAUGCCAAAUUAGUACGAUAAGAAUUCCCAUUUUGAGCUCUAUGCAAUGCUACUAGUGUCAUCUGAAAUAGAGCACCCAUUUACCAUAGAUUCUCAAUCUGCUGCAUAGUGCACAUAGAUUUGCACAGUCCAUACUUGCCCAAACCAGGUGCCAAAAACAUACCCUUAAUUAUACAUUUUCUCUAGAAAGAGGCAACAAAUUUGUGAUAAAAAUAGUGAGAAGUAAAGUUUUAAAGACAAGCAUAAUAAUUAACAAAAUAGUAGAGUAAACUAGAAAUGGUGUGAGUUAAUUCAAAUAAGAGAAAAUGUUGAAUUAGAUAAUACUCUAAAUAUGACUGUAACAAAGUGACAAACGCUUUCUAAGAUAAUUAAAUUUUAAUUUUAUGUUACAUGAAGGUGAUAGGAUAGCUCACAUGAUCAGACUUUCAUAAUGGAAACAAUUAAAAGGUCACUGGUUUAAAAAUCCAAGAGAAUGCAUUAAAAAAUUAGGGGUGGGAUAGAAUGAGGUAAAUGAUAAGAAAUAUUUAUAUACGAGCAUUCUUACAUAUUCUAAUGUAUGUGCUCCCAAAAGGUUCUUUUAGUGAUUUUCAACUAUUUUUAUUUAGUUAACCACUAUAAUUAGAAUCCUUAAAAGAUAGGGAUUAAAAAAUUGAUUUGUGUUAUUGUCUACCCGUCUACUUAGAAAAAAAAAAUAAUAAUACACACUUACUGUAGUGUUUUAAUCUGCUUCUAACCCUCAAGACAAAUGAAAACACUUCCUAGGACCUUUGAUAAAGAACAACUCAAGAUGCACAAUUGAAGAGUGAACCCAGAUAAGUAACAAUGUACCCAAGAACUUGAAAGAACAACGAAUCAAGAAACAUCCCAAUCACAGACACCACAAGAAUCAAUUACGUGGUUCAACUGCACCAAUUGGUACAACCUACAUCCAUGGGACAAGUUUUCUGCAGAGCUUAUAUUAAUCAACAAUGGAGGAUCUUUCUUACAGAGAAUGGUUUACAAGAUUUUAGAGAACUCUCAACCAUUCUUCCUAUAUGAACUCACAAGCUUUCUUAAUUCGUUUCACCAGCCUGCUCUUAUAGCAACCAGAGCAACUAACCAGCUUAAACCCAGAUCGAACAGAUUGCUUACACGUAGCAUAACAAACUUAACGAACUGAGAUGAGCCUUUCACGUAUCUGUCACGUGCAUCACUUAUAAGCUUCCUUUAAAUGACAUGGAUGAACUGCCGUUUCAAGCUUUAAUCUUAAGUGACAACACACGUGCUUUUCUCGUGUCUUUGAAGUUCUCCUUUAAUUGCCAAAACGUCAUCGUUUGGUUCUAAUGAGUUUAAUUCACCAUCAAACCUCACAAUUCUCCACCUUGAAUCAAUACCCCUCUGCAUACUCCUUCUCCAACACUAAGUAUCGUUUAAACAAUACCUAGUCCCACUAAGUCUAAGCUUAACUCAAACUUAGCUACAGGAACAAUCUUUGUAAGUAUAUCUGCAGGGUUUACAUCAAUAUGGAUUUUAACCAUUUUUAUCUCACCCCUUGAGACUUCAUGUCUUAUGAAAUGCAGCUUGAUGUCUAUAUGUUUUGUCUUCUCAUUGUGUGCUGGAUUUUUGUAGAGAUGAAUAGCACUGGAACUAUCACAGAAUAUAGAGACUGUACUUUGCAUUUUCCCCAGCUCAGAUAUUAACCCUCUAAGCCACAAAGCUUCUUUAACAACUUCUGUAGCAGUUGUAUAUUCAACUUCUGUAGUAGAGAGUGCCACCACAUGCAGUAAUGCAGACUUCCAGUUAACAACACAUCCCUUCAACAUAAACACAUAUCCAGUCAGAGAUCUUCUUCUGUCUAAAUCUCCAACAAAAUUUGAGUCAACAUACCCCCACAAGCUAUCUCCAUUUUCCCUGUUUCUCCCAUAUACUAGACCUUUCUUCAAGGUCCCAUUUAGAUACCUCAUUACCCACUUCACAGCCUUCCACUGUUCCCUUCCAGGUGAGGCCAUAUACCUGCUUAUUACACUGACAGUGUGUGCUAUGUCAGGUCUUGUCAAGACCAUGGCAUACAUCAGAUAGGGGACUGACAUUAUCUCUUGCUUUUCUUCAUCAGUAGAUGGACACUGGGAGCUGUUGAGUCUGAAAUGGGAAGAAAAAGGUGUCUGGACAGGUUUUGAAUCAGUCAUUCCAUAGAUGGUCAACACCUUCUUUAAGUAGCUUUCUUGUGACAGAAAUAGCAGCCCACUUUUCCUGUUCCUUCUGAUUUCUACUCCUAGAAUCUUCUUAGCCUGCCCAGAUCCUUCAUUUCAAAUUAUGUGCUGAGCAGUAAUUUUAAUUCUUCAAUUACCUCUUUAUCCUUACUUGCCAGUAGCAUGUCAUCUACAUAUAACAGUAGAUACACAUAUACACUGACAUUUAUCUUUUUAAAAUAAACACAGCAAUCAUAGUUACACCUCAUGAACCCAUUUGACACCAUGAAUUCAUCAAACCUGAGGUACCAUUGCCUAGGGGAUUGCUUGAGCCCAUAGAGUGAUUUCUUCAACAAGCAAACACAGUCCUUCUUCUUAGGGUCUUCAUACCCCUCUAGUUAACUCAUGAAUAUCUCUUCUUGUAGUCUCCCAUGUAGGAAUGCAGUCUUGACAUCAAGUUGAUCAAGCUCCAUGUCUUCAACUGCUGUUAAGGCUAGGAUCACCCUUAUUGAGGCAUGUCUGACUACUGGAGAGAACACCUCCUUAAAAUCAACCCUUUCCCUUUGAGUAUACCCCUUAGCUACAAGUCUAGCUUUAAACCUCCUUGGUUCUGCCUGAGUUAAACUUUCUUUGACUUUGUAGAUCCAUUUGCAUCCGACCACUCUUCUGUUUGCUGGCUUCAUAACCAAUUCCCAUGUUUUAUUUUUGUACAUAAAAGCAGUUUCAUCAUCCAUUGCUGCCAACCAUUCCCUUUUAUUUGAGCUCUGCACUGCCUUCUUGAAGGUCUUUUGUUAUUCAUUAGCUAUAUUAUGUGCUGCAGCUAAAGCAAUGGCAGUUAGAUCUGCAUAACCAAAUCUUUUUUAUGGUUUGAUUUGCCUCCUCCUUCUAUCUCUGGCUAGUUGAUAGUCUCCUAUUUGAGGAUUUAAUUCUGUCUCCACAUGUUGAUGAGGUGCUUGUGCUUCCCCUGAGUCAUUUUCAACAUCUUCAAAGUAUGUUGCUUCUUCUAUGUUCCUCUGAUCAGGCUGCUCCACCUCAAAUUUCAGCAUCUCAGGAGGUUUUGAACUUGAGUUAGUUUCUUCAGCUAGGUGAGUUUUUCUUAUCAACUCAUCUUCAUUGAACAUUACAUCCCUGCUGAUUAUACACUUUGGGGGUCUUAGAUUAGUACACCAGAUCUUGUAACCUUUCACUCCAUCUGGGUAGCCCACAAAAACUCCUUUCAAUGCUCUUGGUGCAAGCUUUCCCUGUUUGAUAUGAGCAUAGGCUGAACAUCCAAAUGCUCUCAGGCCUUUAUAGCUUGCUGGUUUACCAUGCCACAUUUCAAAAGGUGUCUUGAAGUCCAGUGCUGAGGAGCGACUGAGAUUCACCAAAUAACUAGCUGUCAUCAGUACCUCUGCCCACAAGGACUUUGGAAGCCUGGACUGUAUCAACAUGCAUCUUACUUUCUCUAUAAGUGUCCUGUUCAUCCUUUUAGCUAGCCCAUUUUGUUAGGGUGUGAACUUCACUGUCCUGUGCCUCAUUAUGCCCUCAUUUGCACAAUAACUCCCAAACUGUUGGUUGCAAAAUUCCAACCCAUUAUCUGUCCUCAGCUUCUUAACUUUCUUACCUGUUUGAUUUUCAACCAGGUUCUUCCAUUCCUUAAAUUUUUCAAACACCUGAUCCUUAUGCUUUAGAGCAUAAGUCUAGACCUUUCUAGAAAAAUCAUCAAUGAAAGAUACAAAAUAUCUAUUCCCUCCUAGAGAUAACUCCUGAGCUGGUCCCCAGAGAUCUGAGUGUAUAUAGUCUAUGACAUUUUCUGACUUCUAGUUUGAUCUCUUAAAGCUUGCCCUUGAAGAUUUGCCAAACACACAGUCUUCAAAAAACUCUAGACUGCCUAUUUUUUCUUUUCCCAAUACACCCUAUUUCUCUAACUCCUUUAAACCCUUUUCACUGAUAUGACCCAGCCUAAGGUGCCACAGCCUGGUGUGAUCUGUUUUGACACUUCCAGAAAAGCCUGAUUCACCAGCUAUGAUUUCCCCAUCAAGGACAUACACUUCAUUUUUCCUAUUCUCUUUUAAGACUGUUUAGAGCCAUCUAAUACCCUUAGAUCACCAGAUUCAAGCCUAAUGUUAUACCCUAUUUGAUCAAACAUCUCUAAGGAGAUAAGGUUCCUUUUAAGGUCAGGCACAUGUUUUACUUGCUUAAUCAUCAAUAGGGUUCCAUCCUGUAAUCUAAGUUUAACAGUACCAAUACCAAUGACCCUACACAUGGCAUUAUUCCCCAUCAUUACCCUACCACCAUCAAAUUUAUGGUAUUCAAUAAAGUAAUCCUUAAAGGGGGUCAUAUGAAAAGUACAUCCUGAGUCCAAGAUUCAUUUACCUUUUUGGCUAAAAUCAGUUGCUACACACACACCUGCUGACUCAUACCCUUCUUCUUCAACUAUGGCUGCAUCUCCACUUCGAUUCAUUGAUUCUUUGGGCUUAAGCUUUCUUUCAGGGCAAUCCCUUUUAAGGUGUCCCUCUUUGUGACACUGCAAACAUUUCCAGCCCUUCUGUUUCUUCUUCUGCUUCCCUUCUUUCUUCUUCUUUUCAUCAUGUUUAUCAAUCUACCCCUUGCUAUCAGACCUUCACCAACACCACUCUCUGCAGCAUUUUGUUUUCCUUGUAGCUCUCUAGUGUUAAGGGCAGCUUUAACUUCAUCAAGAGUCAAAGAUUACCUUCAAUACAUCAAGGCAUCCAUAAAAUGCUCAUAUGAUUUUGGUAAGGAGCUUAUUAAAAGAGAUGCUUUCCCUUCAUCAUCCAGGCCCUCAUCUAUAGAUUCUAAAGUAUCAUAAACUUUAUUAAAUUCAUCUACAUGAUGAUCCAGAGAUGACCCUUCCUCCAUUUUCAGAGUGAACAUUCUCUUUUUAAUGUAGAGACGAUUUGCUAGUGACUUGGUCAUAUAGAUUCCUUCUAGUUUAGCCCAUAAACUAGCAACUGUUUUUUCUUUAGCCACCUCUCUGAUAACUGCAUCUCCAAGACUGAGGAUUACAAUGCUUCUGGCCUUCUUAUCCACUUCGGCUACUUCCUCUGCAAUCUUGGAGGAUGAAACUUCUUUUCCCUCCUUCUUGCAAACAGGCUCGAGUGCAUCCCCCAAACCUUGAGUGAUCAGCAAGGCUUCCAUUUUUAUUUUCCACAUGUUAAAGUCAUUCUUGCCAUUGAAUUUUUCUAGAUCUAUCUUCGGUGUCGCCAUUCUUGGUCUUGAUCAAAGAUACCAGGCUCUGAUACCAAUUGUAGUGUUUUAAUCUGCUUCUAACCCUCAAGACAAAUGAAAACACUUCCUAGGACCUUUGAUAAAGAACAACUCAAGAUGCACAAUUGAAGAGUGAACCCAGAUAAGUAACAAUGUACCCAAGAACUUGAAAGAACAAAGAAUCAAGAAACAUCCCAAUCACAAACACCACAAGAAUCAAUUACGUGGUUCAGCUGCACCAAUUGGUACAACCUACAUCCACGGGACAAGUUUUCUGCAGAGCUUAUAUUAAUCAACAAUGGAGGAUCUUUUUUACAGAGAAUGGUUUACAAGAUUUUAGAGAACUCUCAACCAUUCUUCCUAUAUGAACUCACAAGCUUUCUUAAUUCGUUUCACCAGCCUGCUCUUAUAGCAACCAGAGCAACUAACCAGCUUAAACCCAGAUCGAACAGAUUGCUUACACGUAGCAUAACAAACUUAACGAACUGAGAUGAGCCUUUCACGCAUCUGUCACGUGCAUCACUUAUAAGCUUCCUUUAAAUGACAUGGAUGAACUACCGUUUCAACCUUUAAUCUUAAGUGACAACACACGUGCUUUUCUCGUGUCUUUUAAGUUCUCCUUUAAUUGCCAAAACGUCAUCGUUUGGUUCUGAUGAGUUUGAUUCACCAGCAAACCUCACACUUACAUUUACAUCAAAACAAAAUUUAAUGGCUAAGUUCUAACGGGUUAGAUGAUAUGACACAUAUAACAAAAUACAUUAAAACUAUGACAUUUAUUUUUUUUAUCCUCUCUCCUCCUCGUCAAUGUUCUUAUAAAAAUUUGAGUUAAAUUUUGUAAACUAACUAAGCCUAACUCGAAUAAGAGAAUGUCUCUGCCAGAAAUUUAUUUUUGUAUAUUUUAUAUUACAAAUUAUUUAAAUACAAAUUUAAAAAAUAUAUUGUUAUCAAUAUAUAAAUACAAAUUUAUAUAUAGAGUGUCUCCUAAUGAGGAAGUCCUCAUUUUAUUAAAAUAAACGCUGAACUACAAGAAAGAAAAAUUAUUUGAAAAAAAAUCAUAUUGAAAAUGUAAUUUAUUUUACGUAAAUAAAGAUAAAGUUCUCUAAUAGUAGUAAGUGUGAUUUAUUUUUAAAUUUUGAUGAUAAAUAUUUAUCAUAAAUAUUUAAUUCUGUAAAAGAAAAAAAUAAUUAAUCUUUUAUAUGGUAGAAAAUAUAUGCCGGUAAGAGUAGUUUUGAAUGUGUUACAGUUAAAUAAUUUAUUGAGCAUUUAGCAUUAACUGUUGAAUUAAAUUUUUAACUUAAUUUUAUCAGAACAUAAAUAUUUGAUAAGUUUUUAAUGUUAGGGCUAAAAAUCAAAUCAAAUAAAACAAAUAAAUUACUGCAAUUAAAAUAAAUUUAAAGUAUUAUAUAAGUCAAAAAGCAAAUGUACAGCCAUUUCAAUCCAUUAAAAUUUAUUUUCAUAAAACAAAAAUUUUUAACCUUAUUAUAGCAUAAAACUAUGUUACUUCCAUUGCACCAAUGAAAUUACGAAGAUUAAAAAGUCAAAAUUAGUUAAUUUAUUUAAAAUUUGAGAUAAUAAAAAAAAGCCCCGCCCUAAAUUUAAAUCUAUGUAAAUGUAAAAUAAUUUUUUUUAUCUUUUAAUUAAAAUUAAUAGUUAUUGUCUAUUUAUUGAUCCAACUGUGUCAAGAUAAUAAACCACUACAACAAUUGUCGACGUCUAACAUUUUUAUACCCUUAACUAUGAAAAAUUAGUGCUUUAUUAACAUUAACUUAGAAAAAGUAAUGUUUCACUACAUUUCUGUUAAUUGACUUGUAAAAUUUCAAUAUUGCCCUUAUUUGACUUUUCUGCAUCCAUCGCUAGUCUCGUAGGUCGUGUAAUUACUGUGGGUAAUCAAUUGGGUGGGAACUGGGAACAACUCCGAUUCAAAUCUCAUGUUUCGUUGGACCUUGAAAUGGCAACUUGCAGAAUCCAGCUACUAUAAAAGAAAGUGAAGGGGCCGGUGUUAAUGAGAGCUUCAAAUAAAGAGAAAUCAAAAUACAAACUUCUAUUCAAAGAUGGAUUUGUUAAUUAGCUGCAUACUGUGGCUCUUGUUCACAUUGGUUUGGGUGAUGGCUUUAAGUUUCAUUUCCAGUGGAAGACGCAAAGGGCUUCCACCAGGACCGAGGCCUUAUCCGGUGAUCGGAAACCUCCUGGAACUGGGUGGUAAACCUCACAAGUCACUGGCCAAGCUGGCGAAGAUUCAUGGCCCCAUAAUGAGUCUAAGACUUGGCCAGGUGACCACAGUAGUAGUUUCUUCUCCAAGCAUGGCGAAAACUAUCCUUAAAGAACAUGAUUCAUUAUUCUGUGUGUUGGGAAAAUAUGCUCUUUAAAGCAUAUGUGUUUAUUUAAUUGUAAUAAACAUUUUUUUUAUUAAUAAAAUUAAUGAGGUAUUUUAUUCAAAUAUCUUAGUUGCAUUAAUAUUUGUAUUAAAGUCCAUUUAAUCAUAUUAUAUGUAUUUAUGUGAUCACCAUGUGGAUUCACAGAAGACAUAAAUACAAGUUAUCUUAUGAUUAAAUAAAUUUAGUUUGCAGUUGAUAAAUAAAGUUGGGCACUUUAUUUAGGUAUAGACUAUAAUAAAUUCAUUGAAUGAUUUGUCUUAAUCAUGUAUGAAUUUAUUGAUGUAGUACGACUACAUUGAACAGGAUCACAUAUGAGAUUUAAUUAACUUUGUAAUAACUGUCAGACUUAUUAAAUCUCAUAGGCGUUGAUUUUACUAUAAUCUUAAUCUUGAGUUAAUUAUGAUUUCAUGAUUGUAAUUGUUAUUUUAUUUGAGUUACCAAUGGGCACGACACAUCCUUAUGGUCAAGAUUACCCGGUAUCUUGGUGGGAGCAAUUAUGAGUAUUGGAGUUAUGGAUUAACAAUAUAGAAUUUGUACAACACAUCUCUUGAUGGGUUUUCGGCACUUGAUCAUAGAAUUCUCUGGCCAGAGUGUGUCAACAUAUUUAGUAUGUUGAAAGUGAUCAUUAGAGAAAAUCAGUAAGGAUCAAGGAAUAAGAUGUUAUUAAAUUGAUUGGACAGUUGAGAUAUCAAUUUAAUUAACGAUGUGGUACAAAGGAUUGUGCAGUAAAGAAAUCAAUGUGGCUUUGGACGAAUUAUUAUUCGAGCAUACAAUUAUGGAAGUCAGUUCCAAUCUUUUAGUGGAGUAGAUUUGAAAUUAAAUAAUUGGGCUAGUUUAAUUACAGGCCUAAUUAUUGUAGCCACUAUUGUAUGUUCCCAAAUGAUCCCCGGGUUAGCUCAUUUAAUUGACUGCACCGCUACUGGACUAAUAAGUAAGAUAACUAGUUAAUUAUGAUUUCAUGAUUGUAAUUGUUAUUUUAUUUGAGUUACCAAUGGGCACGACACAUCCUUAUGGUCAAGAUUACCCGGUAUCUUGGUGGGAGCAAUUAUGAGUAUUGGAGUUAUGGAUUAACAAUAUAGAAUUUGUACAACACAUCUCUUGAUGGGUUUUCGGCACUUGAUCAUAGAAUUCUCUAGCCAGAGUGUGUCAACAUAUUUAGUAUGUUGAAAGUGAUCAUUAGAGAAAAUCAGUAAGGAUCAAGGAAUAAGAUGUUAUUAAAUUGAUUGGACAGUUGAGAUAUCAAUUUAAUUAACGAUGUGGUACAAAGGAUUGUGCAGUAAAGAAAUCAAUGUGGCUUUGGACGAAUUAUUAUUCGAGCAUACAAUUAUGGAAGUCAGUUCCAAUCUUUUAGUGGAGUAGAUUUGAAAUUAAAUAAUUGGGCUAGUUUAAUUACAGGCCUAAUUAUUGUAGCCACUAUUGUAUGUUCCCAAAUGAUCCCCGGGUUAGCUCAUUUAAUUGACUGCACCGCUACUGGACUAAUAAGUAAGAUAACUAGCUAUUUGGGUCAAAAGCCUAAAUAUAUCAUUUAGUGGGAGGCUCCAUUUAAUUAACUUUUGUAUAAGGGGCCUUAUGUUAUUUUACAAGGUGGGUCUCCUAUUGAAAAAGCAAAUAAACGUGAGUUUUGUUUUUUGGAUUUUUAGAGCCUAGGGUUUUCACUAAAGGGUGAUAUAAAAGGCUUAUUUUUCCCUAAAGAAAAAAAAAACCACUUUAUAUAAAUCGGAGAAUAAGAUUUUUCAUUCUAUUGUUGAGAGAAAAAUUUUCUCGUGCUAGUUGCUUUGGUAGUGAUAAAGGCGCCCACACGUCAAGUGCAGAUCGAACCUGAGUCAUAACCUGGAAGAUCAUUGGUGAUAGUUCAUGAUCGAACAAGCGUUGUGGUGACGGAUCGUGAUCUAACAGGAGUGGUGGUGGCGGAUCGUGAUCUAGGAGCCUAAAUCACUUCAGCGGAAAAAGCCAACUCGGAUUUUCAAGGUACGAUUUCUAGAAUAUGAAUUCUUAUAGAUUAUAUGAAAGCGAUCUUCAAAAGGUUUUAUAAAAUUUAAAAACCUAAUUUUUCUCCAACACUGUGAUCGAAAGGUCCCUGAAUCAAUCUUGUCCCAGCCAUACCAGCACCAUGAAUUCAGUUUGGUCUGGCUGCCAGUCUCACCACUGUGGAGAAGUCUUCGAAAAAUAUGCAACAUGCAUAUUUUCACUAAUCAGAAACUCGAUGACAAUCAAGACCUCCGACGCAAGAAAAUCAAAGGCCUUCUUGCUUAUGUUGAAGAAAAUUGUAGUGCGGGUAAAGCAAUAGAUUUUGGCCAAGCUGCUUUUAAUACUUCACUUAAUUUGUUAUCCAACACAAUUUUUUCAAUUGAUUUGGUUGAUCCCAAUGAGUGAGAGUUUAAGGAUACAGUUUGGGGUAUCAUGGAAGAAGCAGGAAAGCCUAACUUGUCCGACCACUUUCCCCUACUGAAAAUGCUUGACCUGCAAGGGAUAAGGCGGCGCAACACACUUUAUGCUGGCAAGAUGUUCGAGGUGUUGGAUCGCUUGAUUGAUCAACGAUUGAAGCAAAGACAAGAACAUGGUUGCAGUAUUAGCAUCGAACCCUAAAGAUAUGUUAGAUACUCUUCUCAAUAUUAUCCAAGACAAGAGCGUUGAGAUUGACAUAAAGCAUAUCAAGCACUUGUUUGCGGUAAUAUAUCUUUUUUAUUUUUCUUAAUUUCCCGUACAAAUCACAAGUUAAUUAACAGACUUCAUAUACCAGGAUUUGUUUAUUGCCGGGAAUGACACAACUUCAAUUACAAUGGAAUGGGCAAUGACAGAACUACUCCACAAUCCUGAGGCUUUAUCGAAAGCAAAAUUGGAGCUAGAACAAACCGUUGGCAAAGGAAACCCAAUUGAGGAAUCUGACAUCAUUCGGUUACCUUAUCUACAAGCAGUUGUUAAAGAAACUUUCAGGUUGCACCCGCCAGUUCCCUUAUUAAUCCCCCGUAAAGCCUUAGAAGAUAUUGAAAUUGCAGGAUUCACAGUGCCAAAAGGUGCACGAGUUUUUGUCAAUGUAUGGGCUAUUGGUAGAGAUGAAAGCACAUGGGACAACCCUCACACUUUUAUUCCCGAAAGGUUCUUAAGGUCAAAUGUUGAUUUCAAAGGCCAGAAUUUUGAGCUAAUCCCCUUCGGAGCUGGGCGACGAAUUUGUCCUGGUUUACCGUUAGCAAUCAGAAUGUUAUAUCUAAUGUUAGGCUCACUUAUAAAUUCUUUUGAUUGGAAGCUUGAAGAUGAGAACAUGGAUAUGGAAGAGAAAUUUGGCAUCACCAUAAUGAAGGCUCAACCCCUUCGUGCUGUCCCUGUUGUCAUUUAGUCGCAUACUAUAGUUAGUUUUUUGUGUCGGUGGAGUGCAUUUAAUUGUAUCCAAUAAACCAUUGGUAACUAUCUAAUUGAUCGCCAUAAUUCACUUUUUUGAGUGAAUGAAUAUUGUAAGAAAGUAAUACGUAGAACUUUGAAUAAUAAAGGAAGUGGUGUUUUUUUUUCACGAUUUUUUUAGCCAUAAUUCAAAUUUUGAAGGCAAAACUUUGGAUCAGUAGAGAAACUCGAAUUUUUUUAGCCAAGAAACAUUGUUAUGAAAAACGUUUUGCUAACCUACACAAAGUUUGACCUAAAAAAGUUUAGGCAACGAAAAACUUUCAUGAAUAAUGAUUUUUUUUUUUUUUUUUGCUUUUUUGGGCCAAAGCAUAUUUUUCCUUGGCAGAUUCUUAGCCACAAAAACGUGGCCAACUAUGUUGAUUCUAGCCCCAAAAUUAUUCUGAAUAAUUGUCGUUUCCUUCGCAUUAAAUGUCUUUUAUUAGAUUGUAACCGCAAGCAAAGGACUUCUUGACUUAUUUGGAUGCCCAUAAAUGCUACAUGUGAAGAGGCACCGCAAAUCUGUGGACUUCUUUGCUUGGACGUAUUUUCAAGUCUUCAAGCUGAUUUGGUGGUUGCAUGAUUUUGAUCAUACACAGACUUGGCGGGCACCAGCGUCUUUGAAUUGUUUAGCCAUGGAAGCAAACUUGGCAGAGGAAACAUGGAAAUGCAAUUGUCAAAAUGUCGGCUAUGUUAUAUGAAAUUGGCAAAUGAAGUUUUGCGCACAGCAUGGAGUCGUUCAAUCUAAUUAUAUACUUGAAGAAAUUAUUUGUGAGAUUUUAUAAUAUUAUUUUAUGGGUGAAAUAUUUAGAGCAUACGGAAAAUUACAAGGCUAGUAACAAUUUAUAAAUUUUAUCUGGUUAUUUUUUACGUUUUUUUCCCCUAAUGGAGAAGUUAUCACAUAAAAUUUGAGAGUAUGACUAGCAUUAUUUUACAACUUUAUUUUAGUUAUUUGCAUGGUUGUUUGAUAUAUUCCUUGAAAAAAAUGGCUGAGUAUUCAAAACUCUUAACUUUAUCCCUUGCGGGCUUUUCUCCCUCAAACAUUCUUUUCGUACAAAAGAGAGGCACUAGUAGCAUUCCACAAACACAAUGAUUUUUACGUGGUUCGGCAAUCCCUGCCUACGUUCACGCCUCUAAGCUUACCGGGCUUGAGGAUUUUACUAAGCAAGCCUCCAAGGCUUCAAAUGCUUACAAUUGACUUACAAGGUGUCAAUUGACCUUCACAACAAGAUACUAUCCACAAUCUCUUAACCCAAGUAUAUCACAACACUUACAAUCUCUUAACUUGAUUUUACAAAAAGGAUUACAAAUGAAUUUCUCUCACACAAUGUGUUUGAUCACAAAUGAAAGCUCAAUGUGUGAAUGAAUAAGAUGAAUACAAGGAUUUAAAGCUCAAUGAAAGUUGUAUGCUUAAUAUUUUGCUCAAUGAUAAUCGUUGGAAUUGUUUUUGUUUGAAUUUGAUUGAGCUAUUUAUAGUUGGAGCUGAAAACUAACCGUCAUUGACUUUCUGCUCACUGGCAGAUCGCUGUUUUGAUUGAUCAAUAUGACCGUUAGGCUGAAUUUUCAAAUUGUUGGAUCGUCGUUUUCUAGAUGUCGGAUUGUCGUUAGUGUCCAGAGGAUACUCUUCCAUUCUACUCGAUGGCGGCUAGCCGUUAUCAAGAUGUCGGUUAGCCGUUUGCUACAAUGUCUGCUAUAGUGAACUAUUUUUAAAAUUAUAGUUUGACCCUAAAAUGUUCUAUAACUGUACUAUGGCCCAAAACGUUAUAAAUUUUGUAAAUAGAUCCAAUUUCAUAAUCUCUAAGUAUUGCUUGCUAUUCCCAAAACUUUUUAAAAUUAUGAUAUGGCCCAAAAUACUAUAAAACUUUUCAAAUAAGUCCUUUUCCAAAAUUUCAAGCAAUAAUUGUUGAUUUCAAAGUUUUCAAAACUCUUUCAAUUAAACCAUAAACUUGAAAAAUAAUUAAUUUCAUAAAAUCAUUUUUACAUUAAAUAUAAAACCUUUAUAAUGUGAAAAUAAUGAUUUAUUUAAAAUGUAUAAAAAAUAAUUUGAGCUUAAUAGAUUAAUCAUUCUUAAUCUUGUUUGUUAUCAUCAAAAUCAACAUUAUGGAAAGAUAUAUGUUAACAACACCUACUAUAGAGUUUGAUCCCCUCACCUAUGAAGAGGCAAUGAAGUCUUAAGAUGCUGCCUUUUGGAAAGAGACCAUUAAUGAUGAAAUGGACUCUAUUAUGGGUAAUAAGACUUGGAAAAUAGUUAAUUUACCACCUGGAUCUAAUCCUAUAGGUUGUAAAUGGAUUUUCAAGAGGAAGAAAAAAGUUGAUGGAACAAUUGAAAGAUUUAAAGCAAGACUAAUAGCGAAAGGUUUUACACAAAAAAAAGGUCUUGAUUAUUUCGAUGCUUAUGCACAUGUUGCAAGAAUUCUUACUAUUAGAGUCUUGAUUGCUUUGGCUUCAAUUUAUCAUUUUGAAAUCCAUCAAAUGGAUGUAAAACUUGCUUUCUUAAAUGGAGAGCUAGAUGAGGAAAUUUACACGAAACAACCAGAAGGAUUUGUUAUGCCAGGACAAGAACAUAAAGUUUGUAAACUAGUCAAGUCUUUAUAUGGCCUUAAACAAGCUCUAAAGCAGUGGCACGAAAAGUUUGACAAAGUGAUUGUUUCAAAUGGAUUUAAUAUUCAUGAAUUUGAUAAAUGUGUAUAUAGUAGAUUCAAAGGAAAUAAAGGUAUGAUUAUUUGUUUAUAUGUAGAUGACAUGUUAAUUUUUGCUAUUGAUAGUGAGAUCAUUAAACUCACUAAAUCAUUAUUGUCAUCUAGUUUUGAUAUGAAAGACAUGAGGCUUGCUAAUGUGAUUUUGGGGAUUUAAAUUAUCAAAAAUGAGAAUGGCCUAGUAUUGACCCAACCACAUUAUAUUGAGAAAAUUUUAAAGAAAUUCAAUCAUUAUAAUUGUAAGCCUGUGUCAACGCCUUUUGAUUCAAACAUAAGAUUGUACCCUAACACUAGCAGAUCAAUAUCUCAAUUAAAAUAUGCACGUGUUAUUGGGUGUCUUAUAUAUGUGAUGACUUGUACUAGGCCUGACAUUGCUUUCGCUAUUAGAAAGCUAAGUAGAUAUACUAAUAAUCCAAGCCAAGCACAUAGGCAAGCAGUGUACAUAAUUCUAAAAUAUUUAAAACAUAAAAUGGAUUAUGGUAUAUACUACACUUGAUAUCCUUCAAUUUUGGAAGGAUUUUCAAAUGCUAGCUAGAUUACUUAUUGAUAUGAUCAUACUUCCACAAGUGGUUGGAUUUUUAAUCUUAGUGGAGGAGCUAUUUCAUGGGGCUUAAAGAAGCAAACUUGUAUAGCAGAUUCCACUAUGGCUGCAGAAUUUGUAGCUUUGGCUUCACGUUGCAAGAAUGUUGAAUGGUUAAGGAAUUUGCUUAUAGAAAUUUUUAUUUGGCCUAAACCAAUGCCUCCCGCGUCCAUUCAUUGUGAUAGUGAGGCAACUUUGUCUAAGGGCAAACAGUCAAAUCUAUAAUGGAAAGUCUAUGCACAAUGGUCUAAGACAUAGUUAUGUGAGACAAUUACUUACAGAUGGAGUAAUCACAAUUGACUUCGUGAAAUCAUACCAAAAUUUGGCGGACCCCUUAAUUAAAUGCCUUGCAAGGGAUAUUGUAUUAAAAACUUCUAAGCGGAUGGGAAUGAAGCCAACAUCAUCUUAUCACCAAUGAUAAAUACUCAACCCAACACUUGAAAUGUCAAGAUCUUGGGUUCAAUGAGCAAAAGCACAUCAUAUGUUGUGAUAGCAAGCACUAUAUUAUUUUAAGAAGCAUCCCAUAAGGUUUGUGCUUGAUACCUGUAACAUAUAGGAAAUAUUAAGCUACUUAGUUUUUAACAGACUUAUAAAUAUUUUAGUUACAAGGACAUUAUAGAUAAGUCUACCGAUGUGAGUGUAGGAGGUGGUGUCGCUUCCUAUGUAACUUGGCUGGUUACUAAAGUGCUCAUAAAAAUAGGAUAUAGACACAGGGCCAAUCCACGUUUUGGCUAAAGAAUACUUGAGAAUUUGAAAACUUAUGUGUGAGACAUAUCCGGUUAGUCGAAUAAGGUCAUUGGUUCAAAGCUUGCCUACCAUGCCACUUGAUUAACUUUGAUGUGUUGUCACUAAGUGAAGGUUUAAGUCCAAAAGGCACCUUCAUCUAUGCAUAAGUUUUCCAAGCCUGUGCGAGAUAAUUUUUCAAAAUUCAUUUAUUUUAAAAAUGGUGGGGGAUUGUUGGAAAAAUUUUCAAAAUAAAUGGUGUCUUAUUGUAAAGAUAUGUCUAAAUAAAUAAUGUCUUAUUGUAAAGAUAUGUCUAAAUGAAUGAUGUCUUAUAGAAAAGGCAUCUUUUCACUUAAGAAUAUAACCUUCCAUGACUUUUCACUUAGAGAUGCAUCAUUUCAUGGUGAGAUUUCGUUUGAAAUGGUGAUGGUUCAAUUUGGACCAUUAAUUAAAAUUAAAUAUUGAUCUAAUGGCCACGAAUAAAUGGGUAUCAUGAAAGAUGACAACCCAAAUGAAGGGGCACAAGUAUGCCUAUAAAUAGAGGUCAUGUUUAAGUCAUUUAGACAUGAAAAUAAUGAUCCCACACUACUCUUUUCUUAUCCCUCUUUUCUAGAACGAAAUUCAACAUAAAACUCUUAUUUUUGUUCAUUAAAAAUCCAAUAUAUUGUUUUCUAUAGGAAAAAUAUAUUGUUUUCUUGGCAGGCUUGCAACAUUCAAGAGUAUUCUAGUUUGCUUUCAUCGAUACACAACGAUAAGUAAACAAACAAGUGCUUUAUUGUAUCCUGUAGGCGUAUUUGCUUAACCCAUGUGCAUCACUCAAUUGGUGGGGGCAAAUAACGUCUUAAGGAAAAUGACAUUUGAAACGUGCCUUGAAGUACACAUUAUUUUCUACAGUUUACCUAUAACUAUUAUUUUUUUCCUACAUAUAGCUUUGUAAACACAUUACUUUACAUACUAAAGUUCCACCAUUAUUAUUGUAUUUCUCUACAUUUUUCAUUCCUCACAAUUACACAAUACAACCAACAGUUUCAUGUCCUCUGCAAUUUCUUGAUCAAAACAAUUUAUAUCAGACCGGUUUCUUAAUUCUGGCCACAUUUACCAUGCCACUAAUGCGCAUCUUAUUGUAGAUACCCAGUUGCAUUUAGAAAUAUGAAAUAUUAUUAUGACUUGUAAUCGGAUAGGAUAAGCAGUAAAAAGGAAAAAAAUUGGAGCAAAGCAUGGCAAUAUUCCAAAUUUAUGACAACAGAAAAAAUAAAGUCUUUGAUAAAUGAGCAUUGCUGAAGUGACAAAAAAUUAGAUAAAACAUUGAUAAGAUAACUGUAAGCACUAAAUGGGGCCAUUUUAGUUGCUUAUUGUUUGACAAUAUAAAAUGGAUAAAGUUAGCAUUUGUCUCUUUAGUAUUUUUCUUAAUACAUAAAAGAUAAUACAACCAACUGGUAAUUGUAUAAAAUAUAUAGAUGAAUUUAAUAUAAGUAAGAUUUCUAUGGUGGUUUUUUCAAAUUAAAUGCAUACGUGGCAAAUUCUAGAAUUUCUCAUGGUUUGAUUUUGUAAAGAGAAAUGAUAAAGGAACAAAGGGGAGACAAAGGGAUGACAGAAACGGUAGCCUGCCGUUUCACAUGUUCCUUCAUCCAAUUUUGUUCCUUUAGUGGGACCGACAAUAAAUAGUAAAAUAAAGAAUAAAAAGUUCUCCACUCACUUCGGCCCCUCCACUUGUUCUUCACGUGUUGCUUUCUCCACUCAUCCCCUCUAAAAUGCACUGAAUUUUUGCAUAAUAUUUGAUUUCAAUAUUAGUUCUGCAUUUUGCAUAAUGUUUAAUUUAAAUGCCGAUAUUGAUCAAUUUAUACCUAUAAAGAAGUAAUUAGUGAUGAUUUGUUUUGUUUAUACAUAUUAAGAGGAUAGUUACUAAACUUUUCACUCUAGCAAUUCUAUAUUAAUAGGAUCCGGAGAUGCAUGCUUAGAAAUUUAAAUUUAUUACUACUUUUAAGGAACACAGUUCUUACUAAUAUUUUUCAUUUUGCAUAUAAUUAGGAUUAGGAAUGCAAGAAGUAAUUUGGGCAUAUUAUAUUUUGAUAUGAAUUUUUCCAAUAUAGAAACCAAAUGCCUACUCAAAGCUAUUAUGUUGUUUUCAAAGGACAAAAGCCGAGCAUAUAUAAUUCUUGGCCUGAAUGCCAGAAGCAAGUAAAUAAAUUCAAAGGGAAUGCUUAUAUGUAUGUAUGUAUGUAUGUAUGUAUGUAUGCAUUUUACAGAAUUAUCAUAUCUAUAUUAAUUACGUGAUUUGUGAUAAUUUUUGUGUGAUAAGUUGAUUUGGGAAAUAUUGUAUUAAUGCUUAAAUGCAUUGAACUUUUAGCUCUAAAAUGCACUGAAUUUUUGCAUAAUAUUUGAUUUCAAUAUUAGUUUUGUAUUUUGCAUAAUGUUUAAUUUAAAUGUCGAUAUUGAUCAAUUUAUACCUAUUAAGAAGUAAUUAGUGAUGAUUUGUUUUGUUUAUACAUAUUAAGAGGAUAGUUACUGAACUUUUCACUCUAGCAAUUCUAUAUUAAUAGGAUCAUGAGAUGCAUGCUUAGAAAUUUAAAUUUAUUUACUACUUUUAAGAAACACAGUUCUUACUAAUAUUUUGCAUUUUGCAUAUAAUUAGGAUUAGGAAUGCAAGAAGUAAUUUGGGCAUAUUAUAUUUUAUAUGAAUUUUUCCAAUGUAGAAACCAAAUGCCUACUCAAAAUUGUUAUGUUGUUUUCAAAGGACGAAAGCUGAGCAUAUAUAAUUCUUGGCCUGAAUGUCAGAAGCAAGUAAAUAAAUUCAAAGGGAAUGCUUAUCAAUCUUAUAAAUCUUUGUUGGAUGACGAAACAACAUAUAAUGAGCACAAAUAAAUGCAUGAAAAAUUGCCAGAGUCAUCCAAUACGUUAGAAAGUACAAAAUUUAUUUUGGAAAAAUGUGAAAAGGGAAAAGAUGCAUUAGCAUAUUUAUUUUCUGACUUGCCGUUACAGCCACAUGCAAUAAUAAGUGCAUAUUUUCCAUAUAUUUUGCUAUUAAUUUCUCUAUCUUUUUCUUGUUUUGGUCUUAAAUAUUCUAGUUAUUUUAGUUAAUUUUUAAUUUAGUAAAUUAUAUUUUAUUGUGUUAAUUUUUAUCUUAGUUUUAUUUAUUUUGUUAUUUUAGGUAUAUUUUGGAAUUAAAGAGAAAUUAAAUCAGAGCAUUUAAGAAGAGAUCUGCUUGAAGGAAUUAGAAAAGGGAAAUAAUUAGAGAUUUUUGGAAACCAAGAAAACCGAAGCCAACAAAGUUAAUUCAUGCAUAUUCAGAAGAUUAUGACCAUCACGUGGAGAUUAAAGAGGGAAUUGAAUUUAAUUCAAUUUGGCGGCUUCAUUUAAUUGGAAUCAAGAAUCUUAAAGGGUAAUAACAUGUGCAAGCAUUAAAGUGGCUUUGGCUUGCUCAUUGGUUAAUAUGUGAAGCAAAUUGAACAAAAAAAAAAAAAAAAAGGAAAUCGCCAUAUUUUAUGCACGUGAAUUGCCUAAACAAUUGGUGGACAAAGCAUUGGAAAUAAAGAAUUGAAAUGGAACGUGCAUGGCAUUGAAUUAUGGAAAGCAAAGUGAAACAAAAAGGGAAAAUGGCCUUGCACGUGAAUCCAAAGAAAAGUGGCGGCUUUACUUUUGUUUUUAAUCCUUUUCAUGAGAGGAUUUAGAGCAUUAUAAAAGGAGAGCUGCCAGAGAGCAAAAGAGGGGGGAAUCGGGAGAAGAGAAGAGCAGCAACUGCAAGUUUGGAGCAAAACCGAUCUAGAGGCAAUUCGGCAGCAAGAGGAAAAUCGACAGCCGCUUGAAUUAAUCUCCAUGAUUGGUUUUGUCAAUUCUCUUAUUUCCAAUUCAAUUAUGUUAGGCUAGAUUUUUUAUUUGGUUGAGGGUGAAUUCAAAACCCUAAACAUGCUAUGCAAUUAAAUUUAAAUUCUAUCAUUCAAAUUAUUUAAUUGAGAUUGUUUAUGUUCUUCUAUAAUUAAUGUUCAUGGUUUAUUCUUGUUUUAUUUGAGUGGUCAAUUAGAUAGAACUUGAAUAAAUUUUAUUGCUAGAUUAAAAUUGUUGAUCCGUAAUUGUCUUGAGAUUUUAAUCAUAAGUAGCAGGUUGGAAUUUGUGAUUUCUGUUGUGCAAAUUUUAAUGUACUCGCAAGCGCACGAAUCUAUUGUAGUAUAGACUAAUGGUGACGAGUGUCGAUCCCACGAGGAGGUGGAUUUUAAUUAUGUGUAUAGAAUUAAUUUUGUAAAUGGGUUGUUGGAUUUAUGGUGGAAAUGAUUUGGAAUAUGCUAAGACUUAAAUUAAAAUGGCGAGAAUAAAUUCUAAAAUUGGAAUUGCAAUGGAGAGAAUAAAUUGAAGAGAAAAUCUAUUAAAUUGACGUACUUGGGUAUCUGGAUCCGUAUCAACAUGCAUCAUGGGCUAAAUAAUCCGUAUUAAUGCCAAUUAAAUCAUGAGGGGGAAUCCAUACUUCAUGAACCACGCUCUAAUCAAUAUGGUGCUAAGGGCUUAUCGUGCCAAAUAAUAAUAACCUUAUACUAGAGAGCCGGUGUAACCAAGGCGGUAUCUAGACAAGACUAUUAUUAUUUGUCGACGAGAAGUCAAAACAUCCACAAAAAUUAGAGGGGAAGAGAAAAUAAAUUUACCAAAUUAAGCCCAUGACACAUGUUGAGACUUCACCUUCAACCCAAGCUUGAAAGAAAAUUAGCCACUCAUAGUUGAACUAGGGGCAAAAUGAAAAUUUAUUAAAAUACGAAGAAAAUACAAGAUGGAGAAGGAAUUACAGAAAAUGGAUCCCAAAAAUGGAUUCAGAGAUAUCAAAUUAGGGGGGGAGGCCCCCUUUUUAUAGAUACAUGGAGUAAAUCAUGGCCAUCGGAUUAAAAACAGUUUGGACGCUCAGGAUUGCGCCACGUCAUCAGUCAACAGUCCACGGUUUGACCACGCGGAUGAACAUUAACAUGGUUUGACUCGGAUGAACAGUAACACGGUUUGGUUGAAAAUAAUCAUGUGUGAUGCAUGUACCGUACGCGAGAUUUUUCAUCCACUGAUAUGCUGCCACGUCACCAUCAACAGUACAUAAGAAUUUUAGCCCAACAGGAUCGUGACAACUCAUCAGUCAAUGCCACAUCAUCGGUCAAUGUCACAUCAUCGAUCCGUCUAUGUGAACAGUGUUGUGAACAGUAACGUAGUUAAUACCGUACAUAUGAAUAGUGCCAUUUUUCCUUUUAUGCUCCUCCUAAGGUUUUCGACCGUCCUGAGUUCAAAAACGAUGUCCGUUUUGCCGUCUGAUCUCUCCUUUAUUGUGAAAUGACUAUAAUGCCCCUAAAAUACAUAAAAUACUUAAUUAAAAUAAAACACAUGUAAUUAAAUCACAAGAAGGUUAAAUACAUAAAAGUAAUGGUUGUUAGUAAGACUUGAAAUGUAAAAUGAUGGUUUUCUCCUUUAUAAAUAUGCAUUUUCUAACACUCAACACACCCCCCAACCAGCUUAUUGCUAGUCCCUAGCAAAUAAAGCGAAAACAAAAUUCAAAUUCAAAAUAUUUUUUUUUAAUAGAAACACUCGUAUUUAUUCAAUUAGAUUAAUGAUAGCAAUCAAAUAAAAGUAUAAGCAUUAUCUCCAAUCUAAAGUAACAUCACACCCACAUCAACCAUCCACAUGAAUCAACCCAGUAGACUUUGUUAUAGCUACUUUUAAGAAUGACAUGUCAAACCCCAAAAUCUCACUGGAAGUAGUGACAGUCUCACAAAGAAAUUAAACCCAAUAAAAAUAGUCACUCCAAUGAAUGAUAAUUGAGAGAAAAUAAUGAAGAAGUGAUAUCACAUGCUCUCACCAAGAUGAAAUAAAUAUGCCCUCAGCUUAAAAAUAAUACGAUCUCAAGUCAAAUAAAAACUGUUAGUCAACCCAAUUUAUUUAUUUUUUUUAUAUGCACCACUACAUCUUUUUAGCCCAUAUAACUAGCUUCUACUUCAAAUUAUAGUUCCCUAAAAUCAGGAAGGACUUUUAUUAGGAUGUAACGUAGGCUAGGGACAUGGUUAACAAAGAAAGGAAAUAAGGAAAACAAAGUGUAUGUUUGAGAAAAAUGCAGAGAAUUUUUUUUUUUUUUUUGGAAGUUGCAAGGUGGAUUUCACUUAUUAUUGUUAUUUUUAUUCUUUUGAAACAACAACUUUUGUUUUGUUGUUUUUUUUUUUUUUGCUUUUUGGCAUAACUUCACUGAACAAAAUAAUUAUUUACAUUUUCUCAAACAUAAAUAGGUGAUGGAACUUAUAAGGCAUCGGGUAAUACUCCAAAUCAGAGUGGGUCAAGAUGAUAAGUUGACAAAGAAAAUAUAUAUAUAUAUAUAUAUAUAUAUAUAUUUUUAAAGGCUCAAAAUGGUUAACUAUGGAUAUUUAAUAAAAGGGAUGGCUAGAAAGGCUCAAACGAAUCAAAGAUGGCCUUUCCAUCGUCUUUUAGGGCUCUAAAUAAUCAUCCAUAUCUACUAGUUAGAUGGGCCUCCCAAUGUAGCAACACACUUUUUUUUUCUUUUUUUUUUAAGGGUUAACUCAAAAGAAAUCUAGAGAUCGUGUAUACAAUAAUAAAUUGUUAAGUUGUAUAAAGAAUGGGCAAAAGGGUUACUCUCCAAGAAAAAUAAUAGGCUCAAAAACUCACUUGGUACUUAUUAUGACAUGUUCAUUCCUUCAAGCAACUCAUAUUUGUCUCCGACAUCAACAUGUAGAGUAGCAAACAUAGCGUAACAUCACUUGAGACCAAAGAUAAUACAAAUACUAAAAUUUGAAAUUAAUCAUGUCAUUCAAUGUUAAAACAAAUCACACAAUUUUUUUUUAAACAACAUUCUACCCCCCAACCUAUUCUAAACAUGAAAGGAAAAUAUGCAUGCAGAAAUGUGAAAAUGAUGCAUAAAAACUAAUUAGAAAAGUUACACGUAAAAUAAUAGAAAACGAAAAUUUUUUUUUUUAAAGAAUAUGCGUUUCUAGGGGAACUACACUCCAUAUUCAGCCAUCUUCGACUCACAAGUUGGAAAAUGUAUAUUUAUAGAGGAGAAAUUAAAAAGAAGAAAAAUAAACAUAAAAACAUAAUAAAGAAAAAGAAAAUGUCUGAAAUUUUUUUUUUUAAUUUUUUUUUUUACGAUGAAGAUGCGUUUCUAGAGUCACUACACUCCAUAUUCAGCCAUCUUCGACACAAAAAGUUAGCAACAAUUAGUUUCUACAACAAAAAUUAGUAAAAACUUAACCAAAAUUCCACAAUUGUCGACUAUUCCCUCCCCCCAACCAGAACGAAACAUUGUCCUCAAUGUUUGAAAGGAAAGAAAUAGAGUUUAGAAGACAUCACUUGGGUGGUGCAACACAGAAAACAAUAUUUACAAGCGGAGAGUUAAAUCUAAUUUGUACUUCUUACUGCGGCUACUGUUACCAUCAUUAUUUGGGCGCUCCAACACAAAGGUCCAGGGGUCUGGCUCCUGUUUAUAAGCUUGUAACAUAUCAAGUAGCUCAUUAGCAGUGUGAGCACAAAUAAAAAGUUUUUUCACAUUAGAAGGAAUGAAAUAGUUUUUUAUUGCAUGGUUAAGAAAUGCAAUAAAGACAUCAUAAAAGUUAUUGACAUUUAACAAACCGAUGGGUUUUUGGUGGAUGUGCAGAUGGGCCCAAGAUGCUAGCGUGAUAAGUGCCUCUAGUGUUACAAGAUCUCCUGGAAGGAAAAUAAAAGCAUCAGCAUGAUUAAGCAUUUCAGUUAUUCUUUCUUGCAUACCUGAGACGACUAACUCUUCUCCAGUUGAUGAGUCAGACGAACUGCCCAAUGGUUUUAAGACUCUUAGGAUGAUGCCUAACACUUGACUUCCUCUGAUAAAAGCUGCUUCUGAGACCAUUUUUGAUAACCCUCGAUUACCUCCUUCAUACACCAAGUGUAAUUUUCUCGCUGCUAUGCUUCGACCAAGAUCUAUGGCUGCCUCAACGAACUCUUUAUGUUUGCCAUAUGUAAAUCCAGAAAGCACACAAAUGUUCUUGAAUUGUCUAUUGGGAGUAGCUGACAUUGUGAUACUUCUCAAAAACAAUUUGUGAGUGCUUGACAAAAAAAAAAAUCACAUUUAAGAGUCUCGGUGAUAGUGGGUCAUGGUUGUGUAUGAGGUAAUAUGUCAGUGUCAAAUAAUGCGUAAAGCACGUGGCUCGCAAGUCAAAAAGAAAACAGUAAAAAGGAAAAAGCAAACAGUAAUAAAAUUAUUAAAGACAAUAAUGCAAACAAUAAGACAAUAGUGAAAUAAAAUAACAAUAAAGUAAAAGGAUAUUUACAGGUAGUUGCGACUGUGGCUCACAUCUUCCUCUGGUUUUACGUCCAGAAACGGCUUGAACGCCCUCUAUGGGUCGAGGAUAGGCUUCUUAUCCAGUUUUCUUAUAAACUGGCAAACAGGGUCGUUUAUAGUCAGAUUCCCGAGACUAUAUCGUGCAUGCUCUUUCUGGAAUAAUGGCCAUAACUGGAGAAUUGCUCCUUGCACAUAUCCACUGGGAUGCGUUUCAAGAGACAAAAGGAUAUCAUCCAAUGACUCCUUAUUCAAGCCAUCCCUAAUGAAUUGAAUCUUAUCUUCCCUGUUAUCAGACACCAUUCCUAAAGAACAUGGGUUUUUAUUACAACUCAUUCUGGCACACUUAUGAGUUAUGACAAGCAACAGAAAUUCUUCGAGCUCGUCGUCUUCUUGCAUAAUUUCCUUUACCACAACCAGGCAUGAAUGCAAUAAAUUUUGGAGGUAACUCACCUGCCAAUCGUACUUUAGCCUCGAUUAACCAACGGAUGUCAGCAGGUAUGUUAUUCCUCAUGAGUAAUCGCAUGCGUUCGGACCGAGCUUUAUAGAUCGUAAGGAGGGCAUUCUGAGGAAGUGAAGGGAAUUGCUUGUGAAGCUUCGCUAGAAUCUCGUUUCUGUCCAUACUUUCGCCUCAGAAUAUCAGUUAUUAUGGGAAACUGAAGUAACCGACUUGAUUGUCACGGAGUACCGUUAUCCGCCACUUCACCGGGGUAACAAACUAAAGCACACAAACAGAAAAACAAAUUAAAACACACAAAGAAAAUUAAAAUCGUCCUCUUAUUGAAUUUACCUCAAGCUCUAACUGGAUGUCGUAAACACUUCUCUCAAUGUCUCUGAGUUGGCUUUCUAAACCCUCAACAUAGGCUACUAACUCUAGUGGUUGUAGAGCCCAAAUGCGAUGUGUUUUACAAAAUUGAAUCUGCCUUUUGAGAUGAGUUUUGACACGUUGAAGUGGUUUAAGAAUGUUCAGGAGGAACGGUCUAAGUAAGGUACUCAUGAUUAAAAACGAUAAAAGAAAACUUAAUAGUUAAACAAACACACUUAUGCAAAAAUAAUUUUAAUUAGCAGAAGAAUAAUAUAAAGAAAGAAAAAAAAUCAAAUCAACGAAAAGAAAAAAAAAUCAAUUCAAAUCUGGUGGGUCACUCAAAUUUACUUCGGUGUCUUCUCCAUGUGGUUGGUAUUCUAGAUAUGACUUUAAUCUUUGACCAUUAACUUUAAAUGUGACACCAUUCUUUGGGUCCUUAAUUUCAAUUGCCCCAUGUGGAAAAACAGUAUGAACAAUAAAUGGGCCAGACCAACGAGAGCGUAACUUACCUGGGAAUAGGUGCAAGCAAGAAUUGAAUAAAAGCACUUUCUGACCUGGAGUGAAUGAUUUUCUCAUAAUUUGCUUAUCAUGGAAGACUUUCAUUCGUUGCUUGUAAAUCUUGGCAUUUUCGUAUGCAUCAUUGCGAAUUUCUUCAAGUUCUGCCAGUUGUAAUCUUCUUUCUAAGCUGGCUUGCUGCAUGUCAAAAUUGAAUUUCUUGAUGGCCCAAUAUGCACGAUGCUCGAGUUCCACAGGUAGGUGGCAAGCUUUUCCAUAUACUAGCCUGUAGGGUGACAUCCCAAUCGGGGUCUUGAAAGCCGUUCUAUAUGCCCAUAAGGCAUCAUCAAGUCUUAAUGACCAAUCUUUUCUAUCCGGCCUCACUGUCUUUUCUAAUAUGUGCUUUAUUUCUCGAUUGGAAAUCUCAACUUGGCCACUGGUUUGCGGAUGAUACGGGGCCGCCACUUUGUGUGUGAUUGAAUACUUUGUCAAAAGAGCUUUGAAUGCUUUGUUACAAAAGUGGUCACCACCAUCACUGAUUAUUGCUCGAGGGAAUCCAAAGCGCGAGACAAUGUUGCUUUUCAAAAAUCCUAUCACCACCUUGUGAUCAUUGGUCCUACAUGGAAUUGCUUCUACCCAUUUUGAUACAUAGUCAACAGCAACCAAUAUGUAUUGAUGGCCAAAAGAAGGGGGAAAGGGUCCUAUGAAGUCGAUACCCCAUACGUCAAAAAUCUCAACCACUAAAAUUGGAUUUAGUGGCAUCAUGUUCCUUCGUGUAAUGCUUCCCAUUCGUUGACACCUAUCACAUGAAGAACAAAAAGUGUAAGCAUCUCGAAAUAUAGUUGGCCAAUAAAAACCACAUUGUAAAACUUUAGUUACUGUUUUCUUAGCACUGAAAUGGCCUCCACAAGCUUGUUCAUGGCAGAAUGAAAGAAUAUUCUGAAUUUCAUUUUCUGGGACGCAUCGUCUAACAAUUUGGUCUGCACAAUACUUGAACAAAUACGGGUCACCCCAAAAGAAAUUCUUUAUUUCUACAAAGAAUUUAGCCUUGUCUUGCUUGGUCCAAUGCUCUGGAAGUUUACCUGUAACAAGAUAAUUAACUAUAUGAGCAUACCAAGGUAAUACUUCCACAUUCAUUAAUUGUUCAUCUGGAAAUGACUCAUUCAAUGGUAAUGAUUCUGUAAUUGUGUCAAAAUGGAGACGAGAGAGGUGGUCCGCCACAACAUUCUCUGUGCCUUUCUUAUCUUUGAAUUCCAAGUCAAACUCCUGCAAAAGUAACACCCAACGAAUUAGUCUGGCGUUUGCAUCUUUCUUUGUGAGAAGAUAUUUAAGAGCAGCAUGAUCCGUGAAUAUAAUUAUUUUACAACCAAUGAGAUAUGAUCGAAAUUUUUCCAAUGCAAACACUACUACUAGCAUUUCUUUUCAGUAGUUGAAUAGUUCAACUGUGCAUCAUUUAAUGUCAUACUAGCAUAGUAAAUAACGUGGGGAAUUCGAUCAACUCUUUGUCCUAAUACUGCUCCUACUGCAUAAUCAGAUGCAUCACACAUUAGCUCAAAUGGUAAGCUCCAGUUUGGGGCCUGAAUGAUGGGUGAUGAUGUCAACAACUGUUUUAAUUUUUCAAACGCCAUAAGACAUGAAUCAUUAAAGAUAAAAGGUACAUCCUUAGCAAGUAAAUUGCAUAAGGGUCUAGAAACUUUGCUAAAAUCUUUAAUAAAACGUCUAUAGAAACCAGCAUGCCCAAGGAAAGAUCUUACUUCUCUGACUGUUUUGGGUGGAGGAAGAUUAGAAAUGAGAUCUACCUUGGCUUUGUCAACCUCAAUACCUUUGCUCGAAAUGAUGUGACCGAGAACAAUACCUUGUUUUACCAUAAAAUGGCAUUUCUCCCAAUUUAAGACCAAGUUCUUCUUGAUACAUCUCUGCAGAACUAGUGUUAGAUGAUGUAAGCAUUGAUCAAACGAAUCACCAAAGACAGAAAAGUCAUCCAUAAAGACUUCAAGGAAUCGUUCCACCAUAUCAGAAAAAAUGCUCAACAUGCAUCGUUUAAAUGUAGCAUGUGCAUUACAUAAUCCAAAUGACAUUCUCCUAUAUGCAAAUGUGCCAAAAGGGCAAGUGAAAGUAGUUUUCUCUUGAUCUUUUGGUGCUAUGGGAAUCUGAUUAUAUCCUGAGUAACCAUCUAGAAAGCAAUAAAAUUCAUGGCCUGCUAAUCUAUCAAGCAUUUGAUCAAUAAAUGGUAAAGGAAAAUGGUCUUUACGUGUGACAGAAUUCAACUUCCUAUAAUCAAUGCAUACACGCCAUCCUGUAGUUACUCUAGUGGGUAUCAAUUCAUUAUCAGCAUUGGUAACUACUGUGACUCCUGACUUUUUGGAGACAACUUGUACAGGACUGACCUAUGAACUAUCAGAAAUUGGGUAAAUGAUACCUGCAUCUAAUAGCUUAAGGACUUCUGUUCUAACAACUUCUUUCAUAUUAGGAUUUAACCGACGUUGCAUUUCCCUAGUAGAUUUAGCAUUUUCAUCAAGGUGAAUGUAAUGCAUGCAGUCUAUUGGAUUUAUACAUUUUAUGUCUGCUAUGGUCCAUCCUAAUGCUCCUUUGUGCUCUUUUAAAACAUCCAACAACUUACUUUUUUGUUCGUCAUUUAGGGAUGAUGAGAUAAUUACCGGCAGAGUACUUUCUUCUCCCAAAAAUACAUAUUCCAGAGUGUUGGGUAAUGGUUUGAGCUCGAGUUUCGGUGGUGAUUCUGAUGAUGGGAUGAGUUUCUUCUCUGAUGGUGCUAGUUGUUCAACUCUUGACUUCCAUUUAUUAGCGUCCAUGGAUGGUGCUGAGUCAAGCAGGGCGUUGACCUCAUCAACCGAUCUGUCAAUAUCAAAAUCAAAACCAAAGUGAGUUAAACAUGUUUGUAAAGGAUCAUCACUAAGGUUUGAAACAAAAGUAUCAUCAACUAAUGCUUCAAUUAAAUCCACAUCAACAAUUCCAUCAUCUGCACUGUGAGAUUGUUUGGCAAUGUUGAAGAUGUUCAGCUCCAUAGUCAUGUUGCCGAAGGACAACUGCAUAUUUCCGGUCCUGCAUUGAAUGUGAGCAUCCGCAGUUGCCAAGAAAGGUCGGCCUAGAAUAAUGGGGAUGUGCUUCCUUGAAUCCUGUAUUGGUUGAGUGUCAAUUACAAUGAAAUCAACAGGAAAAUAGAACUUGUCUACCUGGAUAAACACGUCCUCCACAAUACCACAAGGUAUUUUCGUGGACCGAUCUGCAAGCUAUAACACUACUGGAGUUGGGUGUAAUUCUCCCAGUCCAAGUUUCACGAAUACAGAGUAAGGCAAAAGAUUUACACUAGCUCCUAAAUCCAACAAAGCAUUCUCAAUUGUGUGGUUCCCUAUGCUACAUGAAAUGGUAGGGGAGCCUGGGUCUUUGCAUUUUAAAGGAAUUUUAUGUUGGAGGAUAGAACUAACGUUUUCUGUUAAAAAUGCCUUCUUUUGAACAUGCAUGUUUCUCUUUUUAGUACAAAGGUCUUUAAGAAACUUGGCAUAAGAUGGAACUUGUUUAAUAGCAUCAAGUAAAGGGAUGUUAACACUUACCUGUUUGAAGAUUUCAAGAAUCUCACCUGUGGAUUUUCCCUUCUUGCCUUUAGCUAACCUAUGGGGGAAUGGAGCUUUGGGAACGUAUUCUCGUGGGUUGAUUUCUUCUUUCUCCUCCAGUGAUGAGUCGUCAACAUUUAUAGGUACAAUUUGAUUUUCUUUUUUCGCCGGCAUCUCCACUUUGUUGUCGACUUCUUUUCCUUUUCGCAAGGUCAUGACUGCUUUGACCUCUCCAUGCUGUUGUGGUGAACUAGUACUUGCUUCAUGCACUCCUUUAGGGUUAGGCACUGGUUGACUUGGAAACUUGCCUUUCUCAACAGUCAUUGCCAAGGUCUGAACUGAAGAAGCAAGUUGUCCCACCAUCUUCUCGAGGCUUGAAACUGAUUGAGCUUGUGAGUUGAAGCCUGCUCUCAACUCAUUUCGUAGUCCAUCAAUGGUGCGGUUCUGUUGCUCAAUCGUGGAGUGAGUAACAUUCCUGAAAUUCUGGAAUGCAUCCUCCCAUGGUCUAGGUUGAGAGUGGUUCUGGUUCUGAUUGUAUGGUCUAAAUGGUGGCUGAGAGGCUUGAGGAUUUUGUGGAAUUGGUGGAGCUGGAGCUGCUGGUCCGUUCUGUUGGAAUCCUUGAGACCAUGAAAAAUUGGGGUGGUCUCUCCAUCCAGGGUUAUAUGUGUUGGAGUAUGGGUUGUAAUUCGAUGGUUUUCUCAUUACACCUAUGGCAUUGGCUUGAUCUGAGUAUGAGUCAUGGUCAUGUGGCUCUGUUGAUUUAGCAGUCGAUAAUGAUGCUAUUUGUCGAGAGAGACCUUCAAUUAUCGCUUUGACUUCUUUAAUUUCUGAACUUGAUUCGCCAAUGUGAACCUCAUUUACUCCCUUAAUUCUUCUAGUAUUCCUGAGUGAUCGACUCCGUUGUUGGGAAUUAUCCGCUUGUCGCUGGAAGAAUUCCCAAAUCUCUGAUGCACUUUUUGACAUUAGCUCUCCUCCACUUGUUGCCAUUAACCAUUCUUGCACAUUCGGUAGUAAUCCCUCCAAAAAGUAUUGACAUUGGUGCCAUUUCUCGUACCCAUGAUGUGGACACUUCAAGAGUAGCCCAUUGAAUCGCUCCCAUGUUUCGAAAAACUGCUCGUCUUCUCUUUGAGUAAACUCUGAGAUUUCCCUGCGAAUAGCAUUGGUUUUAUGCACUGGGAAAUAUUUAUUUAAAAAUUUUGUUACCAUUUGUUCCCAUGAUGUGAUGCUAUUAGCAGGUAAAGUAUUUAACCAUGAACGAGCUCUAUCUUUUAAAGAAAAUGGGAAUAAUCUAAGUUUAACAUCAUCGUCUGAAAAAUUCUCGUAUUUAAAAGUUUAACAAAUAGCAUGAAAAUCAUUCAGAUGAUUAUAUGGGUCCUCAUUUUCUAGGCCAUAAAAUGUGGAGAGACAAUUUAGCACACUAGGUUUUAGUUCAAAGCUCCUAACAGUUACAUUUGGGUAUCUUAUACAUGAUGUGCUCAAAUUUGCUAAAGGACUGAAAUAAUCCUUAAAUGGCCUCUCCUGUGGUUGCAAAUCCAUUUUAUUUUUAAUUUGUUUGUGUGUGCGAAGUGUUUUCUCAAGUUCAAGGUCUAUAGGUUCAAGAUUGGGUAAUAAUGACCUUCGACCAUGCAUGCAAAACAAAUAAAAUAAAAAAAUAAAGAUGGGAACAAAAUAAAUAAAAAUAAAAAAGAGGGAGAAAUUACGAUACUAACCUUAUUACGCUAUUAAAACCUUUCUAUAAAAUACACAAAAAUAAAUACGUGAAAUAAAUUAACUAAAAAUAAAUUAAUAAGAUAAACAAAAAAAUUACAAAGAAAAAUAAAUUGAAAAUUAAAUUACAGAAUUUUAAAGAAGAGAAAAAGAAAAAAAAAUACUAACCUUUAAAUGUAGAUUCACUUUUUUUUCUUUUCUCUUUUUUUUAAGAAAAAAAAAUACAAGAAAAUAAUUUAAAUGGAAUUAUUCACAAAAAUUAAUUCUAUGAAUUAAAAUUACUUACCUCCCCGGCAACGGCGCCAAAAACUUGUUGUGCAAAUUUUAAUGUACUCGCAAGCGCACGAAUCUAUUAUAGUAUAGACUAAUGGUGACGAGUGUCGAUCCCACGAGAAGGUGGAUUUUAAUUAUGUGUAUAGAAUUAAUUUUGUAAAUGGGUUGUUGGAUUUAUGGUGGAAAUGAUUUGGAAUAUGCUAAGACUUAAAUUAAAAUGGCGAGAAUAAAUUCUAAAAUUGGAAUUGCAAUGGAGAGAAUAAAUUGAAGAGAAAAUCUAUUAAAUUGACGUACUUGGGUAUCUGGAUCCGUAUCAACAUGCAUCAUGGGCUAAAUAAUCCGUAUUAAUGCCAAUUAAAUCAUGAGGGGGGAAUCCACACCUCAUGAACCACGCUCUAAUCAAUAUGGUGCCAAGGGCUUAUCGUGCCAAAUAAUAAUAACCUUAUACUAGAGAGCCGGUGUAACCAAGGCGGUAUCUAGACAAGACUAUUAUUAUUUGUCGACGAGAAGUCAAAACAUCCACAAAAAUUAGAGGGGAAGAGAAAAUAAAUUUACCAAAUUAAGCCCAUGACACAUGUUGAGACUUCACCUUCAACCCAAGCUUGAAAGAAAAUUAGCCACUCAUAGUUGAACUAGGGGCAAAAUGGAAAUUUAUUAAAAUACAAAGAAAAUACAAGAUGGAGAAGGAAUUACAGAAAAUGGAUCCCAAAAAUGGAUUCAGAAAUAUCAAAUUAGGGGGGGGAGGCCCCCUUUUUAUAGAUACAUGGAGUAAAUCAUGGCCAUCAGAUUAAAAACAGUUUGGACGCUCAGGAUUGCGCCACGUCAUCAGUCAACGGUUUGACCACGUGGAUGAACAGUAAUACGGUUUGACUCGGAUGAACAGUAACGCGGUUUGACUUGGGUGAACAGUAACGCGGUUUGGUUGAAAAUAAUCCUGUGUGAUGCAUGUACCGUACGCGAGAUUUUUCAUCCACUGAUAUGCUGCCACGUCACCAUCAACAGUACAUAAGAAUUUUAGCCCAACAAGAUCGUGACAACUCAUCAGUCAAUGCCACAUCAUCGGUCAAUGCCACGUCAUCGAUCCGUCUAUGUGAACAGUGUUGUGAACAGUAACGUAGUUAGUACCGUACACGUGAAUAGUACCAUACAUAUGAAUAGUGCCAUUUUUCCUUUUAUGCUCCUCCUAAGGUUUUCGACCGUCCUGAGUUCAAAAGCGAUGUCCGUUUUGCCGUCUGAUCUCUCUUUUAUUGUGAAAUGACUAUAAUGCCCCUAAAAUACAUAAAAUACUUAAUUAAAAUAAAACACAUGUAAUUAAAUCACAAGAAGGUUAAAUACAUAAAAGUAAGGGUUGUUAGUAAAACUUGAAAUGUAAAAUGACGGUUUUCUCCUUUAUAAAUAUGCAUUUUCUAACACUCAACAAUUUCAAUUGAAGAACAUAACCUAGGUUAAAUAAUCCGAGCUUGUGUGUUUAUUGCCUAGAUCAACCUAAUAUCUUUCUCUAUUUAAUGCUUCCAUUAUCUUAAAUUUAAAGAGCUUGUUUUAAAUUAUUUAAUGGUUAGAGAUUAGGUGAAGAGCUUAUUUUGCCUAACGACACACUAAGGAAAGGUUGAGACUAACAGAGCUUAUUGUUGUCUACGGUUGAUAGUCUUAAUAUAAAUUGAUAAUAGAAUUGAUAUAUUAUGUGCAUGUUUGGUGGUGGCGAAUGAUCCUUUAACCAAAGUUUUCAUUAUUAUUAUUUCUUUCUCCUUUAAUUAGAGUUUUUAUUAAAUUCUUGUUCGUAGUUUUAAUUUCUUUACUUCUUACUAUUUAGUUAAAAAUUCAUAAACCCCCUUUUUAUUUAUAAUUGGCAUUUUCUUUAGUUAGAUUAAUUUAUAUUAAUAUUACUAUUAUUAUUACUACUAUUAUUUUAUUUUAAAUCUUGCUUUAGAGUUGAUAAUAAAUAUAACUACAUAGUCUUUGUGGGAUCGAUCCUUACUCGCUCUGUACUAAUUAUUUAUAUUAGUGGUAAGGUUUUAAAUUUGGUGCACCUUAAUGACACUAUCAUGCAAAUAUUUUAUAUUUGACAAUCCCAUUAGUUCCUUUCUUAGUACUUCGAACCUUCCCAAAAAACCCUUCUUAUUUACCAUAGGCUUCGUAAAAUACAAACAUUUCUUCAUUACUAGCAAAUAACAUUCCAACUAUUGACUCAUAUUUUUUUGGUUGCACAAUUCCAACUGCAUUGUCAGCUCCUGUUUCUUCUAACUCUUCAAAUGCAUGCCCAUUUUCCAAAUUCUCCAUUUCUACAAAAUAAUUAACAUUUGCAUUAAGAAUAAGUAAUUAUAAAUUUGUAUUACAUUUUUGUCCAAUAACAAAAAUCCUAACAAUUUAAAUAUAUGAAACACAUCGACUAAUUUUUUAUAAAUUUAUUCCAUUAUUUCCAACUAUCUAAAUUUAAAAAAAAAUUCUAACAAUUUAAAUAUAUAAAACACAUCAAAAUAUUGUUCUAAAUUUAAUCGAUUACUUUCUAACAAUUUAAAUUAAAAAAAUCCUAACAAUUUAAAUAUAUAAAAUGCAUCCACAAUUUUUUAUAAUUUAUUCCAUUAUUUCCAGCAAUUAAAAUAAAAAAAAUCCAACAAUUUAAAUAUAUAAAACACAUCCAAAAAUUGUUAUAAAUUUAAUCCAGUACUUUUUAUCAAUUCAAACUAAAAAAUAUAUAUAACAAUUCAUAACAAUUUAAACAUAUAAAACGCACGCAUCCAAGAAUUUUUACAAAUUUAAUCCUUCACUUUCUAACAAUUUAAACUGAAAAAAAUUCUAACAACUUAAAUAUAUAGAACACAACCAAAAAUUAAUUUUAUUUUAAUGUAAUGGGAAAGUGAAAGUUAGCAAUUAUCCCGCUACAAUUUCAUCAAUGUUGUUGGUGUGUAGUCUUUGGUACCAUGAAUGCAGAUCUUCGGAUAAUGGCCACUGAUUUUACUUCAAUUUUCUUUUAUUAAUGCAAAUGCAACUAUGAGUUCGUCAGUUUGGCUUCGUCGAGUUUGAGGAAUAAUGACGAUUUUAGCUUUUGUCAUUACUUUUUUAUUUUAUCAUUUACUUUUCGUUACUUUUGAUUCUCUUUUCAUUAUUUUAAUAUUUUUUUUCAUAUUCUAUCAUCCCUUUGUCUUCCCUUUGUUCAUUUAGCACGAUUCUUCCCUUACAUAUUAUUUGCUUACAAUAUUAAUCCAAUCAAAAGUGGAUUAAGCUGAUUAAUAAGAGAGCUUCUUAUUAAUAAUAAUAAUAAGAAGACACAAAAUUAAUAUAACCAAUGAUAAAGUGCUUUAUUGGCUAUAAACUAUAUAUACAUAUACAUAUAUGAUGUGGGGCUAAAUGGCCAUAGGGACAGCACGAAGGGGUUGAGCCUUCUGUAAGGUUAUACCAAAUUUCUCUUCCAUGUCCAUCUUCUCAUCUUCAAGCUUCCAAUCAAAAGAGUUAAUAAGUGAACCUAACAUUAUAUGUAACAUUCUGAUUGCCAAUGGCAAACCAGGACAAAUGCGUCGCCCAGCUCCAAAGGGGAUUAGCUCAAAAUUGCGGCCUUUGACAUCAAGAUCUGAUCCCAAGAACCUUUCGGGCAUGAAAAUGAGAGGGUUGUCCCAUGUGCUUUCAUCUCUGCCAAUAGCCCACGCAUUGACUAAAACUUUUGAACCUUUUUGCACUGUGAAGCCAGCGAUCUCUACGUCUGUUGAGGCUUUACGGGGGAGAAAUAAGGGAGCUACUGGGUGCAACCUGAAGGUUUCUUUGAGUACUGCUUGUAGAUAAGGUAAUCGAGUGAUGUCUGAUUCCUCAAGUGGUUUGCCCCUGCCAAUUGUUUGUUCCAGCUCCAAUCUUGCUUUUGAUAAAGCCUCUGGGCUAUGGAGUAGCUCUGCCAUCGCCCAUUCCAAUGUGCUCGAGGUUGUGUCAGCCCCCGCAACAAACAAAUCCUGUCAUAUAAAAUUUUAUUAGAUAACUUGAAAUUUGUGCAAGAAAGGAAACAAAAUAAACAAUACCAAAAGCAAAUGUUUGAUGUCAUUUCCAUCAAUCUCCACACUCUUGUCUUGGCUAAUAUUGAGAAGAGUAUCCAGCAAAUCUGAAGAUUCGGUACUAGUAUUGUAACCAUGUUCUUGUCUUUGAUCCAGUCUUUGAUCAAUCAAGCGAUCAAAGACCUCAAAUAUCUUGCUGUAAUGAAUUGUCAUGCGACGCCUUAUCCCCUGCAGGUCAAGCUUUUUAAGCAGAGGAAAAUUGUCGGACAGAUUAGGCUUUCCUAGUUCUGUCAUGAUACCCCAAACUAUAUCCUUAAACUCUUGCGCAGUGGGAUCAACCAAAUCGACGGAAAAAAUUGUGUUGGAUAACACAUUAAGUGAAGUAUUGAAAACAGCUUGGCCAAUCACUAUUGCUUGCCCCACACGGCAAUUUUCUUCAACAUAAGCAAGUAGAUGCUUGAUUUUCUUGCGCCGGAUGUCUUCAUUGGCAUCAAGUUUGUGACUAGAGAAAAUAUGUAAGUUGCAUAUUUUUCGUAGAUUUUUCCACGGUGUUGAGACAGGAAGCCAGACCAUCCCAAUUUCUUGGUGAUUGUAGGAACAGGCUGCAUCCGGGACCAUCCGGUUACAGAAUGAUGAAUCAUGAUUUUGAAGGAUAGCUUUUGCCAUGCUUGCUGAAGAAACCACUACGGUGGUUACCUGGCCAAAUUUUAGAGUCAUUAUGGGGCCAUGAAUCUUGGCAAGCUUGGCUAGUGACUUGUGCGGUUUGUCACCAAGUUCGAGGAGGUUUCCAAUCACUGGAUAAGGCGUAGGCCCCGGCGGCUGCUGUUCGGAUCCUGCUUUGCGUCUCUUGUAAAAGGAACUCAAAGCCAUCACAAAAAGCCAAGUGAAUAGAAGCCAUAAUAUGCAGCUUAACGUAUGAUCCAUCUUUAAAACUCUCAUUAACAAUCGAUCACUAUCUUUAUAGAGAGGACUUUAGUAUUGGUUUACUCGUUUCUUUGUCAUUUAACUAGCAUUUCAAAUAAAACGGCCAGAAUUUGCCACUACGCAUUUACUUGAUAUCUCCAUCUCAUAGUUUUCGUAAACCCACCCGUUUUUCAGAAAAUAGUUACAAAAAGUGCACAAUGUUUUUAAAAUUUUCAAAUAAAGAAGAAUUUUGAAGAAUUAAUUAAUUAAAUCUAUCUUAGUUUACUUUUUUAGACUUAUUUUUUUAUUAUAUUUGAUUACAAAGAUGUUUUGGCAUCAGUUUGAAUUGAGUAUUUUAUCCUUAUAAAGUAAAACUAAUAAGAAUUUACUUUUACUUCAAUAUUUUUCUAAUUUUAUACAAAACUCAUUGUUUCUAAUACUACCUUAUUAGCAUGAUUAUUAAUCUUUAAUUAAACUAACAUAAUGUAUGUAUAUCACAAUACUCAUGUAAUAAGUUAUUAGAUUGUUAAAUUUAUGUAAUUCACAAGUAAGGAUAGUGAAAAUUUAGAUUUCAUUUAAAAAUAUUAGAUUAUAAGUCACAAAAUUAAAUACCUAAACUAUUAGAUACAAUAACUCAUGUUUAUUGGGAUAAUUUGGUUGUUUUGUAGUGUAUCAUAAAAUGAUAAAAUAAAACUUAUCUUAAAGUUUAUGAUCAAAAUGGUCAAAGAAACCUAAGAAAAAAAUUAAUAGAAGGAUUUAAUUGAUUAAUAAUACAAAACCUUUUAUUAAUUUGUAGUUAUUAAAAAAAUUGAGCUCAUUGUAAUUAUUUUUUAAAAGUGGGUUGGAUUACAAAAAUAGUGGGUUGGAAAUAUCUCCACCCAUAUGUAAAACUUGAAAUAACAAAGGAUCAUUUUAAUCCUUUACUAAAUCCUUUAUGAAAACUCAUUUGAUAUUUUAAUUCAACUGUUGAGAUAAUGCAACUUGGUUAGUGCCAUUGUGUUGAGAAAUUAAUUUUCUCUAAACUCGGAAAAUGAGAGUUGACAAUUCGCAUGCGUUUUGCAGGAAGAAGUUUAGCUAGUUUCACUUAAUUUGAAAGUUUGCAGGGCUUUAAAUGUCCACUCCAAAGAAGAAAUUUAGCUAAUUUCAUUUCAAGGUUUUAACUGGCAUAAAAUGUUCAAUAAAAUAGUGCUUUUGCCAUUAUUAUUAUUUUUUAAUUUAGGAAUAAUGAUACUUGGCCGAAGCCCUGAUAGACUGGCGACAUAAACGCUGUUAUUGUGCGUGCACAGUGCACCAUUUUCGUAUGCUACAAUGAAACUGUUUGUUGCAUAAUCAUUCUAUUUCUGUUACCCUCCGGUACUCUUUAGAUCAAAUAUCAUUAUUCUUUUUUCGUUUAAUAAGCUCAGCCACAAAUUCAUUGUGUGGCUAAUCGUGUAAGCUAGUUUCAAACGUUUCAAAUUUUCUAUUUUGAAUGAUGCUUUUAACUUUCUUGCAAACGAAAGUAUGCAUGAGUUUAAAAUGCUGGCAACGAUUUCUUGGCUGUUCUGCGUGCACGUACGACGAUGCUACACCGUAGGUAAAAUUUGUGGACAAUGAUGGUUGCAACUGUUGCAAGUUACCAAAGGGCUAAUUUGGUGAUUGCAAGGUCAGACUUGAUUUGGUCCCUUUUUUAUGGGUCAAUAAGCGGGCACCGACUUCUCUGAAUUGAUAGCAAUGGAAGGAAACUUGGCAGAAGAGGAACGGAAAUGUAAUGAUCAAAUGUAUUUUGUCAAAAUGAAACUAGAUGAUGACGAAUUUAAUACACCUGCUCUUGAAAACGCAAAGGCAUCAAAAUUUCAAAAAUCUUCCUCCAAGACAAAAUACUGGGGUUAACAAUUACUUAGGAAUUAGAAGUGCACCUACGUCAUUGCAGCAGGUUGAUGAAUAUAAGAUGAACACAUUUGAAGUUGAGCACCCUUCAAUUUGUGGCCUAGCUGUAACACAAAUCCUGUAAAAUAUGUUCUCGUAGUACACUAAUAGAAUGCAAUGGUAGAUUUACUUGAAAUAAGAAUAGGUUAGAAUCAGAAUGAGUUAGAUCUGAAUGGAUUAGAAUCACGACGAAGAGUGAUAAUUAGAAUAAAUUAUUUACUUGAGUUACAAAAAUUGUAAUCAGUAUCAAUAGUAUUUUUCUUGAUGUGUUUACUUUAUCUUAUAGUUGGAAUGGAUUAUCAACAAAUUACAAAAAAAUUUCCUUAGUUAAAAUCAUAUAUUUUUUACUAAUAAAAUAAAGACGUAAACUUUUUUAAAGGGAAAUAUAUGUACUAUUAUAUUAAUAUUAUUUUUGUUGUUACUUCUAUUAUUACUAUUUUCUUUGAGGGUAAAAAUGUCAAUUCAAAAAAUAAAAUUUUAUUCUAUAAAAAGAUGAAAAUGAGAUUUUUCAUUUCACAUUCCUAAUUUUAUGGAGCCCACAAAUUUGACUCCGAUUAUGGAUUGUAUUUUCGGAAAAGAAACAUCAUCAAUCAAUCAAUCCAAUACCUAAUUCCAAUUUCUCAUUCCCAUAAGAUAACGCACCAUAAAGUAGGAAACAAUCAGAGACGUUUCACACGGAGUUGGAAAAUUUUCAUUCCACAGUUGAAAAUUCAACUACACAAAUGCAAUUAUAUAUCAACCUGAUUCCAAAAACAAAGAAAAAAAUUAAGGAAAAUUAAUUAGAAAAUUACAGAGCAUUUAUUGUGUGUCUCUUUAAUUACCAUUAAUUACGUGCAAACCCAAAAUUCAUGAGAUUAAUAUCAAUUUGUACAAGCUCAGGACUCAACAGUCAUCUGAUGACCACGGAUCACUCACUGAUGACCAGCGGAUGCCUAGGGUGAUCGAUCCUCAACAUGACGAAAACUCCUUCGCUUAUAAGGCAAUCAUCCAUGCCUUCUAGGUACAGAAAUUAUAAGUGCAACCCAAUUUGCCCUCAUCUUUAAAAUAAAAAAUAAGGGAUAAAUUAAAGUUUUCAACACUUUUAAGAGAUAAAUUAAUAUGAUCCUUCUAUUUGGGAUGACUUAAAAUUUACCUUAGAUAUGAUAACAUUUAUUGAGGAGCAUAUAAUAUAUGCAUAUUUUUUACUCUUAUUUAUAUAUUUAUUAGUUAUUUUUAUUAAUUAUUUUUAGUUAAUUGAAUUAUUUAAUGAACAGAAAAAUAAUUGGAGAUUAUGGAUAAAAAGUGCAUGACCAAUUUGGGAAGCAUGAGAGAUAAAUUGUUUUUGGGAGCAAUCGGGCCAACUUACACGUGGAAUUCAAGGCUAAAUAACCAAAAUUUAACUGGUUGCAAAUCUAAAUCACGCAUGCACGUGAAUGGCUUAAAGAAUAUGGAAAUAAACUUGGCUUUUUUAAAGUCGGUUAGCUUAUGUUAUUAAUAGUUUUCCGUAUCGACUUUAAAUAAAGAAUGAUAGUAUUUUUUUUUUUUAAAGAUAAGAAAGAGUAUAUUUAAAUGUGUUAAUAAAAAGAAAAGUAUAAUUUAAAGUAUGAUUAAAAGGUAUAUAAAUAUAAGGAAUGUUUUUAAAAUUAUUAGACAGUAUAUUUUCCUUUUAAAUACAGUGAUAUAGAUGAGAUGAGAUAUAUGCCUUUGGGGCUCGUGUGAACAUAUGGCCCAAAGCCUCUAUGUGUGUUCAGUAUUUACGGCCCGUCUGAGUGCACACAAAGGCUUUGGUCCAAAUAUAGUCCUUUGUCCUUUGGGGACCAAUUUAAGCAUGCGCAAAUAUGAUAAGAUAUGAGAUAACAUUUCCCUAUCUACCCGUUGUAACUCUAGGGCAUAAGAUUCCCCGAUUGCCCAUCGGUCGAGGUCCAGGUAUGCCGAAAUUAUUCUCCUAGAUACUUGUUUAGUGACAGUUUUCAAAAUUUUAUAUUUGAGAUUACAGUGUAUUAUGAUUUCCUUAAUUUUUAUGUGGUAUUAUAUAUUAUGUUCAUGUCAGUUUAUGAUUUAUAAUUAAAUUAAUUAUUUAAGUUUCUUAUGGUAAUUUGGUAAAAUUAUUCACUGAAAUGAAAUAAUUAUUUUGAGGAAAAUCUAUUUUUAAAAAACUACUAUUCACUCACUGAGUUUUAUAUUCACUCUGUUUUUAUUGUAUUUUCCCCCCAUAGGAGACUUGCAGGUACAACAGUCAACUCAACAAUGAUAGUUAUUUUUAAAAUUAUGGCCACAUGAUGGUGCCAGGGGUCUUAGAUGUUUUUUGUUGGGAUAUUUCGGAUUGCAUAAUUUUGUUAUAAUUUGUGAUUAAAGAUAACCUAUUGUAUUUUAACAUUAGAUGUUUGGAUGACAUUUGAUAUUUUGAUUGAGGAAGUUGUUGUAGAGGUUGGUUGAAUAUUGAGCAAUUUUGGAAGUGUUUGUUAUAUAAUUUGCAAGUGUGGGAAUGUCUUAAUUAUAGGAGAGACUAUGCCUAAUUUUCGGUAGAAUCCUUAGAUAUUAGAUUUAUUAUCAAUUCAGUUAGACGAGUUUACAUAGACUCACUCUAGGGGUUCGGGGUGGUUCAUUUUAGUUAUAGCUAUAGGAUUUAAUCAAAUGAGUGACUUAGGCUCCAUUUAAUAUACCUUUUUGAAUAAAACUUAUUUUGGGUAGAUUUUAUUUUUUAUUGUUAUUUGGUUGUCGAUCAAAACUUUUAUUAAAAACUGUAAAUUAUUUAAUUGGUAAUUUAUUUAAAAUUAUAUUAUGAAAACUGAAAAGAAUGAAAUAAGAUUAUAAAAUAAGUAAAAGAUAUUUUAAAUAUUUUAACAUUUUAAAAAAACUUUUCACCACUACUCCAAAAAACCCAAAAUCUGAACUUUUCUAAUAGAGUCAAAAUAAAUUAAUUAAUCUUCAAAAACUCUACUCAAUCAAUAACUAAACAAAAAUAAAAUAAAAAGAGCUUAUCGAACUAAAUAAACACUUAUGGCCAUCAGAUGCGCCAUACUAAACAGGCACUUAGCCUCCAAGAGGGUAAUUCAAAUUAGAAAAAGACUCAGCCUAGUUGAGCAAUUUUUAAAGAGAUGCAAACCAUGCCGAUUAGAAGGAGACGAAGAGAUGAUCAGCAAGGCAUAGAGAAGAAUUGAAUAGCACAGCUUGACCAUGGCUUCCAUCGGUUCUAUUGUGCUCAAUCUCUUUGUGUCUUUCUAAUUGUCUAUACUAUGGUUAAGGAUGAAGACUCGUUCAAUGAAAUAAAUUAUUUUUUAUUCAAUUAAUUCUCUAAAUGUGUGCCUUAAUACUUAUGGUUCUUGUUUCACAUAUUUGAUUGAAUAGUAUUAAAUAUUUUUACCAAUUUUGUCAUGUACUAUUGAUUGUUAGGAUUAAUAUUUGACUAAACAUAUGCUUGGAUCUAUAAAAUUUAUAUAUGUCUGACCGUCUUUGAUUAUGUGACUUUCAUAAAUUGUUUUCUAUACUUAGAAAACUUUGAUUCUUUGUUGAUUCAAUAUUGUUCAUAUAGAAUGUUUAAAUAUUAUAUUAUUAAGUAGAAAAAGAACAAACAUAAGAUUAAUCUUAAUGGAGCUCAAGAAUAGACAUAGAUUGAUUUCGAGUUGUCACUUUAAAAUUAUGAAUUGAUUGGUAAUUAGAUAACUGUUAAGUUGAACUUUGGUAGAUUUUGAUGGUAGCCUCAAUCUCUUGAAUUCUUGUGUUAAUUUACUCGUUUUAAUUUAAUUAUUGCAUCUUUAGUUAUAAUCUUCUCAAACAAAAUAUAUUAGUCAUAGUUUAGGUUAUUUCAACAAAAAAAAAAGAUGAAAAGAAAUUCCAAUUCGUCAAUUACUGUGUAGUUUAAAGUUUUAGAUUUGAUUUUAUUUAAAUUAUUAUUUCUUUUAAGUCGCGAGUGUCAGUUUUAGAUUAGGAUUAAUUAAUUAAUUUUCUUUUAAAGGUCAUGUGUCUUUUGUUUAGAUUAGUUAUACUACUAUUAUUGUUAUUAUUUUUAUUAUUAACCGUUUCUUUUAUUUUGUCUUUACUUUUGUUACUGUAAGUGCCUUUUAAUUUCUUUUCCUUUUACAUUUUCUAAUUGUAGUCAACAAAAAUUAAUCUAGGGGAUAAAGAAAUAUAAUAAGUUAUAGGUCUGAACAUUCUAAUUCUCUCCUUAGUAGUUCGUUUUUAUAAUAGCUCAUCAAAUUAGUUUCUUUUUCUUUUCUUUUCCUUUUCACAAAUAUUAUUUAUGUUUUUAUUAUUUUGGUGUGAUUGCAUGCUUCGUAAUAGAUCUCUACUGUGUAAUUUUGAAAGCUACAGAUAGUGAAAUUAUUAGAACUUUUCAUCAAAAAAAAAAGAAAGCUACUUCAAAAGAAAAAGUUGGCCAAAAUAUAGAAAAUAUAAUUGAAGACAAAAUGGCUCAAGAGCCACGAGAAAAGCCUUCUAAAAAUUACUUUGGUCCAUUCCCUAAUCUAAGCACCUCAUGCAUUCAAUAUCGAGGUGUUGCAGCUAGGAGUUUUGAAAUAAAGCCCAAUGCUCCCUAAAUUGUCUCCCAUCUUUUUAUGAUUUAGAUGAUGAAGAUUCCUAUAAUCAUUUGAAUGAUUUUUAUGUUAUGUGGAAAACUUUUAAAUAUGAAGAUUUUUCUACAGAUGAUGUUAAGCUUCAUUUGUUUCCAUUCUCAUUGAAAGAUAAAGCUAGAUCAUGGUUUAUCACAUUCCCAGCUAAUAACAUUACAUCUUGGGAGAUAAUGGUUGAUAAAUGUUUUAAUAAAUAUUUUCCUAUUCAUAAGACUAAUGCUAUUUGCAAGGAGAUUUCAGAGUUUAUACAAAAGAGGAUGAAUAAUUCUUUGAAGCAUGGCAGAGAUUUAAUCACUUACCACUACUACAAAAAUGUAAAACAAUGACCCAUAUGUUAUAACGGUUUUUUUAAACAACCGUCAUUAAAGAUAUUUAAUGACGGUUAUUAUGUAAAUAGUCAUAAUAUAUACCACUUAUAAUGACGGUUAUGUAAUAAAACCGUCAUUAAAUGUCAAACAAAAUUUACACAUAAUUUUAAUGACGGUUCAUUUAUAAAAACCGUCAUUAAAAGUCACUAUUUUUAAUGACGGUUCUUAUAUACAACCGUCAUUAUAUGUAUAGUUAAAAAUAAUAUUACUUUUAAUGACGAUUUUUUAAUAACCGUUAUUAAAAAUAAUUAUUUUUAAUGACAGUUUUUACAUGGAAUGGUCAUUAUAUGUGUAAUUAAAAUAAUACUAUCUUUAACGACGGUUUUUAAAAAACCGUCAUUAAUAAUUUUGAAUUACGGUUCUUAACAAAACCAUCAUUGAAAGUCAUAGUUUUUAAUGAUUAUUAUAAUAUAUAACGAUCAUUAUAUAUGUAAUUAAAAUGCUUAUAAUUUUUAAUGACGGUUCUUUAAAAAUAAUAUUACUUUUAAUGACGAUUUUUUAAUAACCGUUAUUAAAAAUAAUUAUUUUUAAUGACAGUUUUUACAUGGAAUGGUCAUUAUAUGUGUAAUUAAAAUAAUACUAUCUUUAACGACGGUUUUUAAAAAACCGUCAUUAAUAAUUUUUAAUUACGGUUCUUAACAAAACCAUCAUUGAAAGUCAUAGUUUUUAAUGAUUAUUAUAAUAUAUAACGAUCAUUAUAUAUGUAAUUAAAAUGCUUAUAAUUUUAAUGACGGUUCUUUAAGAACCGUCAUUAAAAAUUGACAUUUUUAAUGACAGUUGUAUAAAACAACCGUCAUCAUAUAUAUUGAUUUAGUUAUAAAAAAAAAAGAAAAUUGGCCUUAUACUGAACACCAAAUCCCUAAAAUUACAUAUAAUUUGUGAACAUUAAAAGCAAUCGCGCGCACACGCAGCCCCUUUCUCUCAAUAGCACGCACGCCGCCGGCACACUUAGCCCAUGCAACAGCAGCCGAGCACGGUAGCAACAGGCCACCAGCAGUCGCUCUCUCUCUCUCAUGCACACGCAGCAGCAAGCCAACACCAACAGCCCCUCUUUCUCAUGCUCACUCUCUACUAUGACGAAGUCAACACUAUAGCCCUCUUACGUACUCAAGAAAACUCUAACCCAUAUCCAAACCCUCGCCGUCGAAGAAAACCCAAUCCUUAAUGGCUUGAAAUUAAAGCCUCCACCGUCAAUCACCAUCAAACCAAAUAAACCCUAGCCUUACCAUCACUCUUCGUUUGACUCACUGAAGAAAGCACUCUAUUAGGAGAGUCUCUGUUUUUUGAUAAUAUAUAUGCACUCUUUGUUGGCCGAAGCUUUUAGACAAUUGCUUUGAUUCCAUUGCUUCGAUUGGUCAGUUCUCUGUGAUUAAUUAGUUAGUUACUUACUUUUAAUUUCAUAUUUUCAUCUCCAACAGUGAAUUUGGGAGUUUUUUCUCUGUCGGAUUUGUGAUUUUUGCUACGGAUCAAAAACAUUUUGAAUGUGUUUUCAUAUCUAACAACUUGAACUAUCAUUUAUUUUGUCCUGUUAAUGUUCAAUUUUUUUUCUUUUUUAUUAGUAUGACAAUUAGUUGAAUGUGCUUGCACAUAAAACAAUCUUUUAACUUGGCGCUGGAAUAUUUGUUUUGAGUUGUGUCCCCUUAAUUAGUGACCAUACAAAAGUUCCCAAUGAUAAAGUGUUUAGCCCUAUUAAUGCCAUAAAGUCUUGCUCUCAAUUUUUCUGAUUAUGCCUAUGGAUUGAUUACCUAUUUCAUUUAGAAAUUCAAUUGGCAAAUGUACAAUGCUUGCAUGACACUCACAUUUGGGUUUAUGAUGGCAGUCAUUAUGAGGAAGAAGGUUAGAAUAACAUCAGGGGAAACAUCUGGGACAAGGUAUGUACUGUCAAGCUCUUUGUUAGAAUCAUCGCAAAAUUUUUAUUGGAUCGUGGCUGUUCUAUGUGAUGCAUUUUGGAUUUGUUCUUGCUAGACAUGCAAAAACCUGUAAAAUGUUUUUUUUCCCAUUUUAGAUUUACUAUCUAGUAUCUUGUAGGUUUAAUCUAAAAUAGAAACCAUUCUAAUGAAGAGAAAAGAUGUUAGACUUUAGUAUUCAACCUUUUUUUUUUUUAGCCAUAUUUCUAGACCCCAAGUUUAUGUCAUGAUAAUUGUGUGAUUGAUAAGAUAUUUUGGUUUUGGACUUUAUCUCAUGGAUUUAGAGUUCGAUUAUAUUUGGAAGUUGAAUAAUGCAUUCAUUUACAUAUGAUGUUUGAUGAAGUUCCCAUAAAAUUAAUUCAAUUAUAUAUGUUUAUGGUUCUAAGGAAGCAGGGCAAAAAUUUUAUCAGUGGGUUGAUUUCACUAGUUCAAGUUAGCAAAGCAAAGAAAUUGUCUUAAUGCACUUUAACUUUCCUCCAUUUAAGGUAAAAAAAUUAUUGAAGCUUUUGAAAGUGAAUUGUUCAUUUUGUUUGUGCACUUGUGUAGAUGGAUUUACUUUUGGCUGCUUAACCCGUCCUCACUUAUAUUUUUUCAGUUUAAAUUGCAGUAUUUUGUUGCUGUGCAACAGCACAAAAGGCUGUUUUAUUGUUGUUUCUGUAAAAACACAGCACUAGGAAGCGUCCAGGUAAUGUUUCACUGCUGUUAUGCAGUAAAAACAACACCUGAAAGUUUCUAGGUGCUAUUUUUACUGCUGUUUAUGCAGAAACAUAGCACCUAAAAGUGUUUCUAGGUUUUGUUUAGCUGCUAUUAUGCAGUAAAAACAGCACCUGGAAACUUCCAAGUGUUGUUUUUACUGCAUUUUAUGCAAAAACAAAGCACCUGGAAGCAUUCAAGGGCUUCUUUUACUGUUGUUUUGUAUUUAAAAUUGCACUUAGAAAUUUUGGGUGCUAAUUCGCUGAAAUUUUGCUACUAACAGUACAGCUUAAUAAUUUCAGAUGUCGUUUUGAACCUUCUUCAGUUCUUUUCUCUUAUGUCUAUACUUAAUCUUUUACCCCCUUGGUAAUAAGCAGGUACAACUUUUGCAAGAUAAUAUCUAAGCAUGUUGUUAAUUCUUUGGUUGAGAUGUAGUAUUCUAAACUUCAGGCCUUAAUUUUUUUAUUUCCAAGUGUAUAAUGGGUAGGUAUUGGAUCUCUUAUGGAUGAUGUAGUUAAUAAUUUUUUAUUGUCUCUAUUUUGGCGAAUGUGUUGUCAUUUAUUAUCUGAACACAUGGUUGAUUAACUUACUUGAGGUAAGUCUAUUAAUUAAUAGUGAUAUGGUACUUUAAAGUCUUGUUUUACAACUUAAGUCACUAAAAUGAUUUAAUAUUUAUGAUUUAUAAUAUAUGAAUAUAUCUUAAUUUCUCUUUAUUCUUUGUAAGAAUGAUGUAGAUUGCUGAAGCUGGUGAGAUUCAUUUGCAAUUGAAAACUUGAUGAGAAAUUAGAUGUACUCACACAUGCCAAUCUUGUUGGUUGCUAGUGCAUUCACUAGUAGAAGUUUAAUGAUUGUUGGAGAUUUUUGUAGAGCUAUCUCUGUGUAUAUGAAACAUUUGAAUCUUUUUGUAUAUGAAACAUUUGUGAAAAAUAAUUGUAAAGAAUUUAAUAUGAAAUUAGAAUUAAAAUAGGGGCUUGAAAUAGCCUUAAAUUUUUCAAAUUUAUUUUUUUAAUAAUAAAUAAUAAGGAUGACGGUUAUUUCAAAAGAGCCGUCAUCAAAUGUAGUGUUCUACAACAAAGAUGACGGUUUUCUUCUAAAACCGUCAAUAAAUGUUGUUUCAAUAUUUAAUGACGGUUCUUACAAUAAACCAUCAUUAAAAUGACACAUUUAAUGACGGUUAUUUAGAUAAACCGUCAUUAAAGAUAUAUAUUUAAUGACGGUUCUUACAAUAAACCGUCAUUAAAAUGACACAUUUAAUGAUAGUUAUUUAGAUAAACCGUUAUUAAAAAUAGAUAUUUAAUGACGGUUAUUUAAAUAACUGUUAUUAAAAAUAUACAUUUAAUGACGGUUAGUGAACCGUCAUUAAAAACAUACCCUCUUUAAUGUCGGUGCCUAAGAUGACGGUUUUAAAACCGUCAUCUUAUGUCAUUUAAAACCGUCAUAAAAGAUCAUUUUUGUAGUAGUGUACUCUUGAAGUGUCCUCAUUAUGUGUUUGAAAAAUGGCAUCAGUGCCAAUAUUUUCUAAAAGAAUUAUUGCCACAUAUGGAAGAGUGGUUGAUAGACACCAAUGGAGGUGAACUUAUUGAAAUAUGAGUGUGCAACCCAAGAGGGGGGGUGAAUUGGAAUUUUAAAAAUUAUACUAACAAAUCCACACAACAAGCAAUCUAAUGUCUUAAUAAAAAUUGAAAGCAAUAAGUUCAAUCAAAGCACAAUAAUUAAAUAGCAAGGGAAGAGAAAGCAAACUCAAGGAUUUUUACGUGGUUCGGCAAUCCCCGCCUACGUCCACGCCUCCAAGCACACCGGGCUUGAGGAUUUCACUAUCCAAGCCUUUCCAAGGCUUCAAACGUUUACAAUUGAGUUCAAGGUGUCAAUGAACCUUUACAACAAGAGAUUAUCUCUCCAAUCUCUUCACUCCAAGUGUUUCUCACACUUGUACUCUCACAAUUUGAUGAGAAAUGAAAAUUACAACAAAAACUCUCUUUAAGAGUGGAUUUACAAAUGAUAGCUCAAUGAAGAUUUAAUCUAUGAAGAUUUUCGAAUUUGAAGCUCAAUAUAAGUUGUGUGCACUUGUUUAUGCUUGCUUGAGUUACCAAAAAUGAAUUGGUUUUGAGUUUAUAUAGUUUGAACUCAAAAACUAGCCGUUACUAGCCGUUAUGCACAUUUUUUGUCGUAACCGGCUUGCCGUUUAACCAUAUCCGGUAAGCCGCUUUCGUUCUGGUGCUUACUGCCCCGUAUCCGGCUUGCCGUUUAUCAGUAUCCGGUAAGCCGCUUGCUACAGUAACUGCUACAGUAAAAUAUUUCCCAAAAUUUAUAAUUUGACCCCAAAACUUUAUAAAACUGUAGUAUGGCCCAAAACGUUAUGAAACUUUGCAAAUAAGUCCAAUUUCAGAAUUUCUAAAUAAUUCUUCGUUAACCCCAAACUUUCUGAAAUUAUGACUUUGCCCAAACUUUGUGAAAUUAUAUAAUGACCCCAAAACCAUUUAAAUAAUUUCAAAUAAGUCCAAAUCCGAAACUUUAAAAACAUUAUCAAAGCUUUUAAAAUACAUGUGGUUUGUUAUCAUCAAAAUCAAUAUUUAUAGCCAUAUAGGCUAACACUUAUGUCCAAGAGUGUGACAAAAGUUUGGGACUUUUUCUAAAGACAAGCAGAUAAUUAGAUCAGAGGAGUCGAUCUUUAAGGAAUAGUAGAAGAAUAAGAGGAGUGAAUGAGGCCUCCAAACCACACAUUGCUGCUACAGUCUAUGUCCUUGCCUUCAGACAGAACAAGUGUACUAGAUUUUCAGGCAAAUCCCAACCUCAUUCAAGACUCUAUGCUUGUACUAACAAAAGGGGCACUGAGCCAGCCUAAAAAGGCCUAAAAAUAAAAAAGGCAAAUGCAUUCGAUGUGAUAACCCUGGUUAUACAAUUAGAACUUGCACUUAUAACCCGUCACCAAUUCCAACUUACAUAUAUAGCCAGAAUAAUUGCCGUGACCACCUAUCGAACAAUCUCCUGGACGAAUCAGACCCUGAUACCUCCACUUGGACCAAUAAAUAUUUUGAUGGAAGCUCAUAACCUACCUCGACUCAAGCAUCAGGAUCAUGGCUUAAUAUUAGUCAAUCAAUUGGCAUUACUGUACCAUCCGAGCUAAAUCUAUUUGGGAGCAGUCUAGCAUACUAAGGUUGUAUAUAAAUGCCUUGCUAACCACUUAUUUCUACCGAGGAGGUAAUAUUUUACCUUGACUAUGAAUUUAUAUUUUUCAUAUUAUUUAUGUUGGUGAUACAUGGCAAUAGUUUGUUGUUUUAACAUGUUGAGUGAAUUAGGUUUAUGACGAUUGUGUUUCUAUUAUGCUAGAUCAAAAUGAAAGUUGUAGGUUCUAAUAUAGAGAUUUAUUAACUUAGAAGUUCGAUUUCAACAUAUCUACUAUUUUGCCUUGUGUUUGAUUGCAUCAGAACUUACGUAAUUGAUGUUCAAUUUGUUGGGAAAAUAUGCUCUUUAAAAGCAUAUGUGUUUAUUUAAUUGUAAUAAAUAAUUUUUCUGAUUAAUAAAAUAAAUGAGGUAUUUUAUUCAAAUAUCUUAAUUGCAUUAAUAUUUGUAUUAAAGUCCAUUUAAUCAUAUUAUAUGUAUUUAUGUGAUCACCAUGUGGAUUCACAGAAGACAUAAAUACAAGUUAUCUUAUGAUUAAAUAAAUUUAGUUCGCAGUUGAUAAAUAAAGUUGGGCACUUUAUUUAGGUAUAGACUGUAAUAAAUUCAUUGAAUGAUUUGUCUUAAUCAUGUAUGAAUUUAUUGAUGUAGUACGACUACAUUGAACAGGAUCACAUGUGAGAUUUAAUUAACUUUGUAAUAACUGUCAGACUUAUUAAAUCUCAUAGGCAUUGAUUUUACUGUAAUCUUAAUCUUGAGUUAAUUAUGAUUUCAUGAUUGUAAUUGUUAUUCCAUUUGAGUUACCAAUGGACACGACACAUCCUUGCGGUCAAGAUUACCCGGUAUCUUGGUGGGAGCAAUUAUGAGUAUUGGAGUUAUGGAUUAACAAUAUAGAAUUUGUACAACACAUCUCUUGAUGGGUUUUCAGCACUUGAUCAUAGAAUUCUCUGGCCAGAGUGUGUCAACAUAUUUAGUAUGUUGAAAAUGAUCAUUAGAGAAAACCAGUAAGUAUCAAAGAAUAAGAUGUUAUUAAAUUGAUUGGACAGUUGAGAUAUCAAUUUAAUUAACGAUGUGGUACAAAGGAUUGUGCAGUAAAGAAAUCAAUGUGGCUUGGGACGAAUUAUUAUUCGAGCAUACAAUUAUGGAAGUCAGUUCCAAUCUUUUAGUGCAGUAGAUUUGGAAUUAAAUAAUUGGGCUAGUUUAAUUACAGGCCUAAUUAUUGUAGCCACUAUUGUAUGUUCCCAAAUGAUCCCCGGGUUAGCUCAUUUAAUUGACUGCACCACUACUGGACUAAUAAGUAAGAUAACUAGCUAUUUGGGUCAAAAGCCUAAAUAUAUCAUUUAGUGAGAGGCUCCAUUUAAUGAGCUUUUGUAUAAGGGGCCUUAUGUUAUUUUACAAGGUGGGUCCCCUAUUGAAAAAGAAAAUAACGUGAGUUUUAUUUAGGGCAUUAUUUGGAGCCUAGGGUUUUCACUAAAGGGAGAUAUAUAAGGCUUAUUUUCUCAAAAAGAAAAAGAGAAGCCACUUUAUACAAAUCAGAGAAUAAGAUUUUUCUCUCCAUGAUUGAGAAAAAAAUUUUCUUGUGCUAGUUGCUUUGGUAGUGAUAAAGGCGACCACACGUCAAGUGCAGAUCGAACUUGAGUCAUAACCUGGAAGAUCAUUGGUGACAGUUCGUGAUUUAACAAGCGUGGUGGUGACGGAUCGUGAUCUAACAAGAGUGGUGGUGGCGGAUCGUGAUCUAGGAGCCUAAAUCACUUCAGCGGAAAAAGCCAACUCGGACUUUCAAGGUACGAUUUCUAGAAUACGAAUUCUUAUUUAUUAUAUGAGAGCGAUCUUCAAAAGGUUUUAUAAAAAUUUAAAAACUUGAUUUUUUCCCAACACGAUUGAUAGUGAAUGUUGAGAAAUGAUAGAUAAAUGUUCUUGUGUUCUAAUUCUAGAAAUUGUGGAGUAAAAUGGUUUACGACUGAUAUUAUUGGAUUCAUCUCAUUAUUCAUUACUAUCAAUUCUUAUCAAAAUUUACCCGUGUGCGAAGUUUUAUGUUGAAGAAGAAUAGUGUAACAAUGUUAAAAUGAGCUAAAAUUUUGAGAUAUUGUACUUCUAUGUAUAUAAUUAAGAUCUAUAAAUUUUUAGGUGAUUUUAGUUUGUCACUUUUUUUGGAUGAAUUUUCAAAGUUUGCCACUACUGUGGCUAGUUUUUUUUUUUUCUUUUACAGAUUCUCCAACUUCCUUCUAUUUUAAAAACCACUUGUCAAUAAAUACCAGAAUGACCUCAAAUUUUAAGGGUAAGUUGUUAUCACUCAAUAUGCGUAAUUUAUUUUUGGAAAGUUUGAUUGAAGCCUAUCAGUAUUUCAUUCUCUUAUAAUUGCUCCAAGUCAUGCUACUGCAGUUGUUGCUUGAUCGAUUUUCUUGGUUGAUGUGCUAACCUCAUGUGCUAUUAAAAUGACGGAAGAACUUUAUAUGUUGUACAUUUAUAUGUCCAUUAGUAUUUUCAGGAAUUUCACGGUGAUUCGAAUAGUUCUAAACUUUGUAUACAAGUUGAAAUCCAUAUUGCUUAUGCUUUCCUAUUAAAAUUUCAAGUUUUAAGGACAUCAGUGUGAUGAUGUAAUGAAUAAAUGGAUGCCUUCGGUUUUGCUUAAAAAAAUUUAUAACUUUUGUUCAACGCAUUUUAGAUCUAUAAGUUUGUGGACGAAUGGUGUAUUAAAAUUGAUUUGAUUGCCACUAUUACCUUGUAACAUUUUAAAACGUAUGACAGUGUUGUUUUAUUAAUAUAAAUGUUACUGGUUGCAGAUCGACUGAAAAGUCAAUAGAUUUUCUAAGCAAAAAUAUUUCCUCAAAGAAGAUCAUCUUAUUUCCUACAAGUGCUCCCAACCAUGACUUCUCUUCCUAUCAACGUACGAAGUUGAUCGUACCUCAUAAAUUCGUACUUGUGAAAGUACCAAAUAAAUAAAAUGAUCCACCAUUUGCAACAGUAGUUUCAAAGAGCAAAAUAUUGAAUAACCAUAAUGAUAAUGUCAACUAAUUUUUUUGCUUGAAUAUGACAUGUUCAGCUCUAACAAUACUAUUACAUAGUUCAUGAAUUGCAUAUACAAAAUAUCAUUUUUCUUAUUAUGUGGAAUAAGCAAAAUGUUGUAGCCACAACAUUAGGUAAAAUACAUAUAGAAAUCAAACAUGUGGCAUUUUAUAAAACGAAGUUGGAGAAUUAGCGAGAACCAUAUAUCUAGUUAAUGUUCGGGAUGAAAAUGAAAGCUCAAUGACUUUUGUCCAGCAGAUGCAUGGAUUAAAAAACUGCAUUAUCAUUUUGCUUUCCAAGCUCAGUGAAGAACUGGUGCUAAGUAUUAGCAUACUGCUUUAUAGACAUCAUUAUAACUAAAACUUGUACAUACAGAGCAGGUAGUAUGGAAUAUUCUCUAAUUUCUGAAGGACAACAAAAUUUCAUCUAAGAAUAUUGUGUAGGCCAAAUUUCCUUUUAUGAAAUGAAGUUUAAAGAAAAUGUACAAUUGCAUAAAACAUUGAAAGGAUAGUCCCGGGACCAAAUUAAAAGCAACCUCGAAAGAGGAAGAUUGAACCUGGAAGACAUAAUAAUUACCAAACUAUUUCAGGAAAAAGCCUAUCAAAUUUUCAAAUAACACUCAAAGAACCUAAUAAUGAGUUUAACGAUGAUUCAUUUCUCUUUUUCUUGUGCAAUAACUGAAAACUAAAGAUUAAGUCACCUGUAAAUCUAUAAUUUAUGCCCGUGACCCUUACAUGUACAAUGUUUUGCUUGCGCAUGAUAAUUCAUUUAAUAAUACCGGCCAGUCUUUCUUUUAUCUGCGUUGUUCAUCACGUAAAAACUCUUUUGCACAUAAGAUCAUUUUCUUUUUCAUCACGUUACUUCUAGACACAAGAAAUUGAACAGCCAACUUCCUCCAUUCAUCCUCUAAUUUAUACUCUUUGAAAUAACAAACAAACAAAAUUUAGGUCAGUAGUAAGAUCAAGUAAAUUUUGUGCAAUGCAGAUUCAAUAUCAUUUCUAUCUAAUCUUAUCCACUCAAGAUAUCCACGAAAAUCUAAAUUUUCACAAAACCAAAUGGUUGACUAACCAUGCAAUCAGGAAUUUGUGCUAUAGUAAGGUUCUCCAUCCACCAAAUCACAAACAUACCACAUAUAUACCCAUUACACUGUCUCGAAAUUCUUUAUUGUUUGUGAUGGGAAUGAAAACUCUGAAAUCUAAAGUCGCUCCCAUGUAACAUCCGAAUUUGUCCUUCAAUAUCUCAUUAAGUGCUUUCAACUAUAGUGAUUAAAAAAACAAUGCAAUCAGUGUGUACUCUAAAUGACGAAAUGGAAACAUAAAAGGUAGAAGAUAGUUGAAAUAAAGUUUAUUGUUGAAACAAAGUUUUUGAAUAAUCAAGUUUAUUGAAUAAUUAUGGAUUGACAAAGAU
rnacentral:lncRNA from 1 species